rnacentral:lncRNA from 1 species
AAGUGUCAUUUUAAUCAUUAACUCGAACGCUCGUUGACUGGUAAAAAAGGGUAAAAAGAAGGACCCUCAUGUAAACAAGUUCAGUUGUACACUAAAUUUGUUUCAACAUGAAGACACAACACACAAAACAUAACAAACACGACGCACGCUGUAUACAGAAAAGUGUCCCUGACACAGACGAGAUCAGAGACAAGUUUUCGUUCUGCUUCAUCUUAUUAUUAUUGAACAAAAAGAUCACGUGGAACUAGAAGGCAUUGACGCGUGUAGCUAUGCAAAGGAAGCGGCCAGCCGGAGCCGUCGGCUCAGUGCUGUCCCGGCAGCUUCUCCUUAAUCUUGUCCAUGAUCCCCUUCUUCUCGCCGGUGCCAGUGCCGGCGCCGGCCAUUCCUGCGUGGCCUUGCUGCCCGUAGGCUCCACCAGUUCCAGUCCCCGGCCCGUAGGCUCCUCCAGUCCCUGUACCAGUCGCCAUGUGCUGCUGGUUGUCCUUGUGGCCGCCGGGGAGCUUCUCCUUGAUCUUCUCUUUCAUGCCCUUCUUCCUCCUCCCGCCCAUGCCGUCGUCCUCGGAAGACUGCACAGCAGCCACGGAAAUGAACAUCUAAACAUACAGAAGCAGAUGAAUGUGUACAUGUGUGUGUCGACAAAGUAUCAUACCGAGGUGGAGCUGGAGCUGCCGGAGCGAUGCAGGAUCCCACCGGUCUUGUGCUCUCCCCUGCGGGCCUGUAACUGCCCGCCGGUGCCAGGAGCGGCGUGUCCUCCCCCCACGCCGCCGGCCAGCGGGAACGGGUUGCCGUACUCGUCGACGCGGUUGGCGGGGUUGUCGUGCUGCCCUUGGAACUCCAUCUCUGCCUCUUCCUAAACUGGACUUGGUUGUGGCUUUAGCUUUUGCUCUUUGGCUUACAGAAAGGUCGUGAGUCGUUGUGUCCAGAGAAGUGGAUUGCCGGGUUGAUAUUUAUGCCGUAGCGACAGGCCGGGGUCUGGCAGGCCAGGUGGCUACCGCAGGGGGUACGUGUGCACUGCACGCAUGUGAGUCGGGACUCGGGAGGCCCAAAGUGGUCGCCGCGGACACAGGGAUAGCCUGGGCGUGUGCACGCGUCGCACUGCUGAUUUGCCGAACGUGUCGGUGGCGCCACGUACGCAUUCGACUGUUCUGGAAAGGUGACUUGACAGAUUAGCUCGUCGUUCUAUUUUGAUGUUACAGUUUAUAUUAUUACAGGACGGUGAGUUUCAAGAUGAACAAAAAAGUUACAGGACGGUGCGCUUUGUUUCGCUGCUCCAUUAGUUCUUCUUGAGGAAAACACAAGUCAGAGUGAGUGCAGCUAAUCUGCACCCGGGCUCAUCUGCAUCAUUUUUAGAAAAAAAUUCAAAACAAAUACUAGAAAAAUUUAAAAAAAUUUAAUUUUUUUUGUGGUGGUAGAUAAUUUGACGCGCGAGGUGCGCCCCAAAAAUCAGCUUAUUUGAGCAUCUGAGCAGCUCUCGGCAAAAAAGACAAAAUCAGGGUCUGUAAAAAUGUUUACUGUUCACGCACUGUUUUGAUCCGAUUUGUCUUUUUUGCCGAGAGCUGUUCAGAUGUCCAAAUGAGUUGAAUUUUAGGGCGCACCUCACGCGUCAAAUUAUCUACCACCACAAGAAAAAUUAGAAUUUUUUGAAUUUUUUAGUUGUUUUUUCAAUUUUUUGCUGAGAGGGAGCAGAUUCUUCAUACGAUUUCGUUUUGAGUUUUUUCAAUUUUUUAGUUGUUUUUUCAAUUUUUUUUGUUUUGAGUUUUCCAGUCAGGGUGUCAAAUUCUUCAUACGAUUUCAGGGAAGGAUUUUUGCUUUUCACGACUUCGCUACUCUGUUGGUCAUUACAGCGAGAGUAUUAAUGCACUCAGCAAGGUGCAUCAAAGGUAAAAAAAACAUUUUUUUUGCGACAUGCAUCAAAGGUAAUUUCACCAACUGUAGUUCACGUCUAUCUCUCUAUAGUGAGACACAAACGGCGAAUAAAAAACAAUGCUUAUUAUGAGAAUCACCAAGUGCCAAAUGGGUUGCGCAACUCUCGAGCCGCCUCCUAACCCUAAGACGCCACCACCACCACUGCCACAACUCCUGCCACUGCCUCGGUCCCCCUCCUCUUCCCCGUUUGGGGGCCUCAUCGCGGCAAGAGGAGUGGGGACCCGUCCAUCUUGUUAUGUUUUUCUUAGGUUUUGUUUCUCCGGCGAUAUCGACGAGGUGAUGGCGACGAUGGCGUGUUGGAAUAAAGUCUUUUCAGCCUCUCCCUGCCUCAACGACGUCCGAUCCGGCGCCGGCGAAGGGCCUGUGAGAAUUUGUGUCCCCAGAUUGGUUGGCUUUCUUUCAGAUCUUGGCAUUUCGUGUGUCUUUCAAGGAGCGCUUUUGGCUGGCGUUUGGUGCGGCGACUACGACAUCUUCUUCUGUGUUGUUCUGUGGCUUAACCUGGUUUCUCCAACCCUCUGAAACUGGUGGUGGUGGAUUGCAAGUCUGUUUUGCUCGGGGUGAUGUUCCAACCGAUGCUGCUUCAACAAUUUUUAGAUCUCGUCUCAAGGGGCGAGUAGCUUUUGCAGUCUUCAAAGCCUAGUAUGGCGAGGGCGUUUGCAGUUGUCGCUCUUUUUUGCUAUUAGUUCAGUGUAAUUUUCAAUCUCCGGCGGGCGACGCUCAAUCAAAGGAAGAAGACUAGUAUGCUUUUUAAUGUAAAUUUAUUUUUUACUGGUCGUUCCGCGUCCAGUUGUCUAUGCAUUGUACUCAUCUUUGUUUUCCUUGAUGAUAAUCAGAUCUAAGAUGCCCUUUGGCUGUUUUUAUUAAAAAAAUAUUAUGGAAACAUCGUGAAUAAAAGUAGAAGAUAAUAAAAUGAAAGAUGCUAAAGUUUUUAUCAAAAGAAGAGGAUAUCCCUCGGAUUUCAUCAACGCAACAAACCAACUAUUGCCGUAAACAAAAACCCAACUUUUCUAUUAUAACUAUUUCCCUAUACAAACAAUGAUUGAAAAAAUCAAGUUUUACAUAAGUUGCAACUUUCAAGUAACACAAGUCUCACCGAUCGCCACCACCCCAACAUCUGUGAUCAGGCAAAAGAAAACAUCUGAGAUUAGGCAACUCAAAACACAACACACACCCAGCUACUAUGAUGCAUAGUUCAGAGAAAAUGAAAGGGGGUCUAUGAUGAUGGAGAAUUGAUUCCUUGAUUGCCCUCCACUCGAUGGUGUCUAUCUAACUACUCACAUCUCCUUGAUUGCCCGUCCAUGUGAUGACAUCUAUCCUGCUACUCGCAUCUCCAAUUGCCUAUGAAACUAUGAAAGCUCAAGCUUUUGCUUGUCUGCUUUCUCUCGAUCGGACAAACACUCGGGACAUGUUGUUGCCCCCUACGAAACUAUCUCCAGGGAUGCUUUAACCAUUCUGACAAUGAUAGUAUAGAAACUGUAACAGAUAAUAUGUCAUAAAGCUAUUGUUCUGUAUGCUUAAAUUAUAGAGUAAAUCCCACAUAAUCACAACUUUGGAGGACUCGUGUAAAAAAAUGCAACUUUUUGAGUUGGUGCCACAAAAGCACAACUUCUAUGCCACAAGAGCCCCAAAACACAUUUGGUCCCAAAAUCACUAAAGUACUUAUAGUUUUCUGGGGGUUUCAUAUAUUUUGAGUAUUUCAAUAUUUGAGUAAACGUUUGGAUUAAAAAACUAGGAACUAUGUUUCUCUCAAGGUGCUCAUCCAAAUUUACUUUUAACUUUUCUAGAAUGGUCAGACUAUUUAUGAUUCUCAUCUAAUUUUCUGGAAAAAACCAAAUUUUAAUCAAAACUCUAUCAGUUCGGACGGAGACAUUCAGAACAAUGCUUGUAAUAUGUCAUGUUUGUUGUCUUCUGACGCUCCACAGCUUGUUUGGUCUAAACAAGGGGUAUGACUCCUAUGUAUUGUGUCUUUUUCUUCUUCUAAAAGGAUCAUACCUGCUAUAAAAGUUCAUCAAAAGUAUAAAACAUCUCGGACAUAAUAAAAAUUAUAUCGAGAUUCCAAGAUCACAGAACGACCACUAUCGUACUCUACGUGUAAAGAAACACAACCUUAUACUACUAUUGACAGAGACACAAAACGAUAAAUCUAUUGAUCUCGCAAAAGUUCUACUAGUAUUACUGAAAAAUCCGAGGGCUACCUCAGCUCUGAGAUGAACCGUAGAAACCUGUCCUGUGGUGGCCCUAAUACUCACACUCUUGAGUACCUUCACAUGCUUGGGAUAUCACACUCUUGUGAUGGGGUAACUCGUCCCUUUAAUAUUCACUACCAUAGAUUUGGUACAACUUUUAUUUGUGUCUACCUCUAACUACUCUGACAUCUCUAUCACUCUCACUUGAUAGUUCUUACUUCAUAGCUAGCUUGCUUGCUUACAUGAGAGGGGUGGCACACCUAUUUAUAGGAUUACAGCACCAUUAGAUCAUUGCCAAGUGUCAACCAUUCAAGCCCUACAACACAAUUCUAGAGAACUCCAUACAAAUAUCUUAUUUCUAUAUUUCUCUACUAUAUGUCAAACCAUGUCUAAUGUUUAUUCUAGAGUGUCCAUGGGAAGUAUCUAGUUUCUAGAUAUUUCCUAAUACACCAAAAUAUCUUACUCUAGAACUUCCAUACUUCUAGAGUUAUAUCUAAAUCUUUCCAUCAUGGUUAUUCAUGUAGCUUCUAGAACCUUCUCCUAAAUAUCCUCCUUUCUCAUGAAAUACUCCAUAAUAUUCUAGAAGCUUCUUGAAAUCUUCAUCAUAUUUCUAGAACCUUCCAAGUAUGCAUUGCAUUUCUCAACACUCCCCCUUAUUGCAUACUUGCUUGGUGGAUCAUAUCCUUGUUGAUGUCCAUGGAUCUUAUGCGCUCUUCCAUUCAUGAAUUUCUUCUUUUCCUCAUGCCAUGGAGAUUUCUCUCCCUUCAACACAUUCUCUACUAAUCCAAGAUUGUUAUCUACUUGGCUGCAACCUUCAAACUCAUUUAUCUUAUUGGACCUUCUUCGUACUUGCCCCCUUGUAGCCUCCUUAUAUGUUGGUAAAUUAACUUAAGCAGGUUCAACAUUGAUCUCCAAAAUUCCUCCUUACCUUCCAUAUCAUCCACAUUGAUCGGAUGAAGCUCCUUGAGUAUAAGAAGAUAGAUACCUUGUACGUCCUCUUUCUUCUCCUCAGAUUGCAUUGGUGUAUCUCCAUGAUUAAUCAAUGCUCCAUCUAUAGGUCUAUCAUGCUCUACCUCUUGUGACUUCUUACCAUCAGAGUACAUGCUCUAUCUCCUCUAAGUAGGCAUCCCUUUUUCCAUAGGUGAGUUCCUCACAGUCAUUGUCAAAUCCAUGUAUUGUGAAUUCACCAAUGAGAUCUCUAUUGCUCACCUCCAUGUAGAAGCCACCUGAUGUUUCCGACUAAUCCCACUCUUCCUCUCAUCCUCCAUGCAGAUUGAUGCCUCGACAUCCCACUCUUCCUCUCGGAAAUUCCUUCACGGUGACAUUCGCCAUAGUAGCCACAUCCCCUUCUGAGUGCUUCUUUGGACUCUAGCAGUCCCUAACAAGAUGAACUUUCUUGCCACAAUUGAAGCACUCACCUUUCUUUCUUAUUUCUUCCAUUAGCUCAUGUUAAUAUUCUUCUCUUCUUCUUUGAGCUCCCGCGGAGUAGUAGCUCUCCUUUGGGCACCACCUUUUACCUCUUAUCCAAUUCUCCUUCACAUCUUCUCAGUCUCUUAGUGGACUCUUCUUUCUUUUGAUAAAGAGUGCUUCCUCUUCAACCGUCUCUUUUAAUGUGAUACUUCCCAUCUCCUUAGCUAACGCCUCCUGAUUAGCCAACAAAUUCUCUAGUUCAACCAAAAGCCGGUUGUGUAGGCCAUCCUCUCACCGCGGCCAUAAAUCCAUUGUACUUUGGUAUUAGGCCAUGGAUAAUGAUCCUUAUCAUCCUCGCCUCAUCUUCUCUUCAGGAUCAAGCUGGGAUACCUCAGGACAAAUAUUCUUUACUUUUGUAAAGUACUGGCUGAUGCUGGGAGUGCCUUAUGAGAUACCAGCAAGCUCAUUUUCUAAGAGCUGGAGUCACAUCUCAUUCUUUCUUGAGAACAAAGUUGCCAAACUCUUUGAAUCUGCCUUCGGUGUCUUUGCAUCUUGAAUAUGCUCCCCUAGGUCCUCCUCAAUGGUGGUCUCAAUGCGAACAUAGCCUUGCAUGCCUUUAUUGACCACUUCCGCAAGGCUUCUGCACUCUCUGGAGGAGUAGUCUAUUGUUGGAAAUAUGCCCUAGAAGCAAUAAUAUUGUAUUAUUAUAUUUUCGUUAUUCAUAAUUAAGAGUUUUUAUUUCAUGCUAUAACUGCUAUGAUCCUGGAAUAUGCGAUUUCGUGGAAAACUCAUAUGCACGUGUGAAAUGAUAAACGGUAAACAAUAGGUUCUCGUCUCGCCUCUAAAACCAGCUCAAGUUUUGUUGGUGAUCACGUUUUCCGGAUCUUAGGAUAUUUUUAAGUGUAAGGUAGUCAAAACAACAUUGAGGGUGUGACAUUAGAAGAACGAUCAUAUUGAAUCGGCCCAAUACUUGUCUAUUAUACUAUGUGAUUAAAUCGUCUGAAAUCAUCUGUUAGACUACAGAGUGUUAGUAUGUGUUUUAGUUCCUUAGACCAUGAGAGUGUCUCAGGUUACUUCGUACCGGACGAUGGGCUUUGGGGUUUCUCAAACAUCAUAUGUAACAAGGUGAUCAUAAUGACAACUUUCAGGCACACCGAAAAGUUUGACAAGUGACCGGACAGCUCAAGAGUGGAAUUUUCUCCUCCGAUGAUGGAGACAUAUUAUUAGGGCCCUCUCAAUGUGCAGGCAUCGAUCAUCGUCUGGCCAUACAUAGGUGACUACUUUACGGGGAUGCCAGAACACGUCAACGAGAAAGAAGAGCAAAACCGGUAACAGGACUAAUGGUAUAGUGAGCAUGGUGAUGACUCAGGAGGAUACCGAUGCACACCGGGUUUUGUAAAGUAUCACGAAGCAAAGGGAACAUCACACGAUAACUAAAGGUUCACUCGAAUAUCAUUCAUGUAAUCAUAGGGACCAAUAUGGAUGUCCACGGUUCCGCUAUCGGUCAUUGAACGAAGGGGUUUCGUUCAUGUCUAUGUUUUUCCGAACCUAUGGGGUCACAAGCUGGUAAUCACGAUCUGCUGAGUGUUAGUGGGACGGGAGUGAUGAGAAUAUAUUUGUGGAAUUGUUUCAUUAAUAUCCGGAAUAAUUCCGAGAGGUUCCGGAAGCGUUUCGGGGUCACCAGAAGGGUUUCAGGAAUAUCGGGUAAUACCGGAUACUACUGAUUAAUUAUAUAUAGGUGGAAAAUGUUUCCGGGGUUGUUAAAUUAAAUAUAUAAUUCUCUGAAAAUAUUCGGAACAUUUUAUAUUUAAUUUAAAUAUCAAUAGGCCUUAAAAGGCCAAGAGGUGGAAGGCAACUUGGGCCACAAGGGCCCAAGUAGGAAGAGAGUCCUACUCCCUCUCCCUAGGCCGGCACCCCAAGGGGGACUUUCCCCCCUUGGUGGCUGCCCUCUCCCUCCCCUCUAACCUAUAUAUACUAGAUGAUUUACACCGUAUGGAUAUACAUGUUUUGGUGCCUCCUCUAGUUGAUCUAGUUCUAGUUCUUGUUGGUCCUAGUUGGCUAAUUAGAGCUAGCUCUAGCCACCUCUAAUCCUAAUAAUUAGAAGCCCCUUGUGGUUCUAAUCUCCUCCUUCUAAUUCUUCGGUGACAAUUAGCUCUAGACGGCAAAGCGCUGUCGGGUCGUGAAGACCGUACACUUGCAAUCAAGUAGAGAGGUUGUGCUUUCGGUCUUCCAUUUGAGGGAUUGUUCAAGGGCGGUUUCUGGGAGCGUCAUUGACGUUUGCGGGACUCCAAGUACGAUCUACACCGACUCGUCUACUUCCGCUGCGCUCCCAGAGUCAGUAACGAUCCUUGAUAUGAAGGAAAUAUGCCGUAGAGGCAAUAAUAAAGUUGUUAUUUUAUAUUUCCUUAUUUCAUGAUAAAUGUUUAUUAUUCAUGCUAGAAUUGUAUUAACUAGAAACUUGAUACAUGUGUGGAUACAUAGACAAAAUAUCGUGUCCCUAGUAAGCCUCUACUAGACUAGCUCGUUGGUCAAAGAUGGUUAAGUUUCCUAACUAUAGACAUGUGUUGUCAUUUGAUAAACUGAUCACAUCAUUAGGAGAAUGAUGUGAUGGACAAGACCCAUUCAUUAGCUUAGCAUUAUAAUCGUUCAAUUUUAUUGUUAUUGCUUUCUUCAUGUCAAAUACAUACCCCUCCGACUAUGAGAUUAUGUAACUCCCGGAUACCAGAGGAAUGCCUUGUGUGCUAUUAGACGUCACAACAUAACAGGGUGAUUGUCAUGGAAUUGUCACGUCAGAUGUCCUCGUGAAAGGACUUAGUCGUGGAGCCAUCGCAACUAGGAAGCUUAAAGGGGUUAAUCGGGACAAAGGACACGAGGUUUAUAUACAGAGGUCGGAUUAUGUCUCGAUAACCAGGGAGCGAAUCCGCUUUACCUGAACCGCCGCCGGGUCAGCCCUUUAUAUACAGAGGUCGACGCCCAGUGGCUUACAGAGUCCCGGCCGGCUCAUAAACAGUGUCUGGCUCGGUCUCUUAACUAUUCUUGCCUUACAAUACAAGUAACGUACAUAUGGGGGUUUAUCUCUAUAAGCCUUAAGUCGCCUCUGGGCUUUGGGCCCUUAACUGAACCGCCAUCUUCAAGCUUGGUCUUGGGCUUCAAAGUACUCGUAGGUAUAACCCGACCCCUCUUGGGCGGGUCAUACCUAAUAGUUAUAUCUCCAACAUUAGGCCCCAGAUUGAUUUGAACUGGUUCAUGUCAAUCUUCGACAUUUAAGAUAAAAUCUUGUGCUCCUUGCUUAUGAAAUUUCUGUAACCUGCCAUGAUGUCAUCCUUUGGAUUUGUGGCAACCCGCCAUGAAGUCAUGUGCCAUUAAUGCAUGUUUUGUCCGAUAUAUUUCAACGGAUCUUUUAUCUUUUAAUGACCAUCCCGAAAAUCAAGGCGUCUUUGUAGUUGGAUAACCAUGUCUUCAGCCUCCUCGUUUUUCGCGCCCACUUAUUAGCCUUCCCUUAUAAAUAGGCAUGACUAGGUCUCUUCUCAUUCUCCCCUUUCCUCAUCUUCUUCCUCUCGCACCCUACUGCUGCUCAAGCUCCGCCGCCGCCGCCGCGCACCUCGUCUUCGUCGACCUUCACCGCUGCAUCGACCUAAAUCCGUCCAGAGAACGGCGGCGAGCCUCCGAAGUAGCCCUGCAGCCGAAAGUCUUCUUCUUCCCAUGCUUCAGAUCUGCAUUAUGGUUUGUAAGUUCUUUAUGUGUUCUUCGUUGUUCAUCUCGGUUUCUUUGUAGCUUCACCACUCUAGCCUCCUUUGAUCCAAAAAGAGUAUAAAAGUUAUGCGGUAGCUGUUUUGCACCCAUUUUUGAUACUAGCAGAUCCCUUUAUCUUGCAAAGAGGCCUCAUUAGGACUGAUGAAGUCAUAUGUACUUGCUUUUUAGGUCUAGAAUAUUUUCUUUUCCUGAACAUCAUUUGAUCCAAAAUUAUUGUCGCGGCUUGUGAAACUUUUUUGUGCAAUACUUCGUAAAAAAACCUGCACUUGUUAGAUCCAGAUAGCCAUGGCGGUUGAAACCACCAGACCAGAUUGCAAUGCUCAAUAGAUAAUGUCAAAUACUCAUGGAGGCUUAAAUAACCUGUUUACCCACAGCGGUUUAAAGAACCUGUCGUAGUUAGUCAUAUACCAUUAGGCCCCUUUGUAAGCAGCCGUCUUCAAUAAGUAUUGUAAUGUUUCCCUCCGGUUCUAAAUUUGAAUUGGAAAUCUUUACUUUUUCUUAGGCUUUCAUCACAAUGCCUCCUAAGCCGCCCACUUUGUGCAAUUGGGUCAAAUCCAUCGUCAUAGACAGCUCACUUGAUGACUUUGUGAAGACUGGCUAUCUUCCCAAGAAGGAAGUUAUGUCUUAUCGUGCUCCCGAUCCAACAGAGGAAAAGCCUCAGCCCAAAGCGGGGGAAGUUAUCGUCUUUACUGAUCAUAUGAACCGGGGUUUCUCACCACCCGACUCAAAAUUGUUUAGGGAUGUCUUGCACUUCUUUGAUCUCCGUCCUCAAGACAUCGGACCCAAUUCCGUGUCUAUCAUUUGCAAUUUCCAAGUGUUCAGUGAGGUAUAUCUUGGAUAAGAACCCAAUUUGUUACUCUUUAGAGAGUUAUUCUAUUUGAACCGCCAAAAUGAAUGUGCCAAUGGACAAAGCUUGGAACUUGGUGGUGUCUCAAUCCAGCGUCGGAGAGACGUCACUUUUCCCUAUGCCAAUCCACCAAGUCAUCCAAAAGACUGGAACCAAACAUGGUUCUACUACCAAGACACUUAUCCAGCUGAUGAGAAUCCUGCCCGGGUUUUGACUCUUCGUCUUGAUUCCAAUCAUCCACUUCCUGACAAAAUAAUAGCCGCCAAACGCAAGACGCUCGCCCCCAUCCUGGCUAAGAUCAAGGCUCUUCUAGGGAACGGGCUAAAUGGCAAUGACUUAGUCCGAGUUUGGCUCGCUUGGCAGAUCAUUCCAUUAAGCCGCCGCCCCAGUUUAAUGUGCACCUAUUCAGGCAAGAGAGAUGAUUCUCUGCAACACAGUUCUGAUGACUUACCUGAAGAUCUCAUCAAUGACAUGACCAAGUCGCUCUUAAACGAGAGCCUAGCAGAUUGUGGCAAGAUAGGCCUAAGCCCUUUCUGCGAAGCUAACCCGGCUCCAGCGGUAAGUCGCCAAGCUGAAUAAAUCAUCUCCAUCAUUAAUGUUUUCAUCUGUACUCAACUCCUUUGCCGACUUUCACAGGCUGAUGAUAAAUUCUGGAAGGCGAAAUAUGAUCAUGAAGCUGCAAAGAAGGCCAGGAAGGCCAAGAGAGCCGCCAGGAAAGCUGCUGUAAAGAAAAGGGGAAAGAAACCCAGCGCUUCCGAGUUACUUCAAUUGGAGGACUCUUCUGAGUCGGAGGUAGCCCUUGACUCUCUUGGCUCAUUUUUUAAUCACCUUAUUGAUAUUGAUUAUGAUCAGGAGGACAUGGGCACGAGUCACGGGGUGCAUGAAGAGGUAACUAUUAUUUUCCUCCGACGCAGAGCCUUUGCCGAGACAAAAACUCCGACGGGUAACCCGUAAAGUAAGAUUUUCACAUCCCUUAGCUUAUCAAGAUCCUCAAUUUAUUUUGAAGCAACAGAUUCAUUAGAGUCGGAGGCAGACCCGGACCAACAAAGAUGCUGAACUCUCCUUCGGCUUACCGAACACACCACAUAAGCGCCGAAACGAGGUCACCUCUGACUUAAAUUCUUCUUAUCCUUUGGUGGGUCUCACUCGUCAACCACUGAAUCCUUUUGACUCGAAUUAUCAGAAAACUUCACCUUCCUCCGGUGACUCAAUGCAGUCUAACUUGCCGGCUUUCAAAACUGCUCCAGGGUAAUGAUAACCUGCUUAUCCUGUGUUUAUUUCAAUUCCUUGUACUUGCACUAACCUUUUAAUCUUAUGCAGUGCAAAAGCAAAACCCAGCAAGAAGGCGAAGAAAGAUAAGUCGGCCGAUGAGCAUGUCUUCAAAGAACCGGAGCUUGGAACAACCGCCCCUGAAGCCUCUACUCAUGAGCCGCCACCUGAGCCAGCUUAUGACACGCCCACGCCAAUUGCCGACCCACCUGCUGAGCGAGCCGCCGAUGGCUUUGAAAACCCGGAAAUCCCUAGCCCGGCCAGGACAGAUGAUCCUCAAGACCCUGAUGUCGAUAUCACCAAGACCGGUUAUGUUGAACCGGGGAGGCCAACCAUACUGGCCAAAUGUUCCUCCGAGGAGCUUCUGGAACGCCGUCGGGUCAAGCUUGAUGUUGCUGAUUAUACUCAUAUGACUAUUGGGGAGGUUUUCUCUGGCUAUCUAAGCCAAGUACAUAGCAGUUGUGAUGUUGAAAUUAAUAUGGUGAAGCAGAUGCACCAGAAGUUUGAGGUACAAUCCUUUCUCUGUACUGAUUUACCCUUGUUAUGCCAGCCCCCAAGUCUAUUGCUUAUGAUGAAUAUGCUAUAGACUUAGAAACAAGCUUAAUAAAAUUAGUAAUAUAUAGGGACAAAAUAUGUAAGAAUUCCGGCUUACUAUGUAGCCCCCAAGGGCUGGCUUAAGCAGUAUUGUUGAGCCGGUCCUUAACAUGCUUGAAUAGAAUAAGAUACUUGCAAAAUAUUCAAUAGCAAUAUGCAUUAGCCCCCACAUGCCAAGUGCUUUUGCUUGCAAAGUACUUGGGACUUACUCUCAUGAACCGCCACGUAGAGAAAAUUCUUCGGUAGACAUUAGCCCCCAAGUGCCAAGUGUUGUUGCUUGCAAAAGGCUUGGGACUUGUAAUAUUAGAUGCUAAUAGUUAUGAUUUUCAAACCGGUAUUUGUACAAGCCACCACCAGUCAACUUGAAUCAGAAGUAUCUGACCUGAAGAACCGCCUGGAAGCACAAGAGACGGAAACCCAAAGAGCCAACUCCAAGUUUGAAUUCAGUGUAUCUGAACAAGAAAAACUGAAAAAAGACUUUGAAGUGGAGAAAAAGGCCUGGGCUAAUGAAAAGAUUGCCUUGACCAAUCGAGCCCAGAAGGCAGAGGCGGCUCUUGAAGAAGCAACAGUCGAAUUAUCCGGCUUAAAACGCCAUAUAUCUUAGAUGGUCUCAGCGAUCUUUGGUAAGUCGCCCUGCAAGCGUUAAAUACUUGAAACUUUCCAAUGAUCAUAUAAAUUGUUUCUAACGCACCUGGCAUUGUUAUGCAGGCCCCAGGAGCUCCAAUCUUAAUCAGGAUAUGUUGAUAAAGCUGAAAGCAGUGUAUACAUUGGUAGAACAACUCUAUACUGGGUCUAACCAUGCCUUAGCCAUAGUGGCCUUGUCCAAUGAAGUGCCCACACUCCUGGUGGAUUUGCUAAAGAAACUUUCUGUGCUCCCCCAGCGACUCGCGUUCGUCUGCCAAAGCCAGAGUGGUGAAUUCUUUAAGCCGGGCCAAAGCUUGGCUACCGGAGUUAGACCCGGCCGACAUCGCCAUUGGUUAUCCGAGCCUUAAGGAGGAUGGCACUCCCUUUGAACAGGAAGACUUUGGCACUUGUGUGAAGGAGGUACGGCCCGUGGCCACCCACAUAGCUGAUGAAGUAAAUCUCACCAAGUACCAACCGGGUUAUGACACAGAGAACCGGAGAAUUCCAAAGCCACAUUACAAAGUGACCAGCCUGAUCCCCCCAAUCCGUAAGCAUACCUUCGCCCCUGAAGUUGACCCCGCUGGACUAAUUGAUGAUGAAGCUGAAUUUGAAGCUUUGAAUGACAUUGACUGGUCAUCAUCAACCUUCCAGGAAAGGGAACAGGGCAAAGAAGCGGAGAGGGCUGACCCGGACGCUUCAGGCCAACAAGAGAGUUGAUCCGCCAACAUCUUAUAUUUGUAACCUGCUGAAAAACAAUUUAAUCCUUUGGACUCGAGGAGUCAUGUAAUAGGAUAGGAAAGACUUUGCUUGUCGUGCCAUCAGGCACAUUUUGAUGUCUUAACACUGUUUAAGCCGCCAUCUUAUAUUUGCUCCUUUUUAUCAUCUGUAUUCCUUGUGCAUAAGAAGCCGUUAAACUGUCAUGCACACAAAGACUCUUGGCGGCUUACCGCAAGGUUGGUCAUAUAACUUUCAUCAUGAAGAUAAGAAUCACAGAUAAACCUGUUAUGAAUUAUAGUUGUUUGAAACAUACUAUUAAUAUCAUACCUGUGACUUGAAAUUUGAACUGCCGGUUUAUAUGACCCGCACAGUAAGAGUGAUAACUCAAUCCUCAGAAGCCACUUACUUCCAAGUAUAUGAUGUUUGUCACAUGUUGGUGACUUAUCGUUCAAAACUAAGCCGGUUUAAAGCUAAACCGCACUUAUAUUUAAAUCUAAACAAGAAAAGUCUCAAGAUAAACUAAAGAUCGUUUCCAAAACACUUAAGUCAAAUAGAGAUAAAAUAAAGCAAAGGCUUCUGAUAUGAAUACGAUUAGUAAACCGUUCCAAAGGGGUUAAGCUAUGAUUCGAAUAUGAUCAUGUAGCCCCCAGUGGCUUUGGCGUUGCAUCGAUCAAGAGGGUACCGACAACUAUGUUCUCUUGGGUUCGAAUAUGACCCAUGUGUGAACAGGAAGCCCCCAAAUGACCUUGAGAGUUUUUUAACGACUCUGAUUCGAAUACGAUCAAAGUCGGACCCAAAGAGGUUAAGCUAUGAUUCGAAUACGAUCAAGAAGCCCUCUAGUGAGCUUGGCAUUGUGCCGAUCAAAAGGGUACCGACAACGAUGUACCGAGAGGGAUCAAGCGAUCCCAUGGUAUGGUAAGCUUUGUCAAUCAUGCUUUGUGUACUAACCCAUGAUCUUCGUGAGAGUUCAGUGUGGGGUUAGGUUGUGGUGUUCAAGUUCAAGUGAAGCAUCACGAAGAGAUCAAAUGCUUGAAGCUUGCCAUCCAUUAUGGUGACAAUGGACUUAUGAAGAUGUGCGGAAGAGUGGCUCACCCAUAGUGGAGUAUGGGGGAGCAAUCAACUAGUCUUCAUCGAGCCAACGCAAUCAAGAAAGGUGGUCCAACUUGAGGGAGUCAAGAUCAUCAUCAUAUAGCUCAAGUGGACCAUGUGCAAGGCAAAGGUUUGCCCUUGAUAGGUUUUCCUUUUUACCAGUCUCAUGAUGGUUGUUGGGAGACCGGGUUUUAGGUUCGAUUGCCGUUCUAUCAAGGGGGGCUCUCGAUGAGUAACUUGAUCGUAUCAUUCAUAGAGAGCUCAAACCUUUGCAUCCUUGCAUCAUCUUUCUUGGUUCCUAUUUGGUUCUCUUUGUGAGUUUUGGAGCUUAUGGCCAUCUUGAUGACAAGCUUGAGUUCAUCGAAAACGGAGUUCACAUGCUUCUUCUAUGAUGUUUUCGAUGUUGGAGGUUCUGCCGGUUCUUCUCUGUUGGAGGUUUCUCUCCUCUUUUUGUUAGGCAUACCUCCCCUGUCGCUGUUUUUAUGCUACUCGUUGUCUUGUAUCCAACAAGCUUGAGUUUGCUCAAUUCGAUGUUCAUUUGCAGAAGUUAUGGCAGUUCUAGUUUUCCUUGGAGCGUACUUGUUUUCGUGGCUUUGGCAUUAGGUUGGUGCCAGCGGUAGUACCGCUGGACAAGAGCGGCAGUACCGCGUAUCACCACAAGCGGUAGUACCGUUGUCCCACAGCGGUAGUACCACCCAUGGCCAUAAGCAGUAGUACGGCGCCAGUUCCGCGCUGGUACCGCCUCGACUCGAGACAUGGUUGUCUCGUGUCGGGUUCAGUGGCAGUAGUAGCAUCAGUAGGAGCGGUAGUACUGCUCGUGUGCAGUAGUACCGCGGCUACCACCGCCCCUAGUUCCACUGGGCCAAGCAGCAGUACCGCUAGCUCCAGCGGUAGUGCCGCUCGUUCGGCUCUGCCUCGCCCUCUGUUUUUGCUAUGUUCUCUGUGUUCUACCGCCCGGGCGGUAGUACCGCUCCCCUAAGCGGUAGUACCGCUCGUGCGUGGACUGACCACAUAACGGUUGGAUUCGGGAGCUCCUAUAAAAGGGGCCCUUCUUCCCCAUUCAACCUUAUCAUUUGAGCUCAUGUUCUUCCCCCAUUGUUGACCUUCUUUGAGCUUACUAACUCUCAAUCCCUCCGCGGAUUCUUGCUAGUUUUUGAGGGAAAAGAGAGAGGAGAUCUAAAUCCACAUUUCCACCAAUCACUUUCUCCUCUAUGUGAGGGGAACCCAUUGGAUCUAGAUCUUGGAGUUCUUGGUGUUCUACUUAUUGUUCUUCCUCUCAUCUUCCUCCCUAGCAUUAGUUGCUUUGGUGGGAUUUGAGAGAGAAGGACUUGGGCACUCCGUGUGCCCUUGACAUUGCAUUUGGUGCAUCAGUUUGAGUUCUCCACGUGAUACGUGGAAGUUACAAGUUGAGAAGCUUAUCACUCUUGGGUGCUAGGUACCCUUGAGCUUGUUACUCUUGGGUGUUUGGACACCCUAGAGCUUGUUCCUCUUGGGUGCCUUGGCGCCCUAGAUGGUUGGUGUUGUUCGGAGCUCAAUCAUUGUGGUGUAAAGUUCCGGGCAAGAUCGGGGUCUCCAAUUAGGUUGUGGAGAUCGCCCCGAGCAAUUUGACGGGUACCCGUGACCGCCCCCUAGGGUUGCCAAAGUGUACGGGUUCGGUGACCGCCCCAAGGGUCGCCAUUUGUACGGGUUUGGUGACUGCUGAGGGAGUCCCGGACUAGGGGGUGUCCGGAUAGCCGAACUAUCAUGGUCGGCCGGACUCCAAGACUAUGAAGAUACAAGAUUGAAGACUUCGUCCCGUGUCCGGAUGGGACUUUCCUUGGCGUGGAAGGCAAGCUUGGCGAUACGGAUAUGUAGAUCUCCUACCAUUGUAACCGACUUUGUGUAACCCUAGCCCUCUCCGGUGUCUAUAUAAACCGGAUGGCUUUAGUCCAUAGGACGAACAACAAUCAUACCAUAGGCUAGCUUCUAGGGUUUAGCCUCCUUGAUCUCGUGGUAGAUCCACUCUUGUAACACACAUCAUCAAUAUUAAUCAGGCAGGACAUAGGGUUUUACCUCCAUCAAAGAGGGCCCGAACCUGGGUAAAACAUCGUGUCCCUUGUCUCCUGUUACCAUCCGCCUAGACGCACAGUUCGGGACCCCCUACGCGAGAUCCGCCGGUUUUGACACCGACAUUGGUGCUUUCAUUGAGAGUUCCUCUGUGCCGUCACCAUCAGGAAGGAUGCCUUUUCCCGUCUUUAAAGACGGCACCGUCGUCAAGGGAGCUUUGGCUGCCGGCCAGACUAUCCGGCUAGGUGGUUUUCUCAUGACCGCCUGUUCGGCCACCGCUCCGACAAUGACCUCUCAGGUCAUUAAAAGCGAUCUUCACGUCAGCUCGGAAUUCGCCGAGCAGCUAGAUCCGAUCGAGCUCUCCUUCGUAAACGAGCUCUUGGAUCGCAUCGCCGCCCUAGGAGUCGCUACCGACUACGAUCAGAUUGGGCUUAAAACCGAUCUGAGAGAAAUUAACUCUCCCCAGGUUACCCACCACAUUGUUGUGGUAGAGGAACAAUGCGGCGACUCUUCUUCUAUGUUAAAAACCAACUAUGUCCAGAUUCCCGAUCCCUCCAUGCCGGAUUUCCGCGGAGGGACGGACGCUAAUCAAAUACUGAACCUAAAGUUAGGCAUCGGACCGGAUUUGUUGGAAAGCGUUCAGCAAACCAAGCUUCCGAAUCCGGAAGCUUCUUGGCCUUUGAGCCUCAGAUCGGGCGGGGUUCCAAACUUAAUUCCACCCGCCCACCCAAACAUAAGCGAUCUAUCUCAAAUACGGCAAGAGCCCGAUGAAACAGUACAUCAUCACUGGGCCAGAUUCCUCCUAGUUAUGAACAGGAUAAAGGACUGCCGUGAAGAGAGCAGGAUUUCAAUCUUCUGCAACAAUUGCACGGACAAGGGAAUCAUAAACGCCAUCAGUCGUCGCGAAGUUACACGCUUCGCUGACCUAGCGACCAUUGUACAAAAAUACUGCGCGAUGGAGAGUGCCUGGAAAACCGAAACUAGGUUUUGGGACAAUCCGGCCCUGAAUACAACCCCAGUCCGAAAUAAAAGGGUGCGCCAUAUACAAGCACCUGGGUUAAAAACCAAAAAGCAAAAACCCCCUAAAGGGUACGGAACCGUACUGGAGGGAUGGCUCAACGGACCCUGCAAAAUCCACAGUAUGGAGGGCGCCACUCCAACACAUAGCCUUCGAGCAUGUUGGAUACUGCGGCAGGUGGCCAAAAGUGGCGAAGGCUUUUUAGCCCUGGGCAACCAACCCAGCAGUACCAGUACGGUAUUAACAGUCUUCGAGACUUUCGCAUCAAAUAACAUGCGGAAACGAACAAUCCGCAGCCUCGCCGAAGUCUACCAAGUAGCAACAACAAAUCGAUGGAGCGACACGGCUAUCACCUUCAAUGCCAGCGACGAACCUAAAUUCCGAACAGCUAGAGCACCAGCCGCAUUGGUCCUCAGUCGGAUAGUGGACGGUUUCCGUCUUACUAAGGUACUCAUGGAAGGCGGCAGCGGAUUAGACCUCAUCUACGAGGAAACCCUUCAAAAAAUGGAAAUUGACUGGAGCCGCAUUGAGCGAAGCAGCACAACCUUCAGGGGAAUAAUCCCUAGUCGAGAAGUACGCUGCACAGGAAAAAUCACACUAGAUGUAGUGUUCGGCUCACCGGACAAUUACAGGUCCGAAGAGGUCACGUUCCAAGUGGCCCCAUUCGGCAGCGGAUAUCACGCUUUGUUAGGGCGAGAGGCAUUCACAAUCUUCCAAGCUAUACCCCAUUAUGGGUACAUGAAGCUCAAAAUGCUUGGACCCAAUGGAAUAAUCACUCUCGCAAGCGAUCCAGAUACAGCACUCCGCGCUGAAAAUAAGACAGCCGCACUGGCCCUAGAGGCAUUGUCCGAAGCCCUAGCGGCAGAGGAACUAACUGCGCUGUGCUCCACGGUGGAUAGGGACGAUGUGAUACUCGAUAAGAGGUCCAAGUCCACCUCUUUUAAACCAGCAGACGAAAUAGUCAAAUUUCAGGUCCAUCCAACGGACCCCACAAAGAUGGCCUCCAUUGGGGCACAAUUAAGUCCUGAUGUUGAGGCCGCACUACGAGAAUUCCUUAGGGAAAAUUGGGACAUUUUUGCCUGGCACCCUUCAGACAUGCCAGGAAUCCCACGCAGGCUGGCAGAGCACAGCCUAAAUAUCCUAAAAGGAUUCAAGCCAGUCAAACAAGCUCUUCGAUGAUUUUCCGAACCCAAAAGACAGGCAAUGGGAGAGGAGCUAGCCAAACUCUUAGAAGCCGGAUUCAUCAGAGAUAUAAAACACCCGGACUGGCUAGCCAAUCUAGUAAUGGUACCAAAAAAGGACAAAUCCUAGCGCCUCUGCGUCGAUUUUAAAGACCUUAACAAGGCCUGUCCAAAGGACCCUUUCCCUCUCCCUCGCAUCGACCAAAUCAUCGAUGCUACUGCAGGGCACGAUUCGUUGUGCUUCCUCGACGCAUACUCCGGAUACCAUCAAAUCAAGAUGGCGGAGAAAGACCAGGCCGCAACGGCAUUCAUUACUCCAUACGGGCCAUUCUGCUUCAACACAAUGCCCUUCGGACUCAAAAACGCCGGCGCAACAUAUCAGCGCAUGAUUCAGACAUGUCUGGCUACCCAGAUAGGCAAAACAGUAGAGGCAUACGUAGACGAUGUGGUCGUCAAGACCAAACACGUCGAAACUCUAGUACAAGACUUGAGGGUGACAUUCGACAACCUCCGAGCAUAUGACAUUAAGCUCAACCCAGAAAAAUGCGUCUUCGGAGUACCAGCCGGAAAGCUCUUGGGCUUCAUUGUAUCCGGUAGAGGAAUUGAAGCAAACCCAGCCAAGAUCCGAGCUCUGUCACAAUUGGAUAUUCCAAAAGACCUCAAGCAAAUACAAAAACUAACCGGAUGCGUAGCGGCUUUAAGUCGCUUCAUCUCCCGUUUGGGAGAAAAGGCUCUGCCCCUCUAUCGCCUCCUUCGGCGCACCGAACAUUUCGAAUGCACGGAUGCUACCACAGCCGGACUCGAAGAAAUAAAGGCCAUACUGGCAACAAAUCCGGUCCUGGCUGCGCCCAACCUGGGCGAACCUAUGUUAUAUAUAUCGCAGCAACACAUCAAGUUGUCAGCGCGAUACUCGUCAUCGAACGAGAAACAGAAGGGCACAAAUUCCCUCUCCAAAAACCAGUGUACUACUUAUCCACUGUCCUAACUCCAUGCAAGUCCCGGUACCCACAUUAUCAAAAGAUAGCGUAUGCGGUGUUCAUGGCAUCCCGGAAGCUGCGACACUACUUUCAAGAGUGUUCCAUAACGGUGGCCUCCGAAGUACCUCUCAACGAUAUUAUAAACAAUCGCGACGCAAUGGGCAGGAUUGCAAAAUGGGCCAUUGAGCUCUUACCAUUUGACAUAACCUACAAACCAUGGCGAGCUAUAAAAUCGCAAGUUCUGGCUGACUUCAUCGCCGAAUGGACCGAAGCCGAACUCCCUAAAGAGUACGGCGCGUACUCCAAUUGGAUCAUCCAUUUCAACAGAUCCAAAAUGUUGGCUGGCUUGGGGGCUGGCAUCGUCUUGACGUCCCCAACUGGAGACACAGUCCAAUAUGUACUUCAAAUAAUGUACAUGGACUCCAACAACGCAGCCGAAUACGAGGCCCUUCUACACGGCCUCCGGAUGGCAAUCUCCAUGGGCAUUCAACGCCUAGAGGUGCGCGGGGAUUCAAACCUCGCAAUAUCCCAAGUAAACAGAGACUUUGACGCCAAAGAUCCGAAAAUGGCAGCUUACCGCAACGCCGUCCUAAAAAUGUCAGCUCGGUUCGAAGGACUCGAAUUCCACCAUGUAGCCCGGGAUAACAACCAGGCACCAGACGUGUUGGCACGCAUCGGCGCAAAACGCGACGCCGUCCCUUCAAACAUCUUCCUGGAACGGCUCUUUAAGCCGUCCGUAUUAUGGGAAGAGGAGUCCGGAAAUAACAAUCCGGAACUAGCUGCAGCACCUAACGCAGACAAUUCUGACACAAUCGGCGGCUCAGCCAAUGAAAUAACACCUUCAGCCCACGAAAUAAUGGCAGUAAUUGCCCUAUGGACGGAACCAUUCUUAGCCUACCUAAUCAGGCAGGAACUUCCCGAAGUCCAAAAGGAGGCCCGCUGCAUAGUUCGGCAAUCUAAAGCCUACAAGGUCCAUCAGGGAGAACUUUAUAAGAAAAGCACAACCGGAGUCCUUCAAAGGUGUAUCUCCGAAGAGGAAGGGCGAAAUCUCCUGGCUGAAAUUCAUGCCGGACUCGGCGGGCACCACGCUGCAGCCCGGGCCCUUGUAGGCAAGGCCUUCCGUAUAGGAUUUUAUUGGCCAACAGCCAGGGCAGAUGCUCAGGACUUAGUCCAACGAUGCGUCGGUUGCCAGCUCUUUGCUAACGAGAGCCACAUGCCACCCACCACCCUCAAAACUAUACCCAUCACCUGGCCGUUCGCGGUCUGGGGGCUUGACAUGGUUGGACCCCUUAAAGGAGGAACCCACAAGCACAAAUACUUAUUGGUCAUGGUGGACAAAUUCACCAAAUGGAUUGAGGCCAAGCCAGUUAAAACGGCAGAAUCCGGACCGGUGAUAGACUUCAUAUCCGGGGUAGUACACCAUUUUGGCGUCCCCCACAGCAUCAUCACUGAUAACGGCACGAAUUUCAUGGCCGACGAGGUUAAACUCUGGUGCAAAAACAUGGGCAUCAAGCUCGACUACGCUUCAGUCUAUCACCCCCAAACUAACGGUCAAGUCGAGCGAGCAAAUGGUCUAAUCAUGAGCGGCAUCAAACCCAGACUAGUGCGGUCCCUCAAGGAAUCUAACAUGCACUGGGUAGAGGAGCUCGACUCCGUACUCUGGGGGCUGCGGACCACGCCAAACCGAACUACCGGAUUCACACCAUUUUUCAUGGUAUACGGCGCAGAGGCAGUUCUGCCCUGCGAUAUAAUUCAUGACUCACCUCGCGUGCGCAUGUAUGAAGAAAGAGAAGCCGAGUUGGAUCGGCAGGACAAUUUGGACGCCUUAGAGGAGGAGCGGGACGUGGCAAAAGCUCGUUCCGCAUUUUAUCAGUAGCAGGCUCGAAGAUAUCAAAGCAGAGAAGUACGGGCCAAAACUUACAAUGUUGGCGAACUUGUUCUACGCCCGCCGGACAAGAAAAAGGACAAACUUAAGCCCAAGUGGGAAGGUCCCUUCAUCAUCGACCAAGUCCUGACCGGCGGAGCAUACCGUCUACGUAACGCAUCUGACAACCGACUCGAGCCGAACCCAUGGAACGCAGCCCGUCUCCGAAGAUUCUACGCCUAACGCCGGACUCAGAGUUCGUCUCACUCCUCCGUCCACAUUUUUACAUUUUCACUGUCUCUUGUCCCCCUCCUUCUUCCCACUUUUUUUCAACUACCUUUUAUAGGCUGAUUUGCACAUUGUUCGCACACACUUGAUGUGCUCCUAGCACUCAUUAUACCUGGGGGCUUCUUUAACAGAAGCUUAUUUAUACGGGCUUCAUGCCCAACACAUGUGUCAUACUUCCGCAUGUACCUUUUAUUCACCAUUAUAUGCAUCGAUAUGACUUAAGUUUUGCCAAGCUGGGUUGCCUGGCUCCUGUGCUUACCCCUACGUUCCCGAUUGUUCGGCUAGGAGGUAAAGAGAGCACCUCUGCGAUUGUUACUGCCGGGUCAGCCGGAUGUGUACCUCAGACUGGGUGAAGCCAAAAGCUAGCAUUCUUAAGAGAAUAUUCGGUCGGUGACUUGAAAGAUGAUUUAUUACUUACUUAUUUAUCUGCCCCCAGAUGCUUUUUCUGUUAUUUUCGCAGUACGGACAUGCACUUUAGGGCAUGCCUCCCAGGGAAAGGAACCCUUAACGGAACUAUUCUCCCUGGAAGAUGUUUCUUACUAACCAUGUAAUAUAACAUAGCUAGUUGGGCACUUGUCUGAUAAAGCAAUUAUGACCCCGACGCCUUGUCUCCACGCAUGCCCCGGUUCUUCUAUAACCGUAAGGGUAUUCGGACACACUCCGGACUGUUGGGUCCCGAGGUUGAAGUGAAAAGGUCCGCAAAGAAAAACGAUCUACAAUCCGGCUAGAAGGCAUUUUACAUGUCAUUUCAAAUUACAUCGUCAAACUGACUGAUUGUAUUCUUCUUCAAUCCCAUCUAACAGACUGUCUAAUUUACAGUCCUGUCGGGAAUAUUUCGCGGCCAGUUCUACUUGGCCGUACAUCAAGCUCACAGGGAUCUCCUUCCCAUCAGGCCCCGCAGGUCCGACCUCAGCCAUGUGGUUUGGGUCAGCCUUCGGGUACCGCGUCUUCACCAUGGCCCAGGCCUCCCUGGCGCCUUGACGGCAGGCCGAUAUCUUCCACAGACGGAGGCGUCGCCGUGCUCCCUGAAGCUUCUCAGCAAGCCCUCCAAGGCCCUCGGGUAGGGAGACGGAAGGCCAUAAAGCCUGAACGACGCCACUCAUCGCCUGCCGAACACGUUCGAGCAGUUGCACCAGCUCGGGAAGUUGGUCACCCGUUGAACUGGGCAUUUCCUCCGCAUGGUGACCUGUGAGCACACCUAAAGACACAUUUCUGUCAAUCGACUUCCUCGCCAAAUUCUUCUUUUCAAAGGAAUUUUCUCAAGCACUUACUAUAAAUGCCGCGACGAAGCCGCUGAUUCUCCUUCACGGAGCCAGACAGCUGGGCCCGAACAUCUUUCAGCUCUUCUCCUAGCUGGAUGUGGGCAUCUUGGAGCUUGUUCCUCUCCUGCUGCACCUUCAUAAGCACCAUCUCGCCAGACUUUAGCUGACGCAGUAGCUGCUGCUUGUCCGGAUCUAGUCCGGCGCCCUCUGCAAUCUUAUUGUCAGAUUUAUGCACACGCCGCACUUUGUUCAUUACUUAUCUUUUCGAAGUACGUCUUACUAGCGGGGGUCUCUGUGGCUCCCCCUGUGGCGGCCAGUGCGGCCUCAAGUUGGGCCUUGCACUCUUGGAGUUCCUGGGACAGGUGGGUAUUCUUCUUCGUAAGAUCCUGCAUAAUAAAUGAUCCUUAAAUCAGUUAUUUUAACUAUUUUAAGUCUCGGGGGCUACUGGCAUAUAUAACUAUUAAAAUUACUUACCCGUAUGUCUUUCACAUACUGCUCCGUGGCUCUGGUUAACCCAUCUUGAGCGGCAUGGAGGUGCGCGUUUCCCGCAUCAAAGGCAUUUAACGCCUCCAGGGAGAAACACGCGUCACGAAGAACUGUCCGGCGACGCCUGUGAUUCAUGGCGCUCUCCACCUCAGACCGGGUGGCGGACAGCCUGUCGGCAUCCUCCGUCAGAGGAGCGUCCGGCUCAUGCCUUGUAUUCGCCUCCCCUUCCGGGCCAUGCGUUGGAGCAUGGCUGGCGGAGGCUUGAUUGGCAACCUCUCCGGACACUGUCCGGCGAGCGCUCUUUCUGGAAAAAGUUAUGAGCAUUAAUAUACCUCCUAGGGAUCCUUCCCUUAAAAAUAGCGGUGCUCCGUACCGUUGCGGCGACGUUUCGGUUCGCGUCGCAGUCCUCUUCCGCCUGCUGGGCCGAACUGACCCUUGUUGGUCAGCCGCCGCGGGUUCGGCUUCCCGCCUUAAAGGCACCUCCUGUGAUGCACCGUCAGUAUAGGAUGGUUAGAAUUGAGCGCGGAUCAAAUGAUAGUGUCAAGACCUCGGUCGGAGGCCGGAAACAAACCAGGGUAGUCAGCUGUAAUGGCGACUAGGGCAUUGUCCAUGCUAAGUUGGUGGAACACCCCGUCAAUAUGCUCCACCUUUAUGUCCGGAUCCUCUUCGGAGGUCGGAUCAAGGGAUCAUUCCGUAUCCUCGGGCUGUGGAGUUAGGAUUCGUAUGCCCUCCAUGUCCCGGCGCAGCUCCUGCAUCGAAAUCACAGAGUAAGAUACUUGACUUUGAAAGUAUGGAUCGGGUAGAUGAACAUCCGCUUACCCAGCUCCGAGGGUUAUUCAUAGAGAAUACAUUCAAUGGAUUCGUGCGGAGGAAGUCCUCCUCCUCCCCCUUGUACAAGCCAUACAGGAUCUUUGCCAGAUCGGCUGCCGAGCCUGGCCCUCUGCGGCCAUGACGGGUGGCGUCAUCUUCCCCGUUUAAAUCCCACAUAGGGUGGCCCCUAUAUUGGAGUGGCUGCACCCCUCACAUAAUGCACAUGGCCAUGAUUCCAAUCAUGGUCAAUCCGGAGUGGGCCAGUAACCUAAUCCGGCCCAUCAGAUAAUGGACGCUCCCAUCAUGUUCCCGUUGAGGGCUCCGCGGGCGCCAACUCAGGCGUUUCUUCAAGGGAGCAUAGCUGAACUCCGGGAGGCCGAUCCGAACUGGAUCCAGCAGAGGGGCGUCCUCCAUGUAGAACCAUUCCGAAGGCCAGUCUUCAGACGCCUUCUUCGGGGUUCCGGAUAGAUAUCUGGUCCUGGCGAUGCGCCAUAUUUCGGCUCCGCCCACUUGAUAUAUCGACCCCUCGUGAGAACAGGGUACGAGGCAAAACAAUCUCUUCCACAGUGCGAAAUGGGGCUCGAUACCCAAGAACAUCUCACAAAGAGCUACGAAGCCCGCGAUGUGCAAAAUGGAGGCAGGCGUGAGGUGGUGAAGCUGGAGUCCGUAGAACUCCAGGAGCCCCCGGAGAAACGGAUGUAUGGGAAAUCCGAGUCCCCUUAUUAGAUAAUGGACAAAGCAUACCCGCUCUCCUUUGUAAGGGUUGGGGACGCUCUCCGCCUGCUUUCCACCCCUAAAGGUGGCCAGUCCGGCUCGAACCGGAACCAUGAAAGCUGGGGGAAGAUAUCCCUCGAUUUGGAGUGCCACUAGCUCGCUGUGUGGAACUGAGCAUCUCCCCCAAUCUCCUGGCUUAGGGCUGGGAGCGCGAGAGGAGGAGCCGCGUCGACUAUCCAUGAUAGAAUGGAUUUUUGUCAGAGGCGCUUCGAUGAGAACUUGCGGAUGGAGGAUGGUGUGAGCUGGAUCUAGAUCCUCGCCUCUCUUAUAGGCGGCUCGUUCACAUGGCUAGGGGGUAAAAUGUAAGAAUACCCCAGCCUUUCGCAUUCAUACGACACGUGGAAGAAGGCCAUUAUUGGGUGUAGAAGCCAAGGAGCGCAACAUUUAUAAGGAAGCCGGACACUAUUCGACAGGAACAUGAAGUUUGAAGGAGAACCCGCCUUGCAACGCCGAAGACAAUAUACGCGCCGGACUCAUCGUCGCUGAAGCCCGGUUCGGGGGCUACUGAGGGAGUCCCGGACUAGGGGGUGUCCGGAUAGCCGAACUAUCAUGGUCGGCCGGACUCCAAGACUAUGAAGAUACAAGAUUGAAGACUUCGUCCCGUGUCCGGAUGGGACUUUCCUUGGCGUGGAAGGCAAGCUUGGCGAUACGGAUAUGUAGAUCUCCUACCAUUGUAACCGACUUUGUGUAACCCUAGCCCUCUCUGGUGUCUAUAUAAACCGGAUGGCUUUAGUCCAUAGGACGAACAACAAUCAUACCAUAGGCUAGCUUCUAGGGUUUAGCCUCCUUGAUCUCGUGGUAGAUCCACUCUUGUAACACACAUCAUCAAUAUUAAUCAAGCAGGACGUAGGGUUUUACCUCCAUCAAGAGGGCCCUAACCUGGGUAAAACAUCGUGUCCCUUGUCUCCUGUUACCAUCCGCCUAGACGCACAGUUCGGGACCCCCUACCCGAGAUCUGCCGGUUUUGACACCGACAACCACCCUCAAGGGUCCCUUAGUGGAAUCACGACAUCUUGCAUUGUGCGAGGGCGUGAGGAGAUUACGGUGGCCCUAGUGGCUUCUUGGGGAGCAUUGUGCCUCCACACCGCUCCAAACGGAGAUUAGCAUCCGCAAGUUUGUGAACUUCGGGAUACAUCGUCGUCUCCACGUGCCUCGGUUAUCUCUUACCCAAGCCCUGUACUUAUGCACUUUACUUUGUGAUAGCCAUAUUGUUCUUUGUCAUAUAUCUUGCUAUCACAUAGUUGCUUAUCUUGCUUAGCAUAAGUUGUUGGUGAUCAUAGGUGAGCCUAGUUGUUUUAGGUUUUGUGCUUGACAAUUUAACCGCUAGGUUUAUUCCGCACUUGUUCAAGCCUAACCGUAAUUAUUUUAAAUCACCUAUUCACCCCCCUACUCUAGGCGACAUCCUCGAUCUUUCAGAGCUGCUGCCAAGUCACGAUUUUCAUCUAACAGGUCAAGUGCAUCCUGACCGUCUUGUUCAUUAUCAGCUUCAACAUAAGCCACCACACGGGGCGAGUCAUGACGGAUGUCACUUGGUAGAACUGCCUCUGCUCCAUAAACCAUGAAGAAAGGUGUAUAACCCGUAGACCUGUUGGGGUGGUAUUGAUGCUCCAUAUCACAGAAGGUAACUCCUCCACCCAACAACCCAGCAUCCAUUGCAAAGGAACCAUAAGCUGGGGUUUGAUGCCUUUCAAGAUUUCCUGAUUGGCUCCUUCAACUUGACCAUUGGAUUGGGGGUGAGCUCACGUUGACAGAACUCCUCCAUGGCACCCUUGGACAGAUUAGUACCAUUGUCAGUUAUAAUGUUGUGCGGAAAGCCAAAGCGAAAUAUCACCUUUUUCAUGAAUUGAACCGCCGUAGCUGCAUCACACUUGCUAACUGGCUCUGCCUCAACCCAUUUUGUGAAAUUGUCAACUUCCACCAAAAGGUGGGUCUUCUUAUCUUUGGACCUUUUGAAAGGCCCAACCAUGUCAAGCCCCCAGACUGCAAACGGCCAAGUAAUUGGAAUCAUCCUCAACUCUUGAGCCGGCAUGUGAGCUCAUCGUGAGAACUUUUGACAACCGUCACAUUUACUGACUAGAUCCUCUGCAUUUGAGUCAGCUGUCAGCGAUUAAAACCCAUGACAAAAGGCUUUAGCCACCAGGGAUAUUUAGCCGGCAUGGUGAUCACAAUCUCCUUCAUGAAUCUCACGAAGAAUUUCUUGACCUUCCUCAGGAGAGACACAAUGUUGAAACGCCCCAGUGACACUGCGAUGAUGCAAUUCGCCAUUGGCAAUUGUCAUUGACUUGGACCGCUGGGUUAUCUGCCUGGCCAAUGUUUCAUCCUCAUGCAACUCGCCCUGGGACAUGUAAGCCAAAUAUGGCACUGUCCAAUCUGGGAUGACGUGAAGAGCCGCCACCAACUGAGCUUCCGGGUCAAGGACAGGCAAGUCUUCCUCUGUAGGCAACUUAACAUAAGGGUUAUGCAGAAUGUCCAAGAAGGUAUUAGGCGGCACCCGCUUACGUUGAGACUCUAGCCAGCUUAGGGCAUCAGCCGCCUCAUUCUUCAUGCGAUCAAUGUGUUCCACCUGGUAACCCUUCAAGUGUCCAGCAACAGCAUCAACUUCACGGCAUAAGCCGCCAUGAGGGGGUCUUUAGAAUCCCACUUGCCUGAGACUUGUUGAGCCACCAAAUCUGAGUCGCCAAAGCACCUUACCUGGCUUAAACUCAUCUCCUUCGCCAUCCGAAGACCAUGAAGCAAGGACUCGUACUCAGCUGCAUUGUUAGUACAGGGAAACAUCAACCUUAGCACAUAACAGAACUUGUCACCUCGAGGGGAAGCUAAAACAACUCCAGCCCCCGAGCCCUCCAAUUUCCUGGAUCCAUCAAAGUGAAUAGUCCAAUAUGUGUUGUCUGGCUUUUCUUCAGGCAUCUGCAGCUCCGUCCAAUCAUUGAUGAAGUCCACCAGUGCUUGAGACUUGAUGGCAGUGUGUGGCACAUACUUUAAACCAUGAGGCCCAAGUUCAAUAGCCCAUUUGGCGACUCGUCUUGUGGCUUCUCUGAUUUGGAUGAUAUCCCCUAAUGGAGCAGAACUGACCAUGGUGAUGGGAUGACCCAGAAAAUAUUGCUUAAGUUUUCGGCUUGCCAUAAACACCCCAUAAACAAGCUUCUGCGAAUGUGGAUAACUUUGCUUGGACUCAAUAAGCACCUCACUGAUGUAGUAAACCGCCCGUUGAUACGGAGAGAGAGAGUUGCAGACCAAUUGGGCUAGGAACGGUUACUCCUUACCCGCCUCCUUGCGCUCCAGCACAAUGGCUACACUGACAACACGUGUGUUAGCAGCCACAUAUAACAAUAGCGGCUCCUUAUCAAUGGGAGUAUCAAGGACUGGUGGCUCAGCUAGCUGUUGAUACGUUUCCAACGUAUCUAUAAUUUAUGAAGCACUCAUGCUAUAUUACUAUCUGUUUUGAAUGAUUAUGGGCUUUAUUAUACACUUUUAUAUUACUUUUGGGACUAACCUAUUAACCGGAGGCCCAGCCCAUAUUGCUGUUUUGUUGCCUGUUUCAGUAUUUCAAAGAAAAGGAAUAUCAAACAGAGUCCAAACAGAAUGAAACCUUCGGCAGCGUGAUGUUUUGGAAGAAUAUGAUCGUGGAGACUUGGAGUCCACGUCAGAAGAUCCUCGAGGAGGCCACGAGAUAGGAGGCCACGCCCCCCCUUACAGGGUGGCGGCCCCCUGUCUCGUGGACCCCUCGAGCACCCCCCGACCGACUUCUUUCGCCUAUAUAUGCCUACGUACCCUAAAACCAUCGAAUAUCAAGAUAGAUCGUGAGUUCCACCGCCGCAAGCCUCUGUAGCCACCAAAAACCUCUCGGGAGCCCUUCCUGGCACCCUACCGGAGGGGGGAUCCUUCACCGGUGGCCAUCUUCAUCAUCUCAGCGCUCUCCAUGACGAGGAGGGAGUAGUUCACCCUCGGGGCUGAGGGUAUGUACCAGUAGCUAUGUGUUUGAUCUCUCUCUCUCUCUCUCUUUCUCUCUCGUGUUCUCUCUCAUGUUCCAUCUAAGGCACGAUCUUGAUGUAUCCCGAGCUUUGCUAUUGUAGUUGGAUCUUAUGAUGUUUCUCCCCCUCUACUCUCUUGUGAUGAAUUGAGUUUCUCCUUUGAAGUUAUCUUAUCGGAUUGAGUCUUUUAUGAGAACACUUGAUGUAUGUCUUGUUGUGCUUAUCUGUGGUGACAAUGGGAUAUCAUGUGCCUCUUGAUGUAUGUUUUGGUGACCAACUUGCGGGUUCCACCCAUGAACCUAUGCAUAGGGGUUGGCACUCGUUCUUGACUCUCCGGUAGAAACUUUGGGGCACUCUUUGAAGUACUUUGUGUUGGUUGGAUGAAUCUGAGAUUGUGUGAUGCAUAUCGUAUAAUCAUGCCCACAGAUACUUGAGGUGACAAUGGAGUAUCUAGGUGACAUUAGGGUUUUGGUUGAUUUGUGUCUUAAGGUGUUAUUCUAGUACAAACUCUUUUAUAGAUCGAUCCAAAAUAAUAUCUUUGAGGUGGUUUCGUACCCUACCAUAAUCUCUACGUUUGUUCUCCGCAAUUAGUGGCUUUGGAGUGACUCUUUGUUGCAUGUUGAGGGAUUGUUAUAUGAUCUAUCUAUGUUAUUAUUGUUGAGAGAACUUGCACUAGUGAAAGUAUGAACCCUAGGCCUUGUUUCCUAUCAUUGCAAUACCGUUUACGUUCACUUUUAUUGCUCGUUACCUUGCUGUUUUUAUUAUUUGAUUACAAUUACCUUUAUCUACUAUCUAUUUUGCACUUGUAUCACCAUGUCUUCGCCGAACUAGUGCACCUAUACAAUUUUCCAUUGUAUUGGGUGUGUUGGGGACACAAGAGACUUUUUGUUAUUUGGUUGCAGGGUUCCUUGAGAGAGACCAUCUUCAUCCUACGCCUCCUACGGAUUGAUAAACCUUAGCUCAUCCACUUGAGGGAAAUUUGCUACUGUCCUACAAACCUAUGCACUUGCAGACCCAGCAACGUCUACAAGAAAAAGGUUGUGUAGUAGACAUCAAGCUCUUUUCUAGCGCCGUUGCCGGGGAGGUUAGCGCUUGAAGGUAUAUCUUUAGAACUUGCAAUCAAAUCUUUUUGUUUCUUGUUUUAUCACUAGUUUAGUUUAUAAAAGAAAACUACAAAAAAUGGAGUUGAGUUUGUCUCAUACGCUUCGUCUUUUUAAUAUCUUUCAUGAGUAUGAUGGAAGGGAAAAUUGUGCUCAAGUGCUAGAAGAAGAAUGCAUUAGAAUGUUUGGUACUAUAUCUUUGUAUGAUGAGCAUGAUUGCAAUGUUGUUAGUAUGAAUUCCUUGAAUAUCCAUGAUGCUAAUGAUAUGCAAAGCCACAAGCUUGGGGAAGCUAUGUUUGAUGAAGAUGAUAUUUUUAGUCCCCCAAGUUUUGAUGAGAAUAUUUAUUAUGAUGAAAGCAUGCCUCCUAUUUAUGAUCAUUAUAUUGAUGAAAGUGGGUUUGGAAGAGUGUCAACUUUAGGAAGUAGUGAUCCCACUAUUUUGGAGGAUGUUGAAUCUUAUUGUGAUGAACAUGAAAGUGGAUUUGGAAGAGUGUCAACUUUAUUUAGUGAUGGUUCCACUAUUUCGGAAGAGGUUCCAAUUGAUUAUGAGAACAAAUUUGCUAUCUAUGAUGAUUAUUCUGAUGACUUGUAUGCUAUAAAUAAUAAUGAUAACCAUGAAACUUGUCAUCAUGAUUUUAGUUUUCAAUUGGAUUAUGCCUCACAUGAUAUUUAUUUUGUUGAGUUUGCUCCAACUACUAUUGAUGAGAAUAAAUUUUCUUAUGUGGAGAGGAGUAAAUUUUCUAUGCUUGUAGAUCAUGAAAAGAAUACUUUAGGUGCUGGUUAUAUUGUUAAAUUCAUUCAUUAUGCUACUGAAAAUUAUUAUGAGGGAGGAACAUAUGCUUGUAGGAAUUGCAAUAAUGUCAAGUUUCCUCUCUAUGUGUUGAAAGUUUUGAAGCUAUGCUUGUUUUACCUUCCUUUGCUAGUUGAUUAUUGUUCCCAUAAGUUGUUUUCUCACAAAAUCCCUAUGCAUAGGAAGUGGGUUAGACUUAAAUGUGCUAGUCAUAUGCUUCAUGAUGCUCCCGUUAUGUUUCAAUUCUUAUCUUUUAUGUGAGCAUCAUUGCCAUCAUCAUGCCUAGCUAAAAAGGCAUUAAAGAAAAGCGCGUGUUGGGAGACAACCCAAUAUUUAUCAUUACUUUUUUUGUGUGUCCACAUGAUUAUGCUACUGUUGUAAUCAUGUUUUAUAGCUUUUGUUUCAAUAAAGUGCCAAGUAGAACCUUUGGGAAGACUUGGGUGAAGUUUAUGUGAUCUUGCUGUAAAAAACAGAAACUUUUGCGCUCACGAGAAUAGCUGCCAUUUUUUACUGGAGAGUGAUUUUAGGUUGAUUCUUUUUGAAGAUGAUUAAUAGACAAAUUACUCAGGUCCAGAAAUUUAUAUCAUAAUUUUUUGGGUUCCAGAAGUAUACGUUUGAUGCAGAUUACUACAGACUGUUCUGUUUUUGACAGAUUCUGUUUUCUAUCUGUUGUUUUCUUAUUUUGAUCAAUCUAUGGCUAGUAUUAAGUGGUAUGAACCAUAGACAAGUUAGAAUACAGUAGAUAUUACACCAAUAUGAAUAAAGAAUGAGUUCAUUACAGUACCUAAGUGGUGGUUUUAUUUUCUUAUACUAACGGAGCUUACGAGUUUUGUUUUGAGUUUUGUGUGGUUGAAGUUUUCAAGUUUUGGGUAAAGAUUCGAUGGACUAUGGAAUAAGGAGUGGAAAGAUCCUAAGCUUGGGGAUGCACAAGGAACCCCAGGGUAAUAUUCAAGGACAACCAAGAGCCUAAUCUUGGGGAUGCCCCGGAAGGCAUCCCCUCUUUCGUCUUCGUUCAUUGGUAACUUUACUUGGAGCUAUAUUUUUAUUCACCACAUGAUAUGUGUUUUGCUUGGAGCGUCAUUUUAUUUUGUUAGUUUUUGCUUGUUGUUAGUUAGGAUAAUGUUUUUCAUCUUUAGUUUCAAUAAAAAUGUCAAGGACAGCCUUUGCCAUGCCUAUUUUGCUAGUAUACAUGUUGCUGUCUGAAAACAGAAAGUUUACCGCUGUUGCAAAAAUUCCCUAGAAAAGUCCGAGAAUGGUAUAACAUUGAAUCUUUUUGAAUAUUAAGCUCUGAUAAAUUUAUUACAGUGGCAAUUUUAGUUCAUAAUUUUUGGAGUCAGGUAAGUAUUGUUACUCUUGCAUUCUUUACAGACUGUACUGUUUUGACUGAUUGCUGUUAUGGUUGCAUUGUUUGCAUAUGUUUGCUUUUUUAAUGAUUCUAUUUGAGGAUAUGAGUAUUAAAUAUGCAGGGGCAUUUAGUAUGCAAUGUUGAAUAAUAAUUUUAGUGAUUUGUUACAGUAGAAAAUGAUAAGGUUUUGCAUUGGUUUAUACUAACCGAUCUCACGAGUUCUUGUUGAGUUUGUUGUGAAUGAAGCUUUUGAUAAAAAGAAGAGCAACCAUGAUAUGAAAGGAAUUAAGGAGACACGAAAGCUCAAUCUUGGGGAUUCCCAAGGCACCCCAAGAUAUUAUUUCAAGAAGUCUCAAGCAUCUAAGCUUGGGGAUGCCCCGGUAGGCAUCCCACCUUUCUUCUUCAACAACUAUCGGUUAGUAUCGGUUGAGCCUAAGUUUUUGCUUCUUCACAUGAGUUGUGCUAUCCUUGCAAUGCCAUUUUAUUUUGUUUUUCUUGCUGCUUGAAUACAAUACCAAGAUCUGAAAUUCUUAAAUGAGAGAGAGUCUUCACAUAGUUGCACAAUUAUUUAGCUACUCAUUGAUCUUCACUUAUAUCUUUUUGGAGUAGUUUGUCAUUUAUUUGUGUGCUUCACUUAUAUCCUAUGAGUAAAUGGUUGAAUGAGUUGAAUGUCAUAAAUCUGAAAUUAUAUAUGUUUCAUUUGCUUAUCCCAUGGGGAAUAAUGACUUCACAUCUAAGAAGUAGAGGUUGUAAAUUUAUUGACGGUUAGCAAGCAUUGUGUUAGUCAUUUGAACAAUUCUUGAAAGAAUAUUGAGGGAAGAGAGAUUUCACAUAUAAAUAUAUUAUCAUAGACAUCUUUUAUAAUUGUGAGCACUCAUUAAGUAUGACAUGCUAAAUAGUUGAUGUUGGACAAGGAAGACAACCUAAUGGGUUAUGUUUUCUCGCAUCUCAGUUAAAGUAUAUUGUCAUGGAUCAUUCAAACAUGUUGAGCUUGCCUUUCCCCCUCAUGCUAGCCAAAAAUUCCCAGCACCAAGUAGAGAUACUACUUGUGCUUCCAAAUAUCCUUAAACCCAGUUUUGCCAUGAGAGUCCACCAUAUCUACCUAUGGAUUGAGUAAGAUCCUUCAAGUAAGUUGUCAUCGGUGCAAGCAAUAAAAAUUGCUCUCUAAAUAUGCAUGACUUAUUAGUGUGGAGAAAAUAAGCUUUGUACGAACUUGUUAUGGAAGCAAUAAAAGCGACGGACUGCAUAAUAAAGGUCCAUAUACAAGGGGCAAUAUAAAGUGACGUUCUUUCGCAUUUAGAUUUUGUGUAUCCAACACUAAAAGCGCAUGACAACCUCUGCUUCCCUCUGCGAAGGGCCUAUCUUUUACUUUAUGUCUUUUACUUUAUGCAAGAGUCAAGGUGAUCUUCACCUUUCCCUUUUUCAUUUUAUCCUUUGGCAAGCACUUUGUGUUAGGGUGAUCCUGAUAUAUAUAUAUAUAUCCAAUUGGAUGUACGUUAGCAUGAACUAUUAUUGUUGACAUCACCCAAAGGUGAAUACGUUUGGAGGCAACAUUAUAAGCCCCAAUCUUUCUCUGUGUCUGAUUAAAACUUCAUAACCACAAGUAUUGCGUGAGUGUUAGCAAUUGUAGUAGACUAUAUGAUAGUUGAGUAUGUGAAGUUUGCUAAACCAAAGCUUUGACAUAGACUCUUCCUGAAAGUAAGAUGAAUUGCAAUUGUUUGAUGACUAAGAAUGAAGUUUGCUAGUUUUCAAGAAAGUUUAUGGUCUAUGCUUUGACAUGUGAAUUACUUGUUACUUUAUCGUGAGAAGUUUUAUGAGAUGAACUACUGUUAUGACAUAUUAUCAUGCUAGAAAAGGUGAUUGAAAUUAUCAUUGAUUAAACUUGUGCACCUCUAGCAUUCAUACUUCAUAAAUUCUUUCUUUUAUCAUUUAUCUACUCGAGGACGAGUAGGAAUUAAGCUUGGGGAUGCUGAUACGUCUCCAACGUAUCUAUAAUUUAUGAAGCUUUCAUGCUAUAUUACUAUCUGUUUUGAAUGAUUAUGGGCUUUAUCAUACACUUUUAUAUUACUUUUGGGACUAACCUAUUAACCGGAACCCAUAUUGCUGUUUUGUUGCUUGUUUCAGUAUUUCGAAGAAAAGGAAUAUCAAACGGAGUCCAAACAGAAUGAAACCUUCGGUAGCGUGAUUUUUGGAAGAAUAUGAUCCUGGAGACUUGGAGUCCACGUCAGCAGAUCCUCGAGGAGGCCACGAGAUAGGCCCCCCUUACAGGGUGGCGGCCCCCUGUCUCGUGGACCCCUCGAGCACCCCGAGACCGACUUCUUUCGCCUAUAUAUGCCUACGUACCCUAAAACCAUCAAAUAUCAAGAUAGAUUAGGAGUUCCGCCGCCGCAAGCCUCUGUAGCCACCAAAAACCUCUCGGGAGCCCUUCCCGGCACCCUGCCGGAGGGGGGAUCCUUCACCGGUGGCCAUCUUCAUCAUCCCGGCGCUCUCGAUGACGAGGAGGGAGUAGUUCACCAUCGGGGCUGAGGGUAUGUACCAGUAGCUAUGUGUUUGAUCUCUCUCUCUCUCUCGUGUUCUCUCUCGUGUUCCCUUUAAGGCACGAUCUUGAUGUAUACCGAGCUUUGCUAUUGUAGUUGGAUCUUAUGAUGUUUCUCCCCCUCUACUCUCUUGUGAUGAAUUGAGUUUACCCUUUGAAGUUAUCUUAUCGGAUUGAGUCUUUUAUGAGAACACUUGAUGUAUAUCUUGCCGUGCUUAUCUGUGGUGAAAAAUGGGAUAUCAUGUGCCUCUUGAUGUAUGUUUUGGUGAACAACUUGCGGGUUCCACCCAUGAACCUAUGCAUAGGGGUUGGCACACAUUCUUGACUCUCCGGUAGAAACUUUGGGGCACUCUUUGAAGUACUUUGUGUUGGUUGGAUGAAUCUGAGAUUGUGUGAUGCAUAUCGUAUAAUCAUGCCCACGGAUACUUGAGGUGACAAUGGAGUAUCUAGGUGACAUUAGGGUUUUGGUUGAUUUGUGUCUUAAGGUGUUAUUCUAGUACGAACUCUUUUAUAGAUCGAUCCGAAAGAAUAACUUUGAGGUGGUUUUGAACCCUACCAUAAUCUCUACGUUUGUUCUCCACUAUUAGUGGCUUUGGAGUGACUCUUUGUUGCAUGUUGAGGGAUUGUUAUAUGAUCUAUCUAUGUUAUUAUUGUUGAGAGAACUUGCACUAGUGAAAAUAUGAACCCUAGGCCUUGUUUCCUAUCAUUGCAAUACCGUUUACGCUCACUUUUAUCGCUCGUUACCUUGCUGUUUUUUUAUUUCAGAUUACAAUUACCUUUAUCUACUAUCUAUUUUGCACUUGUAUCACCAUCUCUUCGCCGAACUAGUGCACCUAUACAAUUUGCCAUUGUAUUGGGUGUGUUGGGGACACAAGAGACUCUUUGUUAUUUGGUUGCAGGGUUGCUUGAGAGAGACCAUCUUCAUCCUACGCCUCCUACGGAUUGAUAAACCUUAGGUCAUCCACUUGAGGGAAAUUUGCUACUGUCCUACAAACAUGUGCACUUGCAGGCCCAACAACGUCUACAAGAAGAAGGUUGUGUAGUAGACAUCAGCUGUCUCUUCAAAUCUUCAAAGGUAGCGUUAGCCGCGUCACUCCAGACAAAGUCGUUUGUCUUCUUCAUUAUCUGAUACAACGGUAUGGCCUUCUCACCUAACAGGCUUACGAACCGGCUUAAGGCAGCAAUACGACCCGCCAAAUGCUGAACAUCAUUGAUACAAUUGGGUUUUGCCAAAGAGGUAAUAGCCUUGAUCUUCUCCGGGUUAGCCUCAAUGCCUCUGUUAGAAAGAAGAAACCCCAAAAGCUUGCCUGCGGGCACACCGAAGACACAUUUGGCCGGGUUAAGCAUCAUCUUGUAGACCCGGAGAUUGUCGAAGGUCUGUUUUAGAUCAUCUAUCAGUGUUUCCUUCUCUCUGGACUUCACCACAAUAUCGUCCACAUAAGCAUGAACAUUGCGCCCAAUCUGAUUAUGAAGGCAAUUCUGCACACAACGUUGAUAAGUCGCCUGGGCACUCUUGAGCCCAAAAGGCAUAGAAACAUAGCAGAAGGCUCCAAAGGGAGUAAUUAAAGUUGUGUUCUCCUAGUCCUUAACCGCCAUCUUGAUCUGUUGAUAACCUGAGUAAGCGUCCAAAAAGCUCAAACGCUCACAACCCGCCGUAGCAUCAAUAAUUUGAUCAAUACGAGGGAGAGCAAAGGGAUCAAUCGGACAAGCUUUGUUUAAGUUCGUGUAAUCCACGCACAUAUGCCAAGUGUCGUUCUUCUUGAGUACUAGCACCGGGUUAGCCAACAACUCAGGAUGAAACACUUCAAUAAUAAACCCGCUGCUAAGAGCCGGGCCACUUUCUCACCGAUGGCCUUACGCCUCUCUUCGUUUAACCGCCGAAGGAACUGCUUGACCGGCUUAAAUUUCGGAUCAAUAUUGAGAGUGUGCUCAACGAGUUCUCUCGGUACACCCGGCAUGUCAGAAGGUUUCCAUGCAAAGAUGUCCCGAUUCUCACGGAUGAACUCGAUGAGCACGCUUUCCUAUUUGGGAUCCAGAUUGGCACUGAUGCUGAACUGCUUAGAUGAAUCGCCAAGAACAAAAUCAACCAGCUUAGUGUCAUCAGCCGAUUUAAACUUCAUCUCCGGUUCAUGCUCUGUGGUGGGCUUCUUUAAGGAUGUCAUGUCUGCCAGGUUAACAUUGUCUUUAUAAAACUUUAACUCUUCUACGACACAGACUGACUCAGCAUAAGCCGUGUCGCCUUCCUCGCACUCCAAAGCCACCUUUCGAUUGCCAUGAACCGUAAUGGUCCCUUUAUGAACCGGCAUCUUUAGCUGUAGAUAAACAUAACACGGCCGCGCCAUGAACUUGGCAUAAGCCGGCCACGCAAACAGAGCAUGAUAUGGGCUCCUAAUCUUGACCACCUCAAAUGUUAACUUCUCCGCCCUGGAGUCAUAUUCAUCUCCAAAGGCUACCUCCAACUCGAUCUUACCAACUGGAUAUGCCGACUUACCAGGCGCCACGCCAUGGAAAACAGUAUUGGACUUCUUAAGAUUCUUAUCAGUUACCCCUAUACAACGGAAGGUUUCAUAAUAGAGGAUAUUAAUGCUGCUGCCUCCAUCCAUGAGCACUUUAGUAAACUUAUAACCCCUGACUUGAGGUUCCACCACCAAAGCUAGGUGACCCGGGUUAUCAACCCAGGGCGGGUGAGCCACUCGACUCCACAUAAUGGGCUGCUCAAAUCAUCGCAAGUACUGGGGAACGACUGGCUCAACGGCAUUCACUGCCCUCUUGUGAAGCUUCUGGUCCCAUUUGCACAAACUUGUGGUGAAAACAUGAUAUUGCCCACUGUUCAACUGCUUCGGAUGACUUUGAUACCCGGAUUGCUGCUGCUGCUGGCCUCCUUGGCCAGAUUGCGGGUUGCCUUGACUAUAUCCCUGGUUGUUUUGGAGGCCCUGAAAGCCGCCACCUGAGCCGCCACCACCAUAACCCGGGCCCUGAAAGCCGGAACCUAAGCCAUCACCUGGCCCAUGGUUGCUGUCGAACAUGUUGGAAUUCUUGAAGGCCUUCAUGAUCGUACAAUCCUUCCAUAGGUGAGUGGCCGGCUUCUGCUGAGCUCCGUGUCUUGGAUAGGGCUCAUUCAGCAACUGCUCCAGAGUGGGACCUGGCCCGCCGGACCGAGGAGGUGGCCUCCCCUUAUGUCGUUGAUUGUUGCCUUGUGCAUUGGUGUUAGCCACAAACUCCAAGCUACCAUAAGCCUUACGUUUAUUAUUGCCUCCUUGAUUCGCCGGGUUAUGCUGUGGACCCUUGGUGUUUCCGUUCUUUUUUCCCUUCCCUGCCUUGUCUUCGUCAGACUCGAGAUCCUUGGUACUAUCAGAAUCAGCAUAUUUGACUAGAGCCGCAUCAGCUGGCCCAUGUCAUUACACUCAUGCUUGAGCCGCCCUAGCUUCAUCUUCACAGGUGCAGAACAACAAUUUUUCUCCAACAUUAAGACUGUGGAGCCGACAUCCAUCUUAUCAGACGAAUGUAUUAUGGCCUUAACCCGGCGCACCCAAUGGGUCGUCGACUCGCCCUCCUCCUUCUUGUAGUUAGUCAAGUCCACAAUUGACAUAGGCUGCUUGCAUGUAUCCUUGAAGUUCUAAAUAAACCGGGCCUUUAACUCUACCCAUGAGCUGAUGGAAUUAGGCGGCAGCCCCUUCAACCAAGUGUGGGCCGUUCCAUCCAACAUCAUGGUAAAGUACUUGGCUAUCACAGCAUCACUGACCUCCAGUAGUUCGACGACCAUCUAGUAGCUCUCAAUCCAUGCCCCUGGCUGUAAGUCGGCCGUAUAAUUAGGCACCUUUCGAGGCCCUUUAGAAUCCUUGGGCAAACGUUCAUUGCACAGAGCCGGUACCAGACAAAGGACACCUCCGGUCUUAGUGGUCACUCAUGCCUCAAUAGACGUCAUCGGGUAAACGACUAGUAAGCCGCUUGCUGAGCCGCCUGCUGAGCCGGCCGCAGUCUCCUGACGUAUCCUGUUCUGACCAAUGAAAGUGGGAGCUCCGUCACACGCCAGGUCAUGCCCGCGUGGCUGGUGACGGCAUCGGUCGUUGCUUGAAACAGCCGCCGAAUCCAUGUGCCUACAGUAACUCGGACUAUAGCUUGGGCGAGGGGUCGAGUGAAUCCGGUCUCGACUGUAAGAAUAUGCCUCCUGUCAUGCCAAAGCCGUCUGAAGAAGUUCCCUGACCCUCCGAGUUUCCACUGCCGUCGGUGAGUCACCGUCCACUGGGAGAGCCGCCAGUCAUGCUGCCGCCGUGAUCAUGUUCUCCAACGGGUUAGGAUAAUGACCCAAUGGUGUCGACACAUAAUGAGGCGGAGCAGUGUUCUGACAUGGGGGCUCCAUCACUCGUGGCUGAACCGGCGUGCCCCCGGGUGCUGCAACCCAGUUUACCUCCGGCGGGUUACUAGGGCCCGUGUCGGGUGUGUGAAAAAGGUUUCUAGGGUCAUAAACCGGAGGCAGACAAGACUGAGCCUUCUGGUACCUUCUCCUCAUAACCUCAUUUGAGGCGUUCUGAUCCAUUGUGAGCUGAAAAGCCUGCACCUGAACCUGCUGAGCUCGAGCGUCCAGAGGCGCCCGCUCUACGGUCAUCUUGAUGUCUUCUGCCGCCAGGUCUUCUUUAGCUUGCACUAUAUCCAGCUUUAACUAUGCCACUUCCGCAUCAUGUUGAGCUUGAUCCGUCGGGUUGACCAUGGCGGUUAACAGGGUUGUCAUCUUGUCCAUGAGAUUGAUAUGUCUCCAACGUAUCUAUAAUUUUUGAUUGUUCCAUGCUAUUAUAUUACCUGUUUUGGAUGUUUAUGGGCUUUAUUUUACACAUUUAUAUCAUUUUUGGGACUAACCUACCCUCCUGAGGCCCAAACCGUAUUGUUGUUUUUUUGCCUAUUUCAGUAUUUUGAAGAAAAGGAAUAUCAAACGGAGUCCAAACGGAAUGAAACCUUCGGGAGCGUGAUUUUCGGAACAAACGUGAUCCAGAGGACUUGGAGUGCAAGUCAAGAAGCUCCCGAGGCGGCCACGAGGGUGGAGGGCGCGCCCCCCUACAGGGCGCGCCCCCCCUAUCUAGUGGGCCCCUCGAGCAUCCACCGACGUACUUCUUCCUCCUAUAUAUACCUACGUACCCCGAAAACAUCCAGGGAGCCAUCGAAGAAAUAUUUCCGCCACCGUAACCUUCUGUAUCCGCGAGAUCCCAUCUUGGAGCCGUCGCCGGCAUUCUUCCGGAGGGGGAAUCCACCAUGGAGGGCCUCUACAUCAACCCAAGGCCUCUCCGAUGAAUUGUGAGUAGUUUACCACAGACCUUCGGGUCCAUAGUUAUUAGCUAGAUGGCUUCUUCUCUCUUUUUGGAUCUCAAUACCAUGUUCUCCCCCUCUCUUGUGGAGUUCUAUUCGAUGUAACUCUUUUUUGCGGUGUGUUUGUCGAGAUCCAAUGAAUUGUGGGUUUAUGAUCAUGUUUAUUUAUGAGAAAUAUUUGAAUCUUCUCUAAAUUCUUUUAUGUAUGAUUGAGUUAUCUUUGAAGUCUCUUCGAAUUAUCGGUUUGGUUUGGCCUACUAGAUUGAUCUUUCUUGCCAUGGGAGAAGUGCUUAGCUUUCGGUUCAAUCUUGCGGUGUCCUUUCCCAGUGACAGCAGGGGCAGCAAGGCACGUAUUGUAUUGUUUCCAUCGAGGAUAAAAAUAUGGGGUUUAUAUCAUAUUGCAUGAGUUUAUCCCUCUACAUCAUGUCAUCUUUCUUAAUGCGUUACUCUGUUCUUAUGAACUUAAUACUCUAGAUGCAUGCUGGAUAGCGGUCGAUGUGUGGAGUAAUAGUAAUAGAUGCAGGCAGGAGUCGGUCUACUUAUCACGAACGUGAUGCCUAUAUACAUGAUCAUGCCUAGAUAAUCUCAUAAGUAUUCGCUUUUCUAUCAAUUGCUCGACAGUAAUUUGUUCACCCACCGUAAUACUUAUGCUAUCUUGAGAGAAGCCUCUAGUGAAACCUAUGGCCCCCGGGUCUAUCUUUCAUCAUAUAAGCUUUCGAUCUACUUUUAUUUGCAUAUUUACUUUUCCAAUCUAUAUCAUAAAAUACCAAAAAUAUAUUUAUCUUAUCAUACUAUCUCUAUCAGAUCUCACUUUCGCAGGUGGCCAUGAAGGGAUUGACAACCCCUUUAUCGCGUUGGUUGCGAGUUCUUUGUUUGUUUGUUUAGGUGCAUGGGACUUUUGAGGAGCCUCCUACUGGAUUGAUACCUUGGUUCUCGAAAACUGAGGGAAAUACUUACACUACUAUGCUGCAUCACCCUUUCCUCUUCAAGGAAAACCAACGCAAGCUCAAGACGUAUCAAGAAGGAUUUCUGGCACCGUUGCCGGAGAGGUCUUCGCUCAAGUCAAGACAUACCAAGGACCCAUCACAAACUCACCUCCCUCGCAUUUACAUUAUUUUCCAUUUGCCUCUCGUUUUCCUCUCCCCCACUUCACCCUUGCCGUUUUAUUCGCCCUCUCUUUCCCAAUGUCCUCUCUUUUCCGCUUGCCUUCUUCUUCCUCUCUCUUUCGCUUGCCUUUUUCUAUUUGCUUUUGUGUUGGAUUACUUGUCGCCAUGGCACAAGAUAAUACCAAAUUGUGUGAUUUCUCCAAUACCAAUAAUAAUGAUUUCUCCUCUUAAUGAUGUUGAGUCUUGUGAAAUCAAUGCUGCUUUGCUGAAUCUUGUUAUGAAAGAUCAAUUCUCUGACCUUCCUAGUGAAGAUGCCGCUACCCAUCUAAACAACUUUGUUGAUUUGUGUGAGAUGCAAAAGAAAAAAGAUACGGAUAAUGAUAUUGAUAAAUUGAAGUUAUUUCCGUUUUCACUUAGAGAUCAUGCUAAAGUUUGGUUUUCAUCUUUGCCUAAAAAUAGUAUUGAUUCUUGGAACAAGUGCAAAGAUGCUUUUAUCUCUAAGUAUUUCCCUCCCGCUAAGAUCAUCUCUCUUAGGAACAAUAUUAUGAAUUUUAAACAACUUGAUCAUGAGCAUGUUGUGCAAUCUUGGGAAAUAAUGAAAUUAAUGAUUCGCAAUUGCGCUACUCAUGGUUUGAAUUUAUGGAUGAUCAUACAAAACUUUUAUGCCGAUUUGAAUUUUGCUUCUAGAAAUCUUUUAGAUUCGGCCGCCGGAGGCACGUUCAUGGAAAUCACCCUAGGAGAAGCUACAAAACUCCUUGAUAAUAUUAUGGCUAAUUAUUCUCAAUGGCACACCGAACGAUCUACUAGUAAAAAAGUGCAUGCUAUAGAAGAAAUUAAUGUUUUAAGUGGAAAGAUGGAUGAACUUAUGAGAUUGUUUGCUACUAAGAGUGCUUCUAUUGAUCCCAAUGAUAUGCCUUUGUCUACCUUGAUUGAGAAUAAUAAUGAAUCUAUGGAUGUAAAUUUUGUUGGUAGGAAUAAUUUUGGAAAUAAUGCUUAUAGAGGAAACUUUAAUCCUAGACCGUUCCCUAGUAAUUCCUCUAAUAAUUAUGGAAAUUCCUACAAUGAUUCUUAUUGUAAUUUUAAUAAAUUUCCCUCUGAUUUUGAGAAUAGUGCGAAUGAAUUUAUGAUCUCUCAAAAGAAUUUUAAUGCUUUGCUUGAAGAAAAAUUGCUCAAAGUUGAUGAUUUGGCUAGGAACGUUGAUAGACUUUCGCUUGAUGUUGAUUCUCUUAAACUUAGAUCUACUUCGACUAAGCAUGAUAUCAAUGAGUCUCUCAAAGCAAUGAGAGUGUCCAUUGACGAGUGCAAAGAAAGAACCGCUAGAUUGCGUGCUAAGAAAGAUUGCUUUGUAAAAGCAUGUUCUUCUAGUUUCCAUGAAAAUAAUGAUGAAGAUCUUAAAGUUAUUGAUGUGUCCCCUAUUAGAUCUUUGUUUUGCAAUAUGAAUCUUGAUAAUAAUGGGACUGGAGAUGAGUCAACUUUAGUUAAAAGGCGUCCCAAUAAUUUGGAGUUUUUAGAUCUUGAUGCUAAAUUUGGUAAAAGUGGGAUUGGAGAGGUCAUGACUUUAAAUAGCAUUGAACCCACUAACUUUGAUUUCAAGGAAUUUGAUUAUGAUAAUUGUUAUUUAGAGAGUUGUAUUUCCUUGUUGCAAUCCGUUGUGAAUUCUCCUCAUGCUUAUAGUCAAAAUAAAACUUUUACCAAACAUAUUGUUGAUGCCUUGGUGCAAUCUUUUGAUGAAAAACUUAAUUUGGAAGUUUCUAUACCUAGAAAACUUAAUGAUGAGUGGGAACCUACUAUAAAGAUUAAAAUCAAAGGUCAUGAGUGUUUUGCUUUAUGUGAUUUGGGUGCUAGUGUUUCCACAAUUCCUAAAACUUUAUGUGAUAUUCUAGGUUUCCAUGAUCUCGGUGAUUGCUCUUUAAAUUUGCACCUUGCGGAUUCCACCAUUAAAAAGCCAAUGGGAAGAAUCAAUGAUGUCCUUAUUGUUGCAAAUAGAAAUUUGGUUCCCGUUGAUUUUAUUGUUCUUGAUAUAGAUUGCAAUCUUUCUUGCCCUAUUAUUCUUGGUAGACCUUUCCUUAGAAUGAUUGGCGCGAUUAUUGAUAUGAAGGAAGGGAAUAUUAGAUUCAAAUUUCCAUUAAGGAAAGGCAUGGAGCACUUUCCAAGAAACAAGAUUAAAUUACCUUAUGAAUCUAUCAUGCGAGCUACUUAUGAAUUAAGUGCCAAAGAUGGCACUACUUAGAUCUAUCUUCGCUUUUAUGCUUAGCUAGGGGCGUUAAACGAUAGCACUAGUUGGGAGGUGUCGGUGUACUAGAGUAGGGGUACCCUAGUACCCCGAACUUGUGCAUGGGCAGUUGCAGCACCCCGCGGCAAGGCUUGCCGGGAGAACGCCAAGAUCCUCCGUGGUUCCCUUGGAGCCAUUUAAGAACAAAGUAUUUAAGCUCAGGAGACAAGGCCCCGGCAAGAGGAGCUUGCCGGGAAGGCCAACCAAGGCACGCCAAGGAAGUUGCCGCGACGCGCCACGCGCUCCGGCAAGGCAACAAGGCCCCGGCAAGAGGAGCUUGCCGGGAAGACCAACCAAGGUACCUCGAGGCCCGGUGAGCGACAAGCUUCCAGACCCGACAAGAUAACAACAACGGCAAGGCGCUUGCUGCGGCAGGCGGCCACUUUGUGCCCACGCUCCAGCGCAUCCACCAACGUGUCGCUCUGGGGGCCUCUCCAGGCGCGCGUGGCGGGAGGCUGUGCAGCCCGCGGUGCGCAGUGGCAUGCGAAGCUGACAAGAUCGCCAUCGUGGCGAAUGGUGGCGCCCCUAACGGUCCUUUUCUGCACUGUUUGGGCGACUCAGACGGGCAUUUAAUGCCCUUGUCCCCUGCCGUCAGGGUUAGGUAGGGUGCACUGUACAAGUAACUGUACCAACCACCUCGCUUUUUACAUUUGUACCCUUCUCUGCGUUGCCACCUGUCGGUGACCCCUUUAGCGUAUAAAAGGAGGCCCAUGCGCAACGUAGAGGGGGUUCGGUUCGAUUCACUCGGGAACCUAGAAAAAUACUAUGCUCUCUCUCUAGAGCAAGAACACAAGAUAAUCAAACAAGCAGCAGUAGGAGUGUUAUCUCUCCGGAGAGCUCCGAAGCUGGGUAAACUGCUCGUGUGCUUCGCCCCGGUCUGCUCUUCGUGCGAUCUCCGCCCCCCCGCCGAACCGAAAGGGGCCCGGUCCGCCGGCCCCAUAGGUGUUCGUGGAUCAGUUUCCCCCGACAUCUUUGGCGCACCAGGUAGGGGACGUCGGGAUUGUGUGAACCUGAUCCGGUGUUCACACGAGCUAGAUCUUCAUUCCCUUCAUCAACAUGCCACCGAAGAAGAAGACUUCGGCAGCAGCCGCUCCGUCCACGUCACUUCCGCCACCAUUGGAGCAAACGGGUGGUGGAAUGGACGCCGGCGGAAGAAUGGACGUCGACGAGGAAGCUCAUGAUGCUGCCAGGUCCAAGAACAAGGCUGCACAAACCUCGGCGACUGUACAUGUUCCACACCACUCUCAGGAGGCGCAAGACCAACAGCGUCAUGGCACUUGCAGUGCCAUACGCAUGAUCGGCCAAGACCAAGCUUGUGGAUCUCGGGGCGCUCAAGACCAGCAUGCACGCUAGCAUGCUGGCACGAGCGGGGCACGGUCGCCUGGACGGGAUACUGCUCCUUCUAACAUAGUUAGAAGUUCGAGCACGUCCCGCUCCUCGCGCCGUCCGCCACUGCCACCCACCACUCCAGCAGAAGCUUUGGCACGAGCUCAACUUCUCCUAGAUUACCCUCCGACGUCGGACAAGAUCGACGAAUGGAGGGCCACCAUUCAGAGUCUCAUCGGUUACGCCAACGGAGACACUCCACGGCGGCCGAGCGCGUCGCCGCCGCGGCAGGGUUGCCGGGCGCGAGCCGGUGGCGACGAAAUGGGUGGAGGUGCAACUACCAUGCAAUCACCACCCCGAAGGCCAAGAUCGCCGACUCGCCGGAUCCACCUCGACAGCAACUCCACCGCAUUUUCGAAUCCACGAGCUCGUCGCGAUCAGCGUCAAGUUCUUCAUGAUCGACAACAAGAAGACGCUCGAACCCGCAUCGAGCGCCGAAGAGAAGCGCGACGUCAAUCCGACAAGCGCGCUGGACCCUCUGUUGACAUGCAUGCGCCAGGGGAACCAGGCGAUCUGCCGUACGCGGUAGGUUGCCCUGCGUUCACUCGUGAGCUGCGGCAAGCCCAGUGGCCCAGCACGAAGAACUUCAAGCCAGAUGUACCGGAGAAGUACGACGGCAAGACGCAUUCAUUAGAGUUCCUCAGCAUUUACACCAUUGCGGUGCAGGCUGCUGGGGGACGGGAUGACAAGAUCCUUGCCAACUACUUCCCGCUGGUACUCAAGCCCAACGUCAGGUCCUAGCUCAUGCACUUGCUGGACAACUCCAUAUCCUCUUGGGCUGAUCUGUGCCAUCAGUUUGUCAGCGCCUUCACAGGAGGACACAAGCCUCAUGGCCAGGAGAGGGAUCUUCAUCUGCUCGCCCAGAAGGAAGGAGAGCCCCUGCGCAAGUACAUUCAGAGAUUCAGCAGUGUGCAGCACAACAUCCCAGACGUCCACCCUGCCGCGGUGAUCAGCGUGUUACAUCAGAACGUGCGAAACCGCAGGAUGCGAGAGGAAAUGGCGAUGUGCAAGAUCAGGGACGUCAGUGAGUUAUAUGCACUAGCCGACAAGUGUGCACGUGCUGAGGAAGGGAGGAGACUCCCCGGAGAGAAUGUAGGAGCGGGAGGAUCUGACAGUGAAGAUGCUGCCCCGGCAAGGAAAAACCGGCGGCGGAACAACAGAAGGAGGAAAGGCAAAGAGGUGCUAGUUGUUGAGCAGUCCGGCAACGGUGGUGGCGCCAACAAAGCCAAAGCUGGUGACUCCGGCAAGGAGGUUGCCGCGGAGGUGGCGGUCGCUGACAAGUAGGACGGCACCAACAAGCAGUAUUGCAAGAUCCACCGCACCAAGGGCCAUGAUCUCCAGAGCUGCAGGAAAGUCGAGCAACUUGUUGAGCAACAGAAAGCUGAAUACGAGCGGCGCGACAAGGAGAAGGCCCAGGAAGGUGCUAGGGGAUCCGGCAAGAAACGUCCCGGCCGAGGAGGACGCCGCGGCAAGGCCAAGCAGCAGCAAGGAGACAAACCUCCUCGCGGCCGCGACAAGGAUGAAGAUGACGAUGAGAUGAAGACAUGGAUGAUGAGGAGACUGAUGAGCAGGAGUUCCAGAAAGCCACAGAGGUCCUGUGCGUUGACGGUGGUGCUUCUCUGCACACCUCGCACCGCCAGUUCAAGCAGUGGGUGCGGGAAGUUAAUGCAGCAGAACCACCCGUCGAGUCACGCAAGCCUCUGAAAUGGUCCAGCACGCCUAUCAUCUUUGAUAUUGAGGACCACCCUGAUCGCAUAACUGCGGUCGGGUGCUUGCCGAUGUUGGUUUCGCCAACAAUCCGCAACCUCAAGGUCACUAAGAUGCUAGUUGACGGCGGGGCCGGCUUGAACCUGAUCUCCUCCGUGGUGCUCCAGAAACUCCAGAUCCCUGACAGCGAGCUCGAAGAGACCGGUACAUUUCAAGGAAUCAGCCCGGGAAGAAGCAAGCCGAAGGGAAAGAUCACGUUGCCGGUAACAUUUGGCAGCGAGCUGAACUUCAGGACUGAGAGGGUCACGUUUGACGUUGCUGACUUUCCAUUACCUUACAAUGGAAUCCUUGGCCGUCCGACACUCGCCAAGUUCAUGGCAGCCUCUCACUAUGCGUACAACGUACUGAAAAUGCCAGGCCCGAUAAGUGUCAUCUCUGUCCCUGGCGACAAGAAGGAUGCUCUUAUCUGUGCCGACAAGAUCUACCGGGAAGCAGCAGCCGCUGAAGAAUGCAAGACACUUGCCGCUGAAGCUCCCGGAGGGAAUAAGAAGACCAAGUCCGGCAAGAGUUCUGAUGCCCACUCCGGCAAGCGCACCUCUUCGGAGUGCAGCGCUACCGUCGAGGACGCACCAUCGAGCUCCACCGGCAAGUGUAAGAAGGCAAUGACAGCUCCACUUGAGACCAAGAAGGUGUCCGCCAAGGAGGACAGCGCUGGUGGUACCUUCACCAUCAGCGCCACUCUUGACCCCAAAUAGGAAAGCGCGCUCGUUGCUUUCCUGCGGGCGAAUGUCGACGUGUUUGCGUGGCAACCGUCUGAUAUCCCCGGUGUUCCUAGGAAAGCAAUUGAGCACCACCUUGCCGUCUGUCCUCAUGCGUGGCCCAUCAAGCAGAAAGUCAGGAAACAGGCAGUGGAGCGCCAAGAAUUCAUUGCAGAAGAAAUCAAGAAGUUGGAAGCAGCAGGCCUUGUUAGAGGAGUGCUCCAUCCCACGUGGUUGGCCAAUCCUGUUGUCGUGCGCAAGGCUAACGGGAAAUGGAGGCUUUGUAUUGACUUUACUGAUGUUAAUAAAGCUUGUCCCAAAGACCCAUUUCCCUUGCCGCGCAUUGACCAGAUUGUUGACUCCACAGCCGGAUGUGAUUUGCUUUCAUUUCUUGAUGCAUACUCAGGAUACCAUCAGAUCUUCAUGGCAGAAGAAGAUGAAGAGAAAACCGCAUUUAUAACCCCGUGUGGCACAUACUGCUUCGUACGGAUGCCUUUCGGUUUGAAGAAUGCUGGUUCAACAUUCGCAAGGGUAGUCCACCACGCCUUUGAGCCACAGAUGCACAGAAAUGUGGAAGCCUACAUGGAUGACAUAGUGGUCAAAAGCAAGAACAGGGCGACCCUGAUUCAAGAUUUAGACGAGACAUUUGCAAAUCUGCGCAAGAUCAACCUCAAGCUUAACCCCGAGAAGUGCGUGUUUGGAGUUCCUUCCGGCAAGCUUCUCGGGUUCUUCGUGUCUCAGCGGGGAAUUGAAGCCAAUCCCGACAAGAUCAAGGCCAUUGAGCAGAUCGAAGCACCAAAGCGCGUCAAGGAUGUACGAAGGCUUGCCGGUUGCGUGGCUGCUCUCAGCAGGUUUAUCUCUAGAUCUGCUGAGCGCGCCCUGCCAUUUUUCAAAAUUUUGAAAAAGGCAGGUCCAAUGAAAUGGACUCCGGAGGCGGAGGCUGCGCUGCAAGACUUGAAGAGAUACAUGUCCUCCACUCCAACACUUGUCGCACCUAAGCCGCAAGAGAAGUUGCUGCUGUAUAUAGCGGCAACCAAUCAAGUGGUUAGUGCUGCGUUAGUGGCGGAGAGGGAGGCAGAUGAUGAGCCAGCAACCAUGGCAGAUGCAUCCAGCGACAAGCAAGGGGCUUCGCCGACAAGCUCUGGUCCCGACAGAGAUGGAUCUGCGUAGGAGCAUGAUAAGAUGCAGAAGAGAAUGGUGCAGCGUCCAGUAUACUUUGUCAGUUCCCUUCUACAGGGGGAUAGAUCAAGGUACUCUAGUGUGCAGAAGUUGCUUUUCGGCCUCCUCAUGGCCUCGAGAAAGCUGCGCCAUUACUUCCAAGCACAUGAGAUCACAGUCGUCACUCGCUUUCUGCUGAAGAGGAUACUGCAAAAUCCAGAAGCAACAUGCAGGAUUGUCGAGUGGGCGCUGGAACUGUCAAGCUUUGGCCUCAAGUUUGAGAGCACUUCAACUAUCCAAAGCAGAGCAUUGGCAGAGUUCAUAGCAGAAUGGACGCCAAUCCCAGAUGAAGAAAUUCCAGAGACGAGCAUCCCCGUCAAAGAGGCAAGCAAAGAGUGGCUGAUGUACUUUGAUGGUGCCUUCUCGCUGCAAGGCGCCGGUGCGGGCGUGCUGCUUGUCGCGCCCACCGGAGAGCACCUCAAGUACGUAGUCCAGAUACACUUCCCCAAGGAGCAAGCAACCAACAAUACUGCAGAGUAUGAAGGAUUGCUUGUCGGCCUCAGAAUCGCAGCAGACCUUGGGAUCAAGAAGCUCAUUGUCAGGGGUGACUCACAGCUUGUCGUCCGCCAAGUGAACAAGAACUACCAGAGUCCAUUGAUGGAAGCAUAUGUUGAUGAAGUGAGGAAGCUAGAAGAGCACUUUGAUGGCCUACAGAUGGAACAUAUCCCAAGAGCUCAAAAUGACAUUGCUGAUGGCCUGUCAAAGUGCGCCGCACUAAAGUUACGUGUGGAACCAGGGAUCUUUGUGCUCAAGUUGACUCAACCAUCCGUAACACCAUCAACUGGACAAAGCAAGAGGAGGAAGUUGGUUUUUGAUGACUACUUUCCGGCAGAGCUCCCCGAAGCCUCCGCCAAGAAAGUCCCCAAGAUCAACACCAAGGAUGCUGAGGGGCAGUCUGCUCCGGCGAGCCUUAUGGUUUGUUCCAUUGAAAUAGACGCUCCCGACAAGUUUUGCUCCGGCAAGCUUGCCGGGGAACAUCAAGCUCCGGCAGGGCCGCAAGUCCUUGCCGUGGAAGCAGAUGUUCCCACAGUAGCAAAUGUGCCUUUAGUCCUUGUUGCCGAGCCACAAGCUCCAGCAUGGGCACAGCAGAUUGUCCAUUUCCUUCAGACAGGAGAACUUCCCGAAGAGCAAGAAGAAGCGGAAAAAGUAGCCUGGCAGUCAAGUAUGUACCAGUUUGUCAAUAGCAUACUGUACAGAAGCAGACUCAACGGUGUGAAAUUGAAGUGUAUUUGCUGGGAAGAUGGACAAAAGCUGUUGGCAGAGAUACAUGGAGGCAUAUGUGGCCACCACAUUGGCGCAAGAGCACUUGCCGGCAAAGCUUUCCGGCAAGGUUUCUUUUCGCCGACAGCCCUCCAGGAUGCAACUGCACAAGUAACCAAGUGUGAAGCGUGCCAGUUCCACUCCAAACAGAUACACCAACCAGCUCAAGCUUUCCAGACGAUCCCUUUGUCCUGGCCAUUUUCGGUCUGGGGGCUCGAUAUCCUCGGCCCUUUCCCCCGAGCUGUCGGGGGCUUUGAUUACUUGUACAUUGCAAUCGACAAGUUCACAAAGUGGCCGGAAGUGCAGCCAGUGAGGAAGGUGACAGCACAGUCAGCAGUCAAGUUCUUCAGGUCAAUUGUUUGCCGUUUCGGGAUCCCUAACAGGAUCAUCACCGACAACGGCACGCAAUUCACGAGCCGCACCUUCAUGCAGUAUGUCCAAGACCUUGGCGCCAAGGUCUGCUUCGCUUCUGUUGCUCAUCCGAGAAGCAACGGUCAAGCAGAGAGGGCAAAUGCUAAAGUGCUGCGCGGGCUCAAGACCAGAACUUUCGACAAGCUGCGCAAGUGCGGAAGAAACUGGAUCGAGGAGCUGCCGGUGGUUCUUUGGUCGAUCAGAAUGACGCCAAAUUGAGCCACUGGCCAGACGCCUUUCGCUCUAGUCUAUGGAGCAGAGGCAGUUCUCCCCACGGAACUCGUAUACGGAUUGCCUCGAGUGCUCGCUUAUGAUGAGCUUGAGCAAGAACAGCUGCGACAAGACGACGCGCUGCUCCUUGAGGAAGAUCGUCUUCAGGCUGCUGUACGAGCUGCUCGAUACCAGCAAGCUUUGCGCCGCUACCAUAGCCGCAAACUUAAGGCCAGAAGCUUCGAGGAAGGCGACCUUGUUCUUCGGCGCGUUCAGUCCGCCAAGAAUUCCAACAAGUUGACGCCAAAGUGGGAAGGCCCUUAUCGGGUGAGACGAGUCACAAGGCCCGGCGCUGUCCGCCUUGAGACCGAAGAUGGCAUUCCGGUGAGCAACUCCUGGAACAUAGAACAUCUUCGUAAGUUUUUCCCGUAGGGCGCGGUUGCCGGAAGCCGUUCCGGCAACCACCUUUUGUACAAGUCUUGCCGCUGUUGCAUGUAAUCCUUUGUACAAAGCCGGGUGCAGAUCCCGUGCAUAAGUAAAACCCCAUGUGCUCCGCACAACUUGUUCAUUUCAUGCAUUAGUUUCUUUCUUGCAUGUAUUAUCUGACACUUUGUGCAACACCUACAUCCGGUAAGCAAUAACGAGCCGAAGGGCUCCAUAUUAUUAUUUUCUCUUCUUUCUUCUUUUUCAACAAAGGAAAAGAGGGUUCCCUCGCACACAAGUUUGCCGGGGGGGAAGGAGAAGAUUGUGGUAUGGACCAGGCGUCGUUCAAGCAAAGUUUUGCCUUGCCGGGAAGCAAACGACAGAAAAGCUAAGUUGCCAAAGUUUGAGCAAUCAGUUUUUAAAUUUUCGAGUUAUCUUCCUCGAACGACCCUGCUUUGUAUGGAAAACCUGUGCGCGGAGGAACCAACUCGUGGCUAGUUGCGCCCUUACUUUGUUUCGAGUCCGCUGAACAUCUUAAGUGUGCUGCUUCUAGUCGCGACAAGGUUUCUUGUCGGAAGCAGCGCUACCAGCAGGCUGCUGACGUUCCGCACCCAGCGCUCGCGGCUCGGGCGCCUGCGCCGACAAGUUCCCUAGAAGCGUAGGAUAAAAACAUACAAAGGAAGGAAUCUAGUAGAGGAAAUAACAUAGCAAUUGAUAACAGAAAUAAAGUUAUAUUACAAGAUAACUUGUCGCAGCUCUAACAGACUGUUUUCAUAACAUGAUUAGUAGCGACAAGGAAAAAAGAAGAAAUGGGCAGCCUAGUCUACGCAGUCGCCCUCAACCCUCUUGAUCUCGCUCACCUUGUCCACAAUGGGUGCGACAAGGGCCUUGAGUGCAUCCCGAUCGGCGUCUGGCGGCAAGGACUUGAGGACGUUGGUGAAGCUGAGGCCUGGAUUGCGGAAGGCCACCUUCAUCAGCACCUUCUGGAGAACCCCGGCGCAGAUUUUGCGCGACUCGUCGGCUAGCUGCUUUGGGAUCCUCUCCCGGAGCCGCUGGAGUGCCGUCGCCACGCCCUUGAAGAACAGGCUGAGCUUGGCGCUGGGUUGGAGACUCUCGUCGGAGGGAUACCCAAAGUCCUCCAUCCCGAGCUAGGCCAGCUCCUCGUUGAUGACUGCGGCAAUAUUCACCAGACCCUCGGUCCAGUGCUCCACAGUGUCUCUGAACGAGUUCUGGGUAACUGCGAUGCUCUCCAGCAGCGCCUUGUCAGCUUUGACCUUCUCCGACAAGGUCUUCUCCCGCUCCUUGGCGGCCUCCAACGUCUGCGUCAGCGUGGCCAGCUUCAGCUCCAGGUCUGCAUUGGAAUCCUUGGCGGUGCUGAGCUCCUUGCCCCUCUCAGCGAGAAGACCUUGCAGCUCACCGUGGGCGGCAGCAUCCUUCUCACGCUCACGCUUGAGCGCGGCAAGCUCCUCGCCGCUCUUCCCGAUAUUGGCCUCCAGCUGCGCCACCUUCUCCUCCAGCUCUUUCUUGGCGGCCUCUGCGAUCGCGGCAGCGUCCUUUGCUUCCUUGAGCGCCCCGCCAAGUGCUUGUUCGCGCUCGGCGAGCUCCUCCUCGUAGCAGUCGAGGUUGGCCUUCCGCUGCACCAAUUCACCUUCUCGCGCGGACUGCUUCUCGGCGGCCAGGCUUUGUUCCUCCUCAACUUCGGCCUUCUCGAGAAGGAAGGGCGUGCGCUCCUCGUCGAGUCACUCCUGCUCCUGUGCCAGGGUCCGGAGAGCUUCUUGAUUGUGGCCCCGGAGCUCCUCCGCGCGCUUCUCCAUGUCAACUCCCGCCUUCGCGACAAGCGCUUCCCGGGAAGCCAGCUUGGCUUGCCGUGCGCGGUAGAGUGACAGCAGCUUCCGUAGCAGCUGCUCCUCCUCAGACUCGCCACUGCUGCUGCUAGGCGCGUCGACUAACGACAGUCCAGCAGAGGCAAGCACCUCCCCAUCAAAAGUUUCCCCCUCGACCGGCGCCCUGGAGCUCGACGCCCAGGGUAGCUUGAUGAAGAUAUCGUCGCCGGCCUUCAAGUAGGCGCCGGGCUGGGGCUCCUCGGAGCCCGGCUCCGCAGAAGCGGCAGAGGGAUCGGCGGUCGGCGCAGCGCCUAGCGCUCCUGCGGCCUCAGGGUCAUCAGUGCGAUCGCCCGACCCCUCGCCGGCUUCUGCGGCGGCAGCCUUGGCGGCCUCCUCGCCGGCGGUCUCAUCAGCAUCGGCCCCUUCCUCGCCGGCGCCCUCUGUCUCCAUUGGCUUAGCAGCAGAUGGGUCUGAAGAACGAAGAAGGGAGAAAAAUCAAUCAAAAAUCCAAGAGAAGAAAAUCAGAAGAAGAAGAACCCAAGGGAAAGUUUUUGGACAAGUGAAUUACCUGUGCCAAGACCUGCAGUUGCGGUCUCGGCCGCCGCAGGAUCGACGGUGCUACCCCUUGCCGGAAAGUUCUCCCUUGCCGGAGAGCGCUCCCUUACCGGGAACCCCUCCCUUGGCGGCGUAGUCGAAGCAGAUGGCACUUCGGGACCAGCUUCCGGGCGCUCCUGAUGUGGCUGCUCUGCUCCUACACAAAUCAACAAGCAAGAUAUCAACAAAGGAAAAAGCACUCAUGCGCGCCCGACAGCAGAAAGUUAACUAUGAACUUACGCUGGGGGCUGCGCUGGGGGCUGCUUUGAGGAGUGAUUGCCGGGUCCGUCAAGGUGGUCUCGGACCCACCCCCUGCUGACACGGUGGGGUCAUCUUCGAUGACGAUCACUGCGUCCUUGGCCCUCUUCGCCGCUCUCUGGGCCAGCGUCCUGAAAAGAAAGGAGUCCAGAUUGAAGCAAGUCAGAUACAAGAUAAAAACAGCAAGAUUGAAGAACUACAAGAGCACCAAAGAAACUUACUCUUCUUCCUCCUCGUCGGAGCUGAGCGCGGAAAGAUUGAAGUCCGGCUCCCCUCUGGUGCGGCGAGGCGGAGGAGUAGGAUCCCUUGCCCGCUUGGCGGGGGCGGUGGCGGUGGCCCGGGAAGAUCCCGCUCCAGUUGCUGCUGCUGCGUGGGGCGCUCCCGCGGCAACAUUGCUUGCUGCGGUAGAGCGUGUCGCGCGGCUCGGCGGCUGUUGACCCGGCUGCCGCCCCGCUACGUCCGCGGCCCUGCGAAGACGCCUCCUUGGCGGGGCCGGGGGCUCUGCCUGCGGCAAGCUUUCUGAAGGCUUGGGCUCUUCCUCGCCGGCCUCGCUCGGCUCGGCUUCAGAACCGGCAGGCUCUUCCUCGCCAAUGAACUCCGCGCGCUCGGCAAGGUUUGCCACUUCUGCCGCCUCCGCCUCCUCCACAGUGAACCCGAACACGCCCGCGGCAGCUGCGGCCGCAACCUCUUCCACCCUGGUGGUGAUGCGCUGCAGCUCCUCGUCGGUGGUGUCACGGGUGAGGCUCUUCUGCUUGUCAGCAUGGACCGGCACUUCUUCCAAGUUGUCAAAGAACGCUUGCACGACGUCAUCCGCAGGCUCUUGCCAAGUUGGAACGAUUCCGUGUGAGUCGCACAACGGCAUCAUAGCACAGAUCCGGUCAAGCGAAGAAUUGUUGCACAAUGGAACGACACCCCUCGGCAGCGUGAAUGGGUGCUGGGGGUCGCGUUUGAACAACUCCAGGAGCAUUGCAUCCAGCUCCAAGACGGUGAAGUUGUAGUUGAGGCCCGGCCGCAGCCUCAUGAUGUCCGCCGAGUUCUUGAAUUCCCAGGCGGGCCUCCCCCUCUCCUGCAGGGGGGCGAUGCGGCGGCGGAGGAAAUUUGCGCCUACAGCGCCUACAGUGAGCCCGGCAAGCCUGAGGCGAAGGAUCCUAGUGAUGGCGAUCUUCAGCCUCUCGUCUUCCGGAGCCACGUUGCUCCAGUCAUUGCCGCGCACUAUUGGAGCUUGGCGCACAGCGGUGAAGGGCUGCAGAUUCUCCUCGACGAUCCAGCACCACUCCGCUCUCCACUCAUCCCACUUGCUAUGGAGCUCACCCUCCAAGUACGCCUCCUUCUUGCCGACCCUCGAGAUCCAGGCGAUCCCUCCGGCAAGCGGCUCUCCUCUCUCUACCCUAGGUAUGAAGAAGUGGCAGAAAUGGGCAACAUUGGGGUGGACUCCGACAAAGUUUUCGCACAAAUGUGCGAAAACUGCCAUGGUCAGAACGGCGUUGGGGGUGAAAUCAAGGAGGUGGAAGCCGUAGGUGUUCAUGAUAUCGCAGAAGAACUCCGAGAACAGCAUGAAGAAUGGGUACCCAUUUGGAGCCAGCUCCGAAGCAGUGGCCGGGAGUACCCUCGUGCGCGGAUGCGCCCGCGUCUCCGUCGCCCAAAAGAGGUAGAAGUACUCCCUCAGCUCCUGCACGCCGAGCUAGGGGGAGAAAAUCGCCCGCUCCUUCCGCAGUGCCGCGAGCCGCUGCGCCUCGGCCGACUUCACGCCCUUUCCCUUGUCAGCUUUCGGAGCCAUGGCGGAGGUGGUGGGGGAGGUCGACGGCGUUGGUGAUGCUGGUGGCAAUGGGGGGGCUGAGCGCUGCUCUCUCGGCUUCGAGAAGAAGGGGGGGGGCGGUGGAGGUUCGUGAAGAUGGAGUAGUAGCAACCAGCGAGGGGGAACAAACUGCCCCUGUUUCCUCUGCUUAUAAAGAGGGACGGGGCGGACGUUUCGCCCUUCCGAAUAAAGAACCACCCACGAUCUCUCCCACGAUGCCGCAUUCAAUGCGUGCCGUUAGGGGAGAGCGUGGUGGAUACGGAGCAGGAUUCGGCGUGGCCCAGUCCGCGUGUGCCCGUGCCCUGUCUUGGGCCUGGCCCAACAGCGCUCGGCACCGUGUCUAGCCCAGGCCCGGGGGCUCCUGUCGGUGUACUAGAGUAGGGGUACCCUAGUACCCCGAACUUGUGCACGGGCAGUUGCAGCACCCCGUGGCAAGGCUUGCCGGGAGAACGCCAAGAUCCUCCGUGGUUCCCUUGGAGCCAUUCAAGAACAAAGUAUUUAAGCUCAGGAGACAAGGCCCCGGCAAGAGGAGCUUGCCGGGAAGGCCAACCAAGGCACGCCAAGGAACUUGCCGCGACGCACCACGCGCUCCGGCAAGGCAACAAGGCCCCGGCAAGAGGAGCUUGCCGAGAAGACCAACCAAGGUACCUCGAGGCCCGGUGAGCGACAAGCUUCUGGACCCGACAAGAUAACAACAACGGCAAGGCGCUUGCCGCGGCAGGCGGCCACUCUGUGCCCACGCUCCAGCGCAUCCACCAACGUGUCGCUCUGGGGGCCUCUCUAGGCGCGCGUGGCGGGAGGCUGUGCAGCCCGCGGUGCGCAGUGGCAUGCGAAGCUGACAAGAUCGCCAUCGUGGCGAACGGUGGCGCCCCUAACGGUCCUUUUCUGCACUGUUUGCGCGACUCAGACGGGCAUUUAAUGCCCUUGUCCCCUGCCGUCAGGGUUAGGUAGGGUGCACUGUACAAGUAACUGUACCAACCACCUCGCUUUUUACAUUUGUACCCUUCUCUGCGUUGCCACCUAUCGGUGACCCCUUUAGCGUAUAAAAGGAGGCCCAUGCGCAACGUAGAGGGGGUUCGGUUCGAUUCACUCGGGAACCCAGAAAAAUACUACGCUCUCUCUCUAGAGCAAGAACAGAAGAUAAUCAAAAAGCAGCAGUAGGAGUGUUAUCUCUCCAGAGAGCUCCGAAGCUGGGUAAACUGCUCGUGUGCUUCGCCUCGAUCUGCUCUUCNNNNNNNNNNNNNNNNNNNNNNNNNNNNNNNNNNNNNNNNNNNNNNNNNNNNNNNNNNNNNNNNNNNNNNNNNNNNNNNNNNNNNNNNNNNNNNNNNNNNNNNNNNNNNNNNNNNNNNNNNNNNNNNNNNNNNNNNNNNNNNNNNNNNNNNNNNNNNNNNNNNNNNNNNNNNNNNNNNNNNNNNNNNNNNNNNNNNNNNNNNNNNNNNNNNNNNNNNNNNNNNNNNNNNNNNNNNGAAAGGGGCCCGGUUCGUGGAUCAGUUUCCCCCGACAGGAGGCAACCCAAUUUUCUUUGUUUUAUUUGUUUUUGUUCCUGUUUAGUAAUAAAUUUUGUAUCUACUUUAUGUUUAGAUGUGUUUUCAUGUUUUAUUUAGUGUUUGUGCCAAGUAGAACCUAUAGGAUAACCCAUGGUAUUAGUUAAUUCGAUUCUGCUGAAAAACAGAAACUUUGCGCUCACGAGAAAUAAUUCAAUAAAUCACAGGAAUGUUCUUUUGCAUUGAUUCUUUUCGCUGGGGAUCAAUAGACAAAUUUCCUAGGACUUCCUAUUUUUGUAGGAUUUUUGGAGUUCCAGAAGUAACCGAAAGUUACAGAUUUCUACAGACUGUUCUGUUUUUGACAGAUUCUGCCUUUCGUGUGUUGUUUGCUUAUUUCGAUGCAUCUGUGGCUAAUAUUAAGUGGUAUGAACCAUAGAGAACAUGGAAUACAUUAGGUUUAACACCAAUUUAAAUAAAGAAUGAGUUCAUUACAGUACCUUAUGCGGUGGUUUUUCUUUCUUGCACAAACGGAGCUUAUGAGAUUUCCUGUUGAGUUUUGUGUUGUGAAGUUUUCAAGUUUUGGGUAAAGAUUUGAUGUACUAUGGAAUAAGGAGUGGAAAAAGACUAAUCUUGGGGAUUCCCAUGGCACCCCAAGAUAUUCAAUAGUAGCCAAAAGCCUAAGCUUGGGGAUGCCCCGGGAAGGCAUCCCCUCUUUCGUCUUCGUUCAUUGGUAACUUUACUUGGAGCUAUAUUUUUAUUCAUCACAUGAUAUGUGUUUUGCUUGGAGCAUCGUGUAUGAUAUUAGUCUUUGCUUUUUAGUUUACCACAAUCACCCUUGAUGUACACACCUUUUGGGAGAAGCCUACUUGAUUGAAAUUUAUUAGAAUACUCUAUAUGCUUCACUUAUAUCUUUUGAGCUAGAUAGUUUUUGCUCUAGUGCUUCACUUAUAUCUUUUAGAGCACGGCGGUGGAUUAAUUUUGAAGAAAUUGUUGAUCUCUCAUGCUUCACUUAUAUUAUUUUGAGAGUCUCUUAGAACAGCAUGGUAUUUGCUAUGGUUAUAAAGUUGGUCUUAGAAUGGUAGGCAUCCAAGUUGGGUAUAAUAAAAACUAUCAUAGGAAGUGAAUUGGAUGCUAUGAUCAAUUUGACACUUGAUAAUUGUUUUGAGAUAUGGAGGUAGUGAUAUUAAAGUCAUUCUAGUUGGGUGAUUAUGAAUUUAAAGAAUGCUUGUGUUGAAGUUAGCAAGUCCCAUAGCAUGCACGUAUGGUUAAAGUUCUGUAACAAAUUUGAAACAUGAAGUGUCCUUGGAUUGUGCAUUCUUAUGAGUGGCGGUCGGGGACGAGCGAUGGUCUUUUCCAACCAAUCUAUCCCUCUAGGAGCAUGCGCGUAGUGCUUGGUUUCUGAUGACUUGUAGAUUUUUGCAAUAAGUAUAUGAGUUCUUUUGACUAAUGUUGAGUCCAUGGAUUAUACGCACUCUCACCUUCCAUCAUUGCUAGCCUCUUCGGUACCGUGCAUUGCCCUUUCUCACCUUGAGAGUUGGUGCAAACUUCGCCGGUGCAUCCAAACCCUGUGAUAAGAUAUGCUCUAUCACACCUAAACCUCCUUAUAUCUUCCUCAAAACAGCCACCAUACCUACCUAUUUAUGGCAUUUCCAUAGCCAUUCCGAGAUAUAUUGCCAUGCAACUUUCUACCGUUCCAUUUUUCAUCAUGACAUGUAUUACUAUUGUCAUAUUGCCUUGCAUGAUCAUGUAGUUGACAUCGUAUUUGUGGCAAAGCCACCAUGCAUAAAUUUUCAUACAUGUCACUCUUGAUUCAUUGCCCAUACUAGUACACCGCCGAAGGCAUUCAUAUAGAGUCAUAUCUUGUUCUAGUUUUGAGUUGUAAUUCAUGAGUUGUGAAUAUAUAGAAGUGUGAUGAUCAUCAUUAUUAGAGCAUUGUCCCCAAAGAAAAGAAAAAAAGGAAGGCCAAAGAAAAAAAGUAAGGCCAAAGAAAAAAAGAAAGGUCAAAGGAAAAAAUAAAAAAGAAUGAAAAAAGAAUAAAAGAAAAAGGGGGCAAUGUUACUAUCUCUUUUCCAUACUUGUGCUUCAAAGUAGCACCAUGUUCUUCAUAUAGCGAAUCUCAUAGGUUGUCACUUUCAUAUACUAGUGGGAAUUUCUCAUUAUAGAACUUGGCUUGGAUAUUCCUGCGAUGGGCUUCCUCAAAAUGCCCUAGGUCUUCGUGAGCAAGCAAGUUGGAUGCACACCCACUAGUUUUUCUUUUGUUGAGCUUUCAUACAUUUAUAGCUCUGUGCAUCCGUUGCAUGGCAAUCCCUACUCCUCAUGUUGACAUCAAUUGAUGGGCAUCUCCAUAGCCCGUUAAUUAUCCUCGUCAAUGUGAGACUUUCUCCUUUUUUGUCUUCUCCACACAAGCCCCAUCAUUAUUCUAUUCCACCCAUAGUGCUAUAUCCAUGGCUCACGCUCAUGUAUUGCGUGAAAGUUGAAAAGUUUGAGAUUAUUUAAGUAUGAAACAAUUGCUUGGCUUGUCAUCGGGGGUGUAGAAUUUGGGAACAUUUUUUGUGUGACGAAAAUGAAGCAUAACGUAACUAUAUGAUUUUGUAGGGAUGAACUUUCUAUAGCCAUGAUAUUUUGAGAAGACAUGAUUAUUUUUAUUAGUAUGCUUGAAGUAUUACUGUUUCUUAUGUCAAUAUGAACUUUUAUUUUGAAUCAUUUGGAUCUGAACAUUAAUGCCACAAUAAAGAGAAAUACAUUGAGAAUUAUGUUAGGUAGCAUUCCACAUCAAAAAUUCUGUUUUUAUAAUUUACCUACUCAAGGACGAGCAGGAAUUAAGCUUGGGGAUGCUUGAUACAUCUCCAAUGUAUCUAUAAUUUUUGAUUGUUCCAUGCUAUUAUAUUACCUAUUUUGGAUGUUUAUGGGCUUUAUUUUACACAUUUAUAUCAUUUUUGGGACUAACCUACUAACCGGAGGCCCAGCCUGUAUUGCUGUUUUUUUUGCCUAUUUCAGUAUUUCGAAGAAAAGGAAUAUCAAACGGAGUCCAAACGGAAUGAAACCUUCGGGAGCGUGAUUUCUGGAACAAACGUGAUCCAGAAGACUUGGAGUGCAAGUCAAGAAGCUCUCGAGGCGGCCAUGAGGGUGGAGGGUGCCCCCCCUACAGGGUGCGCCCCCUAUCUCGUGGGCCCCUCGGGCAUCCACCGACGUACUUCUUCCUCCUAUAUAUACCUACGUACCCCAAAAACAUCCAGGAAGCCACUGAAGAAAUAUUUCCGCCACCAUAACCUUAUGUAUCUGUGAGAUCCCAUCUUGGAGCCGUCGCCAGCAUUCUGCUGGAGGGGGAAUCCACCAUGGAUGGCCUCUACAUCAACCCCAAGGCCUCUCCGAUGAGUUUUGAGUAGUUUACCAUAGACCUUCGGGUCCAUAGUUAUUAGCUAGAUGGCUUCUUCUCUCUUUUUGGAUCUCAAUACCAUGUUCUCCCACUCUCUUGUGGAGAUCUAUUCGAUGUAACUCUUUUUUGCGGUGUGUUUGUCGAGAUCCGAUGAAUUGUGGGUUUAUGAUCAAGUUUAUCUAUGAGAAAUAUUUGAAUCUCCUCUGAAUUCUUUUAUGUAUGAUUGAGUUAUCUUUGCAAGUCUCUUCGAAUUAUCGGUUUGGUUUGGCCUACUAGAUUGAUCUUUCUUGCCAUGGGAGAAGUUCUUAGCUUUGGGUUCAAUCUUGCGGUGUCCUUUCCCAGUGACAGCAGGGGCAGCAAGGCAUGUAUUGUAUUGUUGCCAUCGAGGAUAAAAAGAUGGGGUUUAUAUCAUAUUGCAUGAGUUUAUCCCUCUACAUCAUGUCAUAUUUCUUAAUGCGUUACUCUGUUCUUAUGAACUUAAUACUCUAGAUGAAUGAUGGAUAGCGGUCGAUGUGUGGAGUAAUAGUAAUAGAUGCAGGUAGGAGUCGGUCUACUUGUCAAGAACGUAAUGCCUAUAUACAUGAUCAUCCCUAGAUAAUCUCAUAAUUAUUUGCUUUUCUAUCAAUUGCUCGACAGUAAUUUGUUGACCCACCGUAAUACUUAUGCUAUCUUGAGAGAAGCCUCUAGUGAAACUUAUGGCCCCCGGGUCUAUCUUUUAUCAUAUAAGCUUUCAAUCUACUUUUAUUUGCAUCUUUACUUUUCCAAUCUAUAUCAUAAAAUACCAAAAAUAUAUUUAUCUUAUCAUAUUAUCUCUAUCAGAUCUCACUUUCGCAAGUGACCGUGUAGGGAUUGACAACCCCUUUAUCGCGUUGGUUGCGAGUUCUUUGUUUGUUUGUGUAGGUGCGUGGGACUUUUAAGGAGCCUCCUACUGGAUUGAUACCUUGGUUCUCAAAAACUGAGGGAAAUACUUGCGCUACUGUGCUGCAUCACCCUUUCCUCUUCAAGGGAAACCAACGCAAGCUCAAGACGUAGCAGAGAUCCAUCGGCACCUGAGCCGGCGGGCACGCAUGGCCUCCUGCCCGGGUUGCCGCUGACCCGGAGGUUAUUGCUGCCAUAGCCGUAGAGUAUUGACCGGGUUGUGUGCCAGCCAUGAAGAUCACAACUCGGCUCGGUGGCUCAAAGGGGUCCAGAAUACUGCUGCCGUCAGAACAGCCCCCAAGCCCGCCGUCUUGCAGUUGAUACAACAAAUCCGUCUCACCCAUGGAUGACUCACGGUCAGAAUAGAUGGCCGUCUCAUCGGCAGACAUAGAUCCUUCAAAAGAUUCUCCUCCAUGGGUGCAUCUUACGAAGGCACGCUUCAUGGCGGGCUGAGCCUGGGUGGGUCUCGCACGCUAAGCCAUCUCGAUGAUGUCGGUGUAGAUGUCCGGCUCAGGGCCCGGCUCACCGAUCUUGCCGAUGAAGACGUGAAAUCUACCGAAGGGGACCCGGUACCCGUACUCAAUUGAGCCGGCGUCGGAGCCCCAGCCUGCAUCGUCGAUGUAGAGCUUGCCGCGACGACUCUUGGUCAUCUGGCCCACAGCGUAUCCCUUGAGCCCUUCGAAGCUGCCCUUCAAGAACUCAAAUCCACCGUGCGCUGGCCCCACGAUGGGCCCCAACUGUCGUGGAAUUGUCACGUCAUAUGUCCUCGUGAAAGGCCUUAGUUGUGGAGCCAUCGCAACUAGGAAUCUUAAAGGGGUUAGUCGGGACAAAAGACAUGAGGUUUAUACUGGUUCGGCCCCUUAUGGUGAAGGUAAAAGCUUAUGAUCCAGUUUUGAGUGGGAUUGCUUAUGUCUCGAUAACCAGGGAGCGAGUCCGCUUGACCUAGCUCUCGAUUUUGUGUUACUUGCCAUGAACUGUCGCUGGGUCGUCCCUUUAUAUACAGAGGUCGACACCCAGCGGCUUACAGAGUCCCGGCGGCUCAUAAACAGUGUCUGGGUAGGUCUCUUAACUAUUCUUGCCUUACAAUACAAGUAAUGUACAUAUGGCGGUUUAUCUCUAUAAGCCUUAAGUCGCCUUUGGUCUUUGGGCCCUUAACUGAACUGCCAUCUUCAAGCUUGGUCCUGGGCUUUAAAGUACUCAUAGGUAUAACCCGGCCCCUCCUGGGCGGGUCAUACCUAAUAGUUAUAUCUCAAACAGUGAUUAUAAAGAUGCUCUAGAGGUAUCUCCGAAGGUGUUUGUUGGGUUGUCAUAGAUCGUGAUUAGGAUUUGUCACUAUGAGUAUCGGAGAGGUAUCUAUGGGCCCUCUCGGUAAUACACAUCAUAAGAAGCCUUGUAAGCAAAGUGACUAAUGAGUUAGCUGCAGGAUGAUGUAUUACGAAAUGAUUAAAGAGACUUGCCAGUAACGAGAUUGAACUAGGUAUGAAGAUACCGACGAUCGAAUCUCGAGCAAGUAACAUACCGAUGACAAAAGGAAUAGCGUAUGUUGCCAUAAUGAUUCGACCAAUAAAGAUCUUCGUACAAUAUGUGGGAGCCAAUAUGAGCAUCCAGGUUCCGCUAAUGGUUAUUGACCGGAGAGGUGUCUCGGUCAUGUCUACAUAGUUCUCGAACCCGUAGGGUCCGCACGCUUAAAGUUCGAUGACGAUAUUGUAUUAUAUGAGUUAUGUGAUUUGGUGACCGAAUGUUGUUCGGAAUCCCGGAUGAGAUCACGGACAUGACGAGGAGUCUCGAAAUGGUCGAGAGGUAAAAGAUUGAUAUAUAGGAUGAUGGUAUUCAAACACCGUAAGUGUUUUGGGAAGCACCGAGAACUUAUCGGGUCACCGGAAGGGGUUCCGGGCACCGCCGGCAAAAGAUAUGGGCCUUAUGGGCCAAGAGGGGAAACACACGAGCCACAAAGGGGCUGGUGCGCCCCCCCUCCCCAUAUGGGCUGGCCAAAUUGGAGAAGGAAAGGGGAAGGAGGAAAGGAUAAAGGGAAUAGGAUUCCCCCUUCCCCUCUUCCAUUCCUACUCUUAAUAGGAAUAGGAGAGGGGGUUGGCCGAAUUGCGAGAGGACCCAAAGUAGGAAUCCUCCUACUUGAGGCGCCUCCUUGGCUGCCUCUCCUCCCCNNNNNNNNNNNNNNNNNNNNNNNNNNNNNNNNNNNNNNNNNNNNNNNNNNNNNNNNNNNNNNNNNNNNNNNNNNNNNNNNNNNNNNNNNNNNNNNNNNNNNNNNNNNNNNNNNNNNNNNNNNNNNNNNNNNNNNNNNNNNNNNNNNNNNNNNNNNNNNNNNNNNNNNNNNNNNNNNNNNNNNNNNNNNNNNNNNNNNNNNNNNNNNNNNNNNNNNNNNNNNNNNNNNNNNNNNNNNNNNNNNNNNNNNNNNNNNNNNNNNNNNNNNNNNNNNNNNNNNNNNNNNNNNNNNNNNNNNNNNNNNNNNNNNNNNNNNNNNNNNNNNNNNNNNNNNNNNNNNNNNNNNNNNNNNNNNNNNCAAUUUUUGUGCUGUUAUUCCUUCCUGGCACUCUUUUUUCAAAAUCUUUCUCCUGAGUUUGUUCGAUGACCCUGAGAAUUCUUGUCAUUUCCAACCUUCCAAAGUUUUCUCAUGUCUUCUUCAGUGGGCAAGACCUUAGUUGCAUCAUCUUAAACCCUCUCAAACCCUAAUUCCAAAAUUUUGGAAAUUGAAUAUGCCCUUUGUGAUUUUAAAGGGGCUAUCAUUCUCCUUGAUCUGUUGAUCAUCUCAUCUGUUCCUAGAGACCCUUCUAUCCUUUUCAACCUUGGAUAUGCAAAAAAUAUUGCCAAGUCCCAUGCAAUAUUUUUGAAUUAGGAUUUAUUCCUUUUCUUGCCUUUCCGAGGAAUAAAAUCAAAAGGCAUAUCUAUCCAUCUCCUAAAUUCAUGUGAAUUGGUGGAGUUGAUAUUUAUGCCUAAUCCAAGCUCUGGAAAUCAUAUUGGCCAUAAUUAAAUAAGGAAAAUUGUCUUUUCCUAUUUAAUACCAAUAUUGCAUUUCUGCCAUUUUCUAAAGGAACUAUUAUUUUAAUAGCAGGGAAAAUUCUCGCAUAAAUUGUGGAGCUUGUCCUUGUUAUAUAAUCAUUAGUUCCAUAAUCAUCUCAUGUUCCUCAAGUCAAAAAUUUGGCACAUGAUCCAAUGCAAGUUUCUGCCUUCUCUGAAAUUUUUGCAAAGGAAGUGACUUAUUCCUAAUUCCAUUUGAGCUACCAUUCGGCAGGGUGAUUAAAAUUGAUAAAUCACCCAAGGAGACCAAAGAUGAGCUCAAUCCUAUCAUCCUAGCUCCCUGUGCUAUUUUCCAAAGUUUAUGGCCAGAGUAAAAUUUGGUGAAGGAAGUACCUUCAUAGAGUUUCCAAAUGGUAUGAAACUUUUCCACCCUGUCAAGUAUCCCAAAUAAUUAGCCUUCACCCAAAUUCAGAUCAUUUCAUUGAUCUAUGUGAGCACAGGAGCAAUUAUUGUAUUCUGUCCAUAUUUUCAGGUUGUGAAGCAAGUAUAUUUUAUCUUGCUCCAUUAUGGCUGAAAAUAUUCCCAAGCCUUCUCCUAUCCUUAUAACUCACCUAACCAAGAGUUUGGCUAAUUUUAUUUAGCCAAUAUUUUCCUAGGAUUUUCCCAAGUUUCUGGUCAAAGCUGAUGAUUGUGAAGCAAGUACCAAUUUGGCUAGCCCAAUUGGUGUGAUCUUUUUACAGCAUCUAGUUAUGACCAAAUCAUGAGGAUUUGCCAAGUUAUAGCUCAAUCCAUCACCCCUAGUGAGUGCUUCAUCAUCAUUUGGUUUUUGGACAUAUUUUAGCAGUUGUUAAGCAACUAUGCUAAAUAUUUGUCCCCAUGCCCUCAAAACCCCCAGGACAGUAGUCCUUGCUACCCUAAGGCCAACUCCACCGUGCGACCCUAUCAUGUCUGGCCCCGUCCUUUUGGGGCAAAACGGACAAACCAGGCGGCCCAACACGUGGGAGCAAACGAAUAUUUGUCCGUUUUGUGUCCGCUUUCGACCCAUCCGCGGCCCAAGUUUGCACCGCUUUUGGGGCGAAACGGACAGCGCACGGACAGGCGGGACACGCGCGCUUGUCCGCCCCUGGCCCGCUUGUCGAUGACACAAAGCAAAACCCCCCUCGCGGCCCCUUUGGCGCCAUUCUCACCCAAACCCUCCCACGUCCUGCCCGUCCCACUCCCCCCUCUGUCCAUGGCCGACGCCCAGCCGAACUCUGGUGGCCCAGCCAUCAACCCGCCCGGAAUGGCCAAGAAGAAGAAGCCCAAGGCGCCAAGGAAGCCACGGUCGGAGUGCACACCGGAGGAGAUCGCCAAGUUGGAUGCGGAAUUGGCGAAGAGGAGGGACCGGAGGGUGGUCGUCAAGAACAACAUCGCCGCGGCCAAGAGAGCGGCCGAACGCGCUGCAAUUAAGGCCGCACGACACAAGGCCUACCUCGAGGAGAAGGAGGACAUCGUCAGCAAAGCGCACGCCCUUCUCAUGCAUGGCAUUUGUCGCCCGACCGGUUUCUCUGGAGGGGCCAUCGGUCCGGCGAGCACAGGGUCGUCGAUCGCCCGGCCUCCGCAUUGCCAGUCGCAGACCACGCCCUUGUCGCCCGGCUUUCCUCCGCCAAGGCACGACGGCCAGACCCGUUUCAGAGGGUCGCCGGACGUGAGCGUGAUCGCGCCAUCCACACCGCGCCCCUCGGACGUCAUCGACCUCAACGGCAUUUGAUAUGUUUCUCUUUUUUUUAAAAAAAUAGACGCAGACAGGAUGGGGUAAAGGAUGCGGCCGCGCGCUGGGCGCACGGCCACCGCAUCCCCGGACAGGCCCGGACACGACCCCAUCCCCCUGCCCAAACGGAUAAAAUCCGGACAAAACGGACGUCCGUAUGGGGUCGCGUGGUGGAGUUGGCCUCAGCCUCCUAGACAUCAAAGUUACCAUUUACCCUCUCUGGUUUUACCUCUAGGACAUUGACAAGUUUAGUGCAGUAAACUUGUGGAGCUUGGUUUACUCAUCUCCCUUUGUCUCUGCCUGUCUAUUUACCGUAGUAAUACUCCACGCUGGAAGGACUACGCAAUAGACAUGGUUUAACCUCAGUAAAAAAACCAGAGCGCGCUAUGCCAGCGGUGACCACGAGUGCAGCAUGCCAAAAUGGUGGUCUAGCCAUUGUUCUCAUCAGCAUCGCUGCCCCGACCGUCCCUGACCUCGCCAUUAAUGUCUAGCAGCUCUGCAUCAUCGUCGCCGUUCGCCUAGAGCCCGCUCCCCCUCCGUUUGCUUCUCCCACAAGCCAAGCCAAGGGUCGAGCUGUGCGCCCGUGGCCAUCAUCUUCUUCCUCGCCUCUAUCCGCUUCCCCCUCGCGUCCGCGAGUGCCCCUCGUCUCCGUGAGCCUCUGGCGCUCGUCGGGAUCCCCCUCGUCGCCUUCCCGCUGCCUCUCGUGAGCUCUGGCCGCGACUGCCGACGACUGUGUCGUCGCCGACGCGCGGACGCGUCCCUGCCGCGUGCCACCUCGUCCUCUCCUUCUCAAGCCUUCCCCGUGGCUAUUUAAGCAGCCCUCGAGCUCUCUCGCAGCUCACAACCCCUCCCUAGCCUCUCCCCCGAGCUCCCAAGCCUCUCUGGCCUCUCCCCAUCGCCAUAGCCGCCGCCUCGGGCCUCCAUCGUUUCGGUCGCCCUCGAGCCCUCCUCUCCAUUUCCUGGCCACCAUUGCAUCCCCCGUGCUCCGGCGAGCCGCCCCGUAGCCUCAGCCCCCUCAUUCCCUCGCCAGAGCACCUCCCCUCGUCGACGACCGAAGCCCUCCAACGCCGUCCGCCAUUCUCAAGAACGUUGUCGUUCCCCUCGUUUUUGGAGUCCAUGGAGUGGGGGAACGGAUGCGUGAUAUGUCUCCGUCGUAUCUAUAAUUUUUGAUUGUUCCAUGCCAAUAUCCUUCAACUUUCAUAUACUUUUGGCAACAUUUUAUACUAUUUUUGGGACUAACAUAUUGAUCCAGUGACCGGUGCUAGUUCCUGUCUGUUGCAUGUUUUAUGUUUCGCAGAAAACCAAUAUCAAACGGAAUCCAAACGGGAUAAAAACGUACGGGGAAUUAUUUUGGAAUAUUUGUGAUUUUUGGGAGGUGGAAUCAAUGUGAAACAGUGUCCGAGGUGGCCACGAGAUAGGGGGCACACCCCCCCCCCCCCGGGCACGCCCUGGGCUCUCAUGGGCCACCCGUAAGGCGGUUGACACUCUACUUUUGCUGCAAGAAAGCUAAUUAUACGAGAAAAAUCUGGGCGAAAGAUUCACCCCGAUCGGAGUUACGGAUCUCCAGAUAUAAAGGAAAUGGUAAAGGGGUAGAACCAGGAAACGUAGAAACACAGAGAUAGGUCCAAUCUCGGAGGGGCUCUCUCCCCUCCCAAGCCAUGGGAGCCAAGGACCAGAGGGGAAACCCUUCUCCCAUCUAGGGAGGAGGUCAAGGAAGAAGAAGAAGAAGGGGGGCCCUCUCCCCCUUGCUUCCGGUGGCGCCAGAGCGCUGCCGGGGGCCAUCAUCAUCACCGCGAUCUUCACCAACACCUCCAUCAUCUCACCAACAUCUCCAUCACCUUCCCCCUUCUAUAUCUAGUGGUCCACUCUCCCGCAACCCACUGUACCCUCUACUUGAACAUGGUGCUUUAUGCUUCAUAUUAUUUUCCAAUGAUGUGUUACCAUCCUAUGAUGUCUAAGUAGAUUUUCGUUGUCCUAUCAAUGAUUGAUGAAUUGCUAUGAUUGGUUUGAGUUGCAUGUUUUAUUAUUGGUGUUGUCCUAUGGUGCCCUCCGUGUCACGCAAGUGUGAGGGAUUCCCGCUAUAGGGUUUGCAAUAUGUUUAUGAUUUGCUUAUGGUGGGUUACGUGAGUGACGGAAACACAAACCCGAGUAAGUAGGUUGUUUGCGUAUGGGAUAAAAGGGAACUUGAUACUUUAAUGAUAUGGUUGGGUUUUACCUUAAUGAAUCUUUAGUAUUUGCGGAUGCUUGCUAGAGUUCCAAUCAUAAGUGCAUAGAAUUCCAAGUAAGGGACGAUAUGUUGGCUUAUGCCUCUCCCUCAAAUAGAAUUGCAAUAGUGAUUACCGGUCUAGUAACAUAGUCAGUUGCUUAGGAACAAUUUCACAACUCCUACCACCACUUCUCCACACUCGCUAUAUUUACUUUCUUGCAUCUUUAUUUAAACAUCCCCUAGCUUUUAUUUAUGUGCUCUUUAUUAUCUUGCAAACCUAGGCUUUCACACCUUCAAAGUGCUUCUAGUUUCAUACUUGUUCUAGGUAAAGCAAACGUCAAGCGUGCGUAGAGUCGUAUCAGUGGCAUAUAGGACUUGAGAGAGUAUUUUUUCUACCUUUAGCUCCUCGUUGGGUUCGACACUCUUACUUAUCGAAAGAGGCUACAACUAUCCCGUAUACUUGCGGGUCAUCAAGACCUUUUUCUAGCGCCGUUGCCGCGGAGUCAUAGCGUGGGGCGAAUAUUCUCGUGUGUGCUUGUUUGCUUUAUCACUAAGUAAUUUUUAUUUGCUGUUCUUAGUCAUUCUCUAUAUUUAGUUAUGGAUAUGGAACGCAAAAUACCAAAAAAUUAGCUGUACUUGCUACUCAUUAAGAUGGGGUAACUCCUAAAACCCUCGAUUCUCAUUAUGCGAAAGAUAUUAUGUACUACUUUGAUAAUCCUGAGAAAGCCCCAUUCAACUUUAUAAUGUGAGACAUGUUGGAUCAACCUGAAUACUUUAGGGAUUAUCACUCGACACAAAAAGGGAAACUAUUAUGGGAUCAAUUUAUUAUGUUGCGUUGGUAUGCCUGGAAUCUCUGCUUGAGAUAUGAUAUUACUUGUUGCUCUAGGAUGGAGGCUCCACACCUCCCCUUUUCAUGCAAAUUGAACGAUAAUGAAACCUUAGCUUCUUAUGCUAAUGGUAUAUAUGAUUACUAUGAUGUGGAACAAAUAGAAGAAUUUGUUGCUUUUAAGGCUGCCAAUGAUAUUGAAGCUUUGUUUGAAAAGUAUGAAGCUUUUGAUGAUGAUGGUUAUAGGCCGGAAAAUCUUGGUAUACUUGGAUAUUGCUAUGAAAAUUAUGAAUACAAUUACUAUAUUAAUGCUUUUAUGAAGAAAGUCAACGCUGUCCAAGAAGAGAUUAAUAUUUUGCAGGAAGCUAUGGAAGAAGAAAUUGAUGAAACUGUGAGCUCAUUGGUUGAAAAAGAUGAUGAGGAGAGUGAAGAACAAAAGGAGGAAGAGCGGAUUGAUCACCCGUGCCCACCUUCUAAUGAGAGUAAAUCUUCAACUCAUACAUUGUUUAAUUCCCCUUCGUGCUUACCGAAGGAUGAUUGCUAUGAUCCCGUUGAUUCUCUUGAAAUAUCCCUUUUUGAUGAUGCUUGCUAUGCUUGUGGCCAAGAUGCCAAUAUGAAUUAUGCUUAUGGAGAUGAACUUGCUAUAGUUCCUUAUGUUAAACAUGAAAUUGUUGCUAUUUCACCCACGCAUGAUAGUGCUAUUAUCUUUUUGAAUUCUCCAAACUACAGUAUAUUGUAGAAGUUUGUGCUUAUUAAGGAUUAUAUGAAUGGGUUGGCUUUUACCAUUGCACAUGAUGAUUUUGAUGAAUGUAAUAUGCAUGUGCUUGCUGCUCCUACUUGCAAUUAUUAUGAGAGAGGAACUAUUUCUCCACCUCUCUAUGUUUCCCAUACUAUGAAUUUGCAAGAAACUGCCUAUACUAUGCACUGGACUUACUAUGUGUGCAUGAAUUGUUCUUUUAUGACAUGCCGAUGCAUAGGAAGAGAGUUAUACUUCGUCGUUGCAUGAUAUAUGUUACUUUGUGCUCACUACUAAAUUACAAAUCAUUGUUAAUUAAAAUUGGCUUUGAUAUACCUUGGGAUCCGGGUGGAUUCAUUACUUGAGCACUAAAUGCCUAGCUUAAUGGAUUUAUAGAAAGCGCUGCCAGGGAGACAACCCGGAAGUUUUAGAGAGUCAUUUAUUUCUGUUGAGUUCUUUUAUAUAGUUUAAAAACACAAAAAUAAAGAGGGGAACCUAAAAACUUUUCAAAAAGGAAAGUGAAAGUGAGAAAGACAAGCAUCGUUGAAGUGGGAGAGCUCCUUGAACUUUGUUCAUGCUCACGGAAACUUUGUGAAUCUUGAUUACAGAAACUUUUCAUCAAAAAUAAUUAUCCCCUUGUACAAUUCCAUUGUAUUAUAAAAAUAAUGUGCCAAGAUUUGCCUUUAGGAUGUUUACAAUGCUUGUUGGUUUGUACGGUGCAGGACAGAAAAUUUGGCUGUAGUGCGAGAUUUUACAUUUUUAUCUGAAAUGUCAAUUGGUUCUGAUUCCUUUUGCAAUGUAUUUCUAUAUAACUUGUUUAUUUUUCCUAAUUUUGGUAGAAUUUGUGGGGUAGCAGAAGUAUGGUGGAUGUUCAGAUUGCUACAGACUGUUCUGUUUUUGACAGAUUCUGUUUUUGAUGCAUAGUUUGCUUGUUUUGAUGAAUCUAUCAAUUUAUAUUAGUGGAUUAAGCCAUGGAAAAGUUAUAUUACAGUAGACACAAUGAAAAAACAAAAUAUGAAUUGGUUUGCAACAGUACUUAGAGUGGUGAUUUGCUUUAUUAUACUAACGGAUCUUACCGAGUUUUCUGUUGAAGUUUUGUGUGGAUGAAGUGUCUAAACGAGAAGGUCUCGAUAUGAGGAAAAGGAAGAGAGGCAAGAGCUUACGCUUGGGGAUGCCCGAGGCACCCCAAGUAAAUAUUCAAUGAGACUCAAGCGUCUAAGCUUGGGUAUGCCCCGGAAGGCAUCCCCUCUUUCUUCAACAAGUAUCGGUAUGUUUUCGUAUUCGUUUCGUUCGUGCAUUAUGUGCAGGUCUUGGAGCGUCUUUUGCAUUUAGUUUUCAUUUUUCUUUUAUGCACCAUGCUGGUAUGAGAUAGUCCUUGGUUGAUUUAUAGAAUUCUCAUUGCACUUCACUUAAAUCUUUUGAGUAUGGCUUUAUAGAAUGCUUCAUGUGCUUCACUUAUAUCAUUUGAAGUUUGGAUUGCCUGUUUCUCUUCACAUAGAAAACCGCCAUUUGUAGAAUGCUCUUUUGCUUCACUUAUAAUUGUUAGAGCGUGCGCACAUCUUUUGUAGAAAGAAUUGAACUCUCUUGCUUCACUUAUAUCAAUUUAGAGAGAUGACAGGAAUUGGUCAUUCACAUGGUUAGUCAUAAAAUCCUACAUAAACUUGUGGAUCACUGAAUAUGAUAUGUUCGAUUCCUUGCAAUAGUUUUGCGAUAUAAAGGUGGUGAUAUUAGAGUUAUGCUAGUGGGUGAUUGUGGAUUAGUACAAAUAAUUGUGUUGAGGUUUGUGACUCCCGUAGCAUGCACGUAUGGUGAACCGCUUUGUGAUGAAGUUGGAGCACAAUUUUAUUUAUUGAUUGUCUUCCUUAUGAGUGGCGGUCGGGGACGAGCGAUGGUCUUUUCCUACCAAUAUACCCCCCUAGGAGCAUGCGCGUAGUACUUUGUUUUCAAUGGCUUGUAGAUUUUUGCAAUAAGUAUAUGAGUUCUUUAUGACUAAUGUUGAGUCCAUGGAUUAUACGCACUCUCACCCUUCCAUCAUUGCUAGCCUCUUCGGUACCGUGCAUUGCCCUUUCUCACCUCGAGAGUUGAUGCAAACUUCGCCGGUGCAUCCACACCCCGUGAUAUGAUACACUCUGUCACACAUAGCCUCCUUAUAUCUUCCUCAAAACAGCCACCAUACCUACCUAUCAUGGCAUUUCCAUAGCCAUUCUGAGAUAUAUUGCCAUGCAACUUCCAUCAUAUCAUAUACAUGACUUGAGCAUUCAUUGCCAUAUUGCCUUGCAUGAUCGUAAGAUAGCUCUCAUGAUGUUUUCAUGGCUUGUCCGUUUUUUGAUGUCAUUGCUACGCUAGAUCAUUGCACAUCCCGGUACACCGCCGGAAGUAUUCAUAUAGAGUCAUAUCUUUGUUCUAGAUAUUGAGUUGUAAGUAAAUAAAAGUGUGAUGAUCAUCAUUAUUAGAGCAUUGCCCUAGUGAGGAAAGGAUGCUGGAGACUAUUAAUCCCCCACAAGUCGGGAUGAGACUCUGGACUUUAUGAAAAAUAAAAGAGGCCAAAGAAGCCCAAAUAAAAAGGAGGCCAAAGAAGCCCACCGAAAAGAAAAAAAAAUAAAGCUAAAAAAUAGAAAAAAGAAAAAAAGAAAAAAAAUGAGAGAAAAAGAGAGAAGGGGCAAUGUUACUAUCCUUUUACCACACUUGUGCUUCAGAGUAGCACCAUGUUCUUCAUAGAGAGAGUCUCCUAUGCUUUCACUUUCAUAUAAUAGUGGGAAUUUUAAUUAUAGAACUUUGCUUGUAUAUUCCGAUGAUGGGCUUCCUCAAAUGCCCGAGGUCUUCAUGAGCAAGAAAGUUGGAUGCACACCCACUUAGUUUCAGUUUGAGCUUUCAUACACUUAUAGCUCUAGUGCAUCCAUUGCAUGGCAAUCUCUACUCACUCACAUUGAUAUCUAUUGAUGGGCAUCUCCAUAGCCCGUUGAUAUGCCUAGUCGAUGUGAGACUUUCUCCUUUUUUGUCUUCUCCACAUAACCCCACCAUCAUAUUCUAUUCCACCUAUAGUGCUAUGUCCAUGGAUCACGCUCAUUUAUUGCGUGAAAGUUGAAAAGGUUUGAGAUUAUUAAAGUAUGAAACAAUUGCUUGGCUUGUCAUCGGGGUUGUGCAUGAUUAAAUACUUUGUGUGAUGAAGAUAGAGCAACAACCAGACUAUAUGAUUUUGUAGGGAUAACUUUCUUUGGCCAUGUUAUUUUGAAAAGACAUGAUUGCUUUAUUGGUACGCUCGAAGUAUUAUUGUUUUUAUGUCAAAUGAUAGACUAUUGCUUUGAAUCACUCGUGUCUUAAUAUUCAUGCCAUGAUUAGACAUAUGAUCAAGAUUAUACUAUGUAGCAUUCCACAUCAAAAAUUAUCUUUUUUAUCAUUUACCUACUCGAGGACGAGCAGGAAUUAAGCUUGGGGAUGCUGAUACGUCUCCGUCGUAUCUAUAAUUUUUUAUUGUUCCAUGCCAAUAUUGUUCAACUUUCAUAUACUUUUGGCAACUUUUUAUACUAUUUUUGGGACUAACAUAUUGAUCCAGUGCCCAGUGCCAGUUCAUGUCUGUUGCAUGUUUUAUGUUUCGCAGAAAACCAAUAUCAAACGGAAUCCAAAUGGGAUAAAAACGGACGGAGAAUUAUUUUGGAAUAUUUGUGAUUUUUGGGAGGUGGAAUCAACGCGAAACAGUGUCCGAGGUGGCCACGAGACAGCCCCCCCCGGGGCGCGCCCUGGGCUCUCGUGGGCCACCUGUAAGGCGGUUGACUCUCUACUUUUGCUGCAAGAAAGCUAAUUUUACGAGAAAAAUCUAGGCGAAAGAUUCACCCCAAUCGGAGUUACGGAUCUGCAGAUAUAAAGGAAACGGUGAAGGGGUAGAACUAGGAAACGCAGAAACAAAGAGAUAGAUCCAAUCUCGGAGGGGCUCUAGCCCCUCCCAAGCCAUGGGAGCCAAGGAACAGAGGGGAAACCCUUCUCCCAUCUAGGGAGGAGUUCAAGGAAGAAGAAGAAGAAGGGGGGCCCUCUCCCCCUUGCUUCCGGUGGCACCGGAGCACUGCCGGGGGCCAUCAUCAUCACUGCGAUCUUCACCAACACCUCCAUCAUCUUCACCAACAUCUCCAUCACCUUCCCCCUUCUAUAUCCAGCGGUCCACUCUCCCGCAACCCACUGUACCCUCUACUUGAACAUGGUGCUUUAUGCUUCAUAUUAUUUUCCAAUGAUGUGUUGCCAUCCUAUGAUGUGUGAGUAGAUUUUCGUUGUCCUAUCGGUGAUUGAUGAAUUGCUAUGAUUGGUUUGAGUUAAUGUUUUAUUAUUGGUGCUGUCCUAUGGUGCCCUCCGUGUCGUGCAAGCGUGAGGGAUUCCCACUGUAGGGUUUGCAAUAUGUUUAUGAUUUGCUUAUGGUGGGUUGCGUGAGUGACGAAAACACAAACCCGAGUAAGUAGGUUGUUUGCGUAUGGGAUAAAAGGGGACUUGAUACUUUAAUACUAUGGUUGGGUUUUACCUUAAUGAAUCUUUAGUAUUUUCGGAUGCUUGCUAGAGUUCCAAUCAUAAGUGCAUAGAAUUCCAAGUAAGGGACGAUAUGUCAGCUUAUGCCUCUCCCUCAAAUAGAAUUGCAAUAGUGAUUACCGGUCUAGUAACAUAGUCAGUUGCUUAGGGACAAUUUCACAACUCCAACCACCACUUUUCCACACUCGCUAUAUUUAAUUUCUUGCAUCUUUAUUUAAACAUCCCCUAGCUUUUAUUUACGUUCUCUUUAUUGUCUUGCAAAUCUAGCCUUUCACACCUUCAAAGUACUUCUAGUUUCAUACUUGUUCUAGGUAAAGCAAACGUCAAGCAUGCAUAGAGUCGUAUCAGUGGUAGAUAGGACUUGAGAGAGUAUUUGUUCUUAGUCGUUAUGGUAUCAAGUUCCCUUUUAUCCCAUACGCAACUCACCAUAACAUCCAGGAUAGUUGUAGAUAUCCAUAACAUCCAGGAUAGUUGUAGCCUCUUUCGAUAAGUAAGAGUGUCGAACCCAAUUUUUAUUUGCUGUUCUUAGUCGUUCUCUAUCUUUAGUUAUGGAUAUGGAACGCAAAAUACCAAACAAAUUAGCUGUACUUGCUACUCAUGAAGAUGGGGUAACUCCUAAAACCCUCGAUUCUCAUUAUGCGAAAGAUAUUAUGUACUACUUUGAUAAUCCUGAGAAAGCCCCAUUCAACUUUAUAAUGGGAGACACGUUGGAUCAACGUGAAUACUUUAGGGAUUAUCGCUCGACACAAAAAGGGAUACUAUUAUGGGAUCAAUUUAUUAUGUUGCGUUGGUAUGCCUCGAAUCUCUGCUUGAGAUAUGAUAUUACUUGUUGCUCUAGGAUGGAGGCUCCACACCUCCCCUUUUCAUGCAAAUUUAACAAUAAUGAAACCUUAGCUUCUUAUGCUAAUGGUAUACAUGAUUACUAUGAUGUGGAACAAAUAGAAGAAUUUGUUGCUUUUAAGGCUGCCUAUGAUAUUGAAGCUUUGUUUGAAAAAUAUGAAGCUUUUGAUGAUGAUGGUUAUAGGCCGGAAAAUCUUGCUAUACUUGGAUAUUGCUAUGAAAAUUAUGAAUACAAUUACUAUAUCAAUGCUUUUAUGAAGAAAGUCAACGCUGUCCAAGAAGAGACUAUAUUUGGCAGGAAGCUAUGGAAGAAGAAAUUGAUGAAACCGUGAGCUCAUUGGACGAAAAAGAUGAUGAGGAGAGUGAAGAACAAAAGGAGGAAGAGCGGAUUGAUCACCCGUGCCCACCUUCUAAUGAGAGUAAAUCUUCAACUCAUACAUUGUUUAAUUCCCCUUCGUGCUUACCGAAGGAUGAUUGCUAUGAUCCCAUUGAUUCUCUUGAAAUAUCCCUUUUUGAUGAUGCUUGCUAUGCUUGUGGCCAAGAUGCCAAUAUGAAUUAUGCUUAUGGAGAUGAACUUACUAUAGUUCCUUAUGUUAAACAUGAAAUUGUUGCUAUUGCACCCACGCAUGAUAGUCCUAUUAUCUUUUUGAAUUCUCCAAACUACAGUAUAUCGGAGAAGUUUGUGCUUAUUAAGGAUUAUAUGGAUGGGUUGCCUUUUACCAUUGCACAUGAUGAUUUUGAUGAAUGUAAUAUGCAUGUGCUUGCUGCUCCUACUUGCAAUUAUUAUGAGAUAGGAACUAUUUCUCCACCUCUCUAUGUUUCCCAUACUAUGAAAUUGCAAGAAACUGCCUAUACUAUGCAUUGGCCUUUACUAUGUGUGCAUGAAUUGUUCUUUUAUGACAUGCCGAUGCAUAGGAAGAGAGUUAGACUUCGUCGUUGCAUGAUAUAUGUUACUUUGUGCUCACUACUAAAUUACAAAUCAUUGUUAAUUAAAAUUGGCUUUGAUAUACCUUGGGAUCCGGGUGGAUUCAUUACUUGAGCACUAAAUGCCUAGCUUAAAGGCUUUAAAGAAAGAGCUGCCAGGGAGACAACCCGGAAGUUUUAGAGAGUCAUUUAUUUCUGUUGAGUGCUUUUAUAUAGUUUAAAAACACAAAAAUAAAGAGGGGAACCUAAAAACUUUUCAAAAAGGAAAGUGAAAGUGAGAAAGACAAGCAUCGUUGAAGUGGGAGAGCUCCUUGAACUUUGUUCAUGCUCACGGAAACUUUGUGAAUCUUGAUUACAGUACUUUUCAUCAAAAAUAAUUAUCCCCUUGUACAAUUCCAUUGUAUUAUAAAAAUAAUGUGCCAAGGUUUGCCUUUAGGAUGUUUACAAUGCUUGUUGGUUUGUACGGUGCAGGACAGAAACUUUAGUUGUAGUGCGCGAUUUUACAUUUUUAUCUGGAACGACAAUUGGUUCUGACUCGUUUUGCACUGUCUUGCUAUACAACUUGUUUAUUUUUCCUAAUUGUGGUAGAAUUUUUGGGGUACCAUAAGUAUGGUGGAUGUUCAGAUUGCUACAGACUGUUCUGUUUUUGACAGAUUCUGUUUUUGAUGCAUAGUUUGCUUGUUUUGAUGAAUCUAUCAAUUUAUAUUAGUGGAUUAAGCCAUGGAAAAGUUAUAUUACAGUAGACACAAUGCAAAAACAAAAUAUGAAUUGGUUUGCAACAGUACUUAGAGUGGUGAUUUGCUUUAUUAUACUAACGGAUCUUACCGAGUUUUCUGUUGAAGUUUUGUGUGGAUGAAGUGUCUAAACGGGAAGGUCUCGAUAUGAGGAAAAGGAAGAGAGGCAAGAGCUUAAGCUUGGGGAUGCCUGAGGCACCCCAAGUAAAUAUUCAAGGAUACUCACGCAUCUAAACUUGGGGAUGCCUCGGAAGGCAUCCCCUCUUUCUUCAACAAGUAUCGGUAUGUUUUCGUAUUCGUUUCGUUUAUGCAUUAUGUGCAAGACUUGUUUGUAGAAGUAUUUUUACAGAUUAGCCCCUGAGUUUUGAACAUCCGUAUCUUUUUACCCAUAGCUCCGUUUGAGGUAAAUCCAACGCCCGCAUCUUUGUCUCGUCGAGCUCGUUCCAUUCCCAUCAUUUUCACUAUGGUUUGACACUGUGAAAAUGACCGUUUUGCCCUUGCAUGUAAAUAGCCCCCUCCGAGAGAGAACUGUUUCCGGCAAUUUUUUUCCGCGGUCGUUUCUCAAUUCUUCCCGGAGUAUUUGUCGACCCCCAGGCAAGCCAACCUCUUAUCAUGAGCCCGAACUUGCAUGUUGACUUUGCUUGCACCUUGUGUGUGUGUAGUUGCAGUUGUUUCUUCUCGUUUUCGUCUGUAGUUAUUUUAUUAUGCUUACCAUGCAUGCUUGUGUUUUAAUGCUACUUCUUGCCAUGAUAAUUAGAAUGUUGCUAUUGAUAAUGCCAUGUCACUACUCUACUUUAUUUUCAUGUCAUUGUUAUAAAAUGCUAUGAUGAUGGUAAUGCACCGUGGGUAUGUUAGUACUUGGUAUUGUCAUGUUCUUUAUGCUGUAAGUGUUCACUUGAGAAGCUCGAUGUUUUGUUAAAGCAUUUGUAUGAUGUAUGCUCAUUGUUGCAUUCAUGAUCAUGAUGACGGAGAAGGAAUUAAAAUGACUUAAUAAUAACAAACCUCCUCCGUCAUCGAUGGGAUCGAGUCAUAGUGCCACCAAAUCAAACUUUUUCCAGUGCAACCACAUUUGCCGGUAUGGGAUGGCCCUAAUGCGGUCUAUUGUCGUGCCUCUGGUCGGUGCCUCCAACUAGGGAAGGUUAUGGGCGCGUGCUACCCUGAUUAGGUAAGCGGACAUAAGCCUUGUGAGCCCGUUGUUAAGUUGAGUUUUGGUACCGAGUCCCAAUGUGGAUCAUGGCCACGACGGUGGUCGAGGUGUCUGGAGGUAGACACGGGGCCACCCAGGACUAGCCCAGUGGGGACUGAGUCAGAGUGGCCAGGAGAGUGUCAUGAUAGUAGAUCGGUUUUGUCGGAACGCCGUUGGUCCACCCGAAUGGGAGUGCGAGGCCAUGGGUUCUGUGGUGUGGGUACAGUGCGCUACCUCUGCAGAGUGUAUUUAAACUAUCGAUAGUUGCGUCCUCGGUCAUGGGCACAAGCUCGUAGUAGGGUACACUAUCGAGUCUUAGUCGAAAUGGAGGAUAAAACCUGAAAUAAUUAAGCUGAUUAACAUGGUGGUGAUCGCCGUAAGGAUCAUGGGCCAGAUGUGGUCGGGUUGUGAUCGCCGUAAGGAUCACGGGCCAGAUGUGGUCGGGUUGUGAUCGCCGUAAGGAUCAUGGGCCAGUUGUUGGUCAAGUUGUGAUCAUCGUAAGGAUCACAAGUUUGUCUCUGUUGGUGAUCAGGAAAUGAGGUGAUCACCGUUGGUAAGAGAGUCCGAGGGACUCAGUGCACAAGUUUGGUUGCAUUGCAUGAGUAAUAUGUUUGCAUUUAAAGAACCAUGGUAGAACGUGAGAUGGUUACAGUUAACAUGCUAUGUCUGAAUUGGAUAUGAUUGGUAGUUUAUUUUCAGUAUAGUUUCAUGAUGCCAUGCCAUGUUUUGAUGGAUAUGAUUAAGAUGAUAUGCUAUGUUUUGUUGUUGCCAUGUUAGAUAUAAAUUUGAUAUACCAUGUUGUUUCCAUGCUAGUGGAUGCCAUGAUGUUAGUUUGAUUUUUGUUUUCGGUUGAUAUUAUGCCAUGCUUAGUUUCUGAUAUGAGCUAGAUUGUUGCAUUCGCUUGGUUCUUGCUUUGUCUUCUACUUGUUUGGAUGCUAUGUAUUUGGUUGUCUUGCAAGUACAUUCAAUGUACUGACCUGGCGUGUCAUGCCAGUUUUGUAGGUCGUUCACUUGUUCCGUCGUGCUAGGCCGUAAUCUCGCCAGUCCUGUGAGUUGUGGAGCCCAGCCAGAGUGUUAUGCUGCCAAGACUUCCGCCACCAUUAUAAUAGACUUCCGCUGCCAUGUAAAUAGCCUUAGGGCUAUGUCAGAAGAUUAUAUUCAUCACUGAUGUAAUUAUAUACACAUGUAUUUGAUGAAUAUUCUUGUACCUGGAAUGCUGUAUCAUGGACCUGUCGUGCGUCAGGUGUUAUCCUGGGCUGACGUGCGAAGGCCCCCUGCUCCAUGCGGAUCGGGGUGCCACUGCCUACAAUAUAGAACAACAACUGUUAGUUGUGUGCGGUGCCCCCUCCACAGUUUACACCCCCGGUCAUAUUGUCACGGUGCUUAGGCAAAGCCCUGCGUGGAUCACUUCACCAUCACCGUCACCACGCCAUCGUGCUAAUGAAACUCAUCUACUUCCUCAACACCUUGCUUGAUCAAGAGGGCGAGGAACGUCAUCAAGCUGAACGUGUGCAGAACUCGGAGGUGUCGUACGUUCGAUACUUGAUCGGUCGGAGCAAGAAGAAGCUCCACUACAUCAACCGCGUUGUCUAAUGCUUCUGCUUUCAGUCUAUGAGGGUAUGUAGACACACUCUGCCCCUCUUGUUGCUAUGCAUCUCUUAGAUAGAUCUUGCGUGAGCGUAGGAAUUUUUUUGAAAUUGGAUGCUACGUUCCCCAACAGUGGCAUCCGAGCCAGGUCUAUGCGUAGAUGAUAUGCACGAGUAGAACACAAAGAGUUGUGGGCGGUGAUCGUCAUACUACUUACCACCAAUGUCUUAUUUUUAUUCAGCAUUAUUGUUGGAUGAAGCGGCCCGGACCAACCUUACAUGACCAUGUUCAUGAGACCGGUUCCACCGACAGACAUGCAACUAGUUUUGCAUAAAGGUGGCUGGCGGGUGUCUGUUUCACCUAGUUUAGUUGAACCAAAUUUUACUGCGGCCGGUCCUUGUUGAUGGUUAAAAUAGCAAACUUGAUAAAUCGCCGUUGUGGUUUUUGUGCCGUAGGUAAGAACGGUUCUUGCUAGAAGCCCGCAGCAGCCAUGUAAAACUUGCAACAACAAAGUAGAGAACGUCUAACUUGUUUUUGCAAGGCAUGUUGUGAUGUGAUAUGGUCAAGAUAUUAUGUGAUAUACGUUAUUGUAUGAGAUGAUCAUGUUUUGUAAAAGUUAUCGGCAACCGGUAGGAGCCUUAUGGUUUUCUCUUUAUUGUAUGAAAUGCAAAUGCCAUGUAAUUGUUUUACUUUAUCACUAUGCGGCAGCGAUAGUUGUAGAAGCAAUAGUUGGCGAGACGACCACGAUGCAAUGAUGGAAUCAAGGUGUCGAGCCGGUGACAAUGGAGAUCAUGACGAUGCUUUGGAGAUGGAGAUCAAAAGCACAAGAUGAUGAUGGCCAUAUCAUGUCACAUAUUUUGAUUGCAUGUGAUUUUUAUCUUUAUGCAUCUUAUUUUGCUUAGUACGGCGGUAGCAUUAUAAGAUGAUCCCUUAACUAAAUUUCAAGGUAUAAGUGUUCUCCCUGAGUAUGCACUGUUGAGACAGUUCUUCGUGCUGAGACACCACGUGAUGAUCGGGUGUGAUAGGCUUUGUUCAUAUACAAUGGGUGCAAGACAGUUUUGCACAUGCGGAAUACUCGGGUUAAACUUGACGAGCCUAGCAUGUAUAGACAUGACCUUGGAACACUGGAGAACAAAAGGUCGAACGUGAAUCAUAUAGUAGAUAUGAUCAACGUAGAGAUGUUCACCAUUGAUGACUACUCCAUCUCACGUGAUGAUUGGACAUGGUUUAGUUGAUUUGGAUCACGUAUCAUUUAGAUGACUUGAGGGAUGUCAAUCUAAGUGGGAGUUCUUAAGUAAUUUGAUGAAUUAAACUUAAUUUAUCAUGAACUUAGUCCAGGUAGUAUUUGCAAAUUAUGUUGUAGAUCAAUAGGUCGCGUUGUAGCUCCCAUAUUUUUGAUAUGUUCCUAGAGAAAACUAAGUUGAAAUAUGAUAGUAGCAAUGAUGCGGAUUCGGUCCGUGAUCUGAGGAUUAUCCUCAUUGCUACAUAGAAGAAUUAUGUCCUUAAUGCACCGCUAGGUGACAGUCCUAUUGUAGGAGCAGAUGCAGAUGUUGUGAAUGUUUGGCAAACGCGAGAUUACUACUUGAUAGUUUAGUGAACCAUGCUUUAUGGCUUAGAAUCGGGACUUCAAAAACGUUUUGAAUGCCAUGGAGCAUAUGAGAUGUUCCAAGAGCUGAAAUUGGUAUUUCAGACUCAUGCCCAUGUCGAGAGGUAUGAGACCUCCGACAAGUACUUUGCCUACAAGAUGGAGGACAAUAGCUCAGCUAGUGAGCAUGUGCUCAGAAUGUCUGGGUACUACAAUCACUUGAAUCAAGUGGGAGUUAAUAUUCUACAUAAGAUAGUGAUUGACAGAGUUCUCUAGUCACUAUCACCAAUCUACUAGAACUUCGUGAUGAACUAUAAUAUGCAAGGGAUGAUGAAAAUUAUUCCCAAGUUUUUCGCGAUACUGAAAUCAGCGAAGGUAGAAAUCAAGAAAAAGCAUCAAGUGUUGAUGGUUAACAAGACCACUAGCUUCAAGGAAAAAGGGCAAAGGAAAGGAAAGGGAACUUCAAGAAGAAUGGCAAGCAAGUUGUCACUCCCAUUGAAGAACCCAAAAGCUGGACCUAAGCCUCAAACUGAGUGCUUCUACUGCAAAGGAAAUGGUGACUGGAAGCGGAACUAUGCCAAAUAUUUGGCGGAUAAGAAGGAUGGCAAAGUGAACAAAGUUAUAUUUUAUAUACAUGUUAUUGAUGUGUACCUUACUAGUGCUUGUAGUAGCCCCUGGGUAUUUGAUACCUGUUCGGUUGCUAAGAUUAGUAACUCGAAACAGGAGUUGCAGAAUAAAUGGAGACUAGUUGAGGGUGAAGUGACGAUGUGUGUUGGAAGUGGUUCCAAGAGUGAUAUAAUCAUCAUCGCACACUCCCUAUACUUUCGGGAUUAGUGUUGAACCGAAAUAAAUGUUGUUUGGUGUUUGCGUUGAGCAUGACCAAGAUUGCAUCGUGUUUAUUGCAAUACGAUUAUUCAUUUAAGACAGAGAAUAAUUGUUAUUCUAUUUACAUGAAUAAAACCUUCUAUGGCCAUACACCUAAUGUUAAUGGUGAAGGAAAUAUGCCCUAGAGGCAAUAAUAAAGUUGUUAUUUAUAUUUCCUUAUAUCGUCAUAAAUGUUUAUUAUUCAUGCUAGAAUUGUAUUAACCGGGAACUUAGUACAUGUGUGAAUACAUAGACAAAACAAAGUUUCCCUAGUAUGCAUCUACUUGACUAGAUCGUUAAUCCAAGAUGGUUAUGUUUCCUGACCAUAGACAUGUGUUGUCAUUUCAUGAACGAGAUCACACCAUUAGAGAAUGAUGUGAUGGACAAGACCCUUCCGAUAGCUUAGCAUAAUGAUCGUUAAGUUUUAUUGCUAUUGCUUUCUUCAUGACUUAUACAUGUUCCUCUGACCAUGAGAUUAUGCAACUCCUGAAUACCGGAGGAACACUUGUGUGCUAUCAAACAUCACAAUGUGACUGGGUGAUUAUAAAGAUGCUCUACAGGUGUCUCUGAAGGUGUUUGUUGGGUUGGCAUAGAUCGAGAUUAGGAUUUGUCACUUCGUGCAUUGGAGAGAUAUCUCUGGGCCCUCUCGGUAAUGCUCAUCACCAUAAGCCUUGCAAGCAAUGUGAUUAAUGAGUUAGUUGCAGGAUGAAGCAUUACGGAACAUGUAAAGAGACUUUCCAAUAUAGAGAUUGAACUAGGUAUGAAGAUACCGGCGAUUGAAUCUCGGGCAAGUAACAUACCGAUGACAAAGGGAACAACGUAUGUUGUUGUGCGGUUUGACCGAUAAAGAUCUCCGUAGAAUAUGUAGGAACCAAUAUGAGCAUCCAGGUUCCACUAUUGGUUAUUGAUUGGAGAUGUGUCUCAAUCAUGUCUACAUAGUUCUCGAACCCGUAGGGUCCGCACGCUUAACAUUCGAUAACGAUUUGUAUUAUGAGUUAUGUGUUUUGGUGACCGAAGUUUGUUUGGAGUCCCGGAUAAGAUCAUGGACAUUACAAGGAGUCUCAAAAUGGCCGAGAGGUAAAGAUUGAUAUAUUGGAAGGUUACAUUCGGACACAGAAUAGUUUCGGGAAGUUUCGGAUAAGUUUCGGAGUACCGGGAGGUUACUGGACCCCCCCCCCCCGAGAGAGAGUAAUGGGUCAACAUGGGCCUUAGUGGAGGAGAUAGGGCCGGCCGUGAGAGGUGGCGCCCCCCCUUGCCAAUCCGAAUUGGACAAGGGGUGGGGGCGGCGCCCCCCCUUUCCUUCUCCUACUUCCUCUCCUUUCCCCCUUUGCUACUCCGGAAAUAAGGAAAAGGUGGGGGGUCGAAUCCUACUAGGUUUGGAGUCCUAGUAGGACUCCCCCCUCCAUGGCGCUCCCCCUGACCGUCGGCCUCCUCCCCCUCCUUUAUAUACAGGGGCAGGGGGGCACCCGAAAGGCACAACAUAGUUUUAGCCGUGUGCGGUGCCCCCCUCCACCGUAUCGUAGUGCUUAGGCGAAGCCCUGCGAGGCUCACAUCAUAAACAAUAUCCGUGCUGACGAAACUCUCCCUCGACCCUCUGCUGGAUCAAGAGUUUGAGGCGACGUCAUUGCGAUGAACGUGUGCUGAACUCGGAGGUGUUGUACGUUCGGUGCUAGAUCGGUUGGAUCGUGAAGUGAUACGUCUCCCACGUAUCUAUAAUUUUUGAUUGUUCCAUUCUAUUAUAUUACCUGUUUUGGAUGUUUAUGGGCUUUAUUUUAUACAUUAUUAUCAUUUUUGGGACUAACCUACUAACCGGAGGCCCAGCCCGUAUUGCUGUUUUUUUUGCCUAUUUCAGUAUUUCAAGAAAAGGAAUAUCAAACGGAGUCCAAACGGAAUGAAACCUUCGGGAGCGUGAUUUUUGGAACGAACGCGAUCCAGAGGACGUGGAGUGCAAGUCAAGAAACAACCAGAGCCUCCAUGAGAUAGGAGGGCGCACCCCCCUGUCUCGUGGGCCCCUCGAGCGUCCACCGAUGUACUUCUUCCUCCUAUAUAAGUCUACGUACCACGAAAACAUCCAAGAGCCACCUGAAGAAAUAUUUCCGCCACCGUAACCUUCUGUAUCCGCGAGAUCCCAUGUUGGAGCCGUCGUCGGCAUUCUACCGGAGGGGGGAUCCACCAUGGAGGGCUUCUACAUCAACAUCCUUGCCCCUCCAAUGAGUUGUGAGUAGUUUACAUCAGACCUACGGGUCCAUAGUUAUUAGCUAGAUGGCUUCUUCUCUCUUUUUGGAUAUCAAUACAAUGUUCUUCCCCUCUCUUGUGAAGAACUAUUCGUUGUAAUCUAUUUUUGCGGUGUGUUUGUCAAGAUCCGAUGAAUUGUGGGUUUAUGAUCAGAUUUAUCUAUGGAUAAUAAUUGAAUCUUCUUUGAAUUCUUUUAUAUGAUUGAGUUAUCUUUGCAAGUCUCUUCGAAUUAUCGGUUUGGUUUGGCCUACUAGAUUGAUCUUUCUUGCCAUGGGAGAAGUGCUUAGCUUUGGGUUCAAUCUUGCGGUGUUCUUACCCAGUGACAGAAAGGGUUGCAAGACACGUAUUGUAUUGUUGCCAUCGAAGAUAACAAGAUGGGGUUUAUAUCAUAUUGCUUGAGUUUAUCCCUCUACAUCAUGUCAUCUUGCUUAAUGCGUUACUCUGUUCUUAUGAACUUAAUACUCUAGAUGCAUGCUAGAUAGCGAUCGAUGUGUGGAGUAAUAGUAGUAGAUCCAGGCAGGAGUCGGUCUACUUGUUAUGGAUGUGAUGCCUAUAUACAUGAUCAUGCCUAGAUAACGUCAUAAUUAUUCGCUUUUCUGUCAAUUGCUUGACAGUAAUUUCUUCACCCACCGUAAAACUUAUGCUCUCGAGAGAAGCCUCUAGUGAAAUCUAUGGCCCCCGGGUCUAUGUCUUAUCAUAUUUGCUUUCAAUCUACUUUUAUUUGCAUCUUUAUUUUCUACAUCUAUAUUACAAAAUACCAAAAAUAUAUUUAUCUUCUCAUAUUAUCUCUAUCAGAUCUCACUUUCACAAGUGGCUGUGAAGGGAUUGACAACCCCUUUAUCGCGUUGGUUGCGAGUUCUUUGUUUGUUUGUGUAGGUUCGUGGGACUUGUUGAGGAGCCUCCUACUAGAUUGAUACCUUGGUUCUCAAAAAUUGAGGGAAAUACUUAUGCUACUGUGCUGCAUCACCCUCUCCUCUUCGAGGAAAACUAGCGCAAGCUCAAGACAUACCAAGAAGGAUUUCUGGCGUCGUUGCCGGGGAGGUCUUCGCUCAAGUCAAGACAUACCAAGUACCCAUCACAAACUCAUCACCCUCGCAUUUACAUUAUUUGCCAUUUGCCUCUUGUUUUCCUCUCCCCCACUUCACCCUUGCCGUUUUAUUUGCCCUCUCUUUCCCAAUCUUCUCCUCUCUUCUCGGUUUGCCGUUUUCUGUUUGCUUGUGUGUUGGAUUACUUGUUGCCAUGGCACAAGAUAAUACCAAAUUGUGUGAUUUCUCGAAUACCAAUAAUAAUGAUUUCCUUAGUACUCCGAUUGCUCCUCUUAAUGAUGCUGAGUCUUGUGAAAUCAAUACUACUUUGCUGAAUUUUGUUAUGAAAGAUCAAUUCGCCGGCCUUCCUAGUGAAGAUGCCGCUACUCAUCUAAACAAUUUUGUUGAUUUGUGUGAUAUGCAAAAGAAGAAAGAUACGGAUAAUGAUAUUGUUAAAUUGAAGUUUUUUCCGUUUUCACUUAGAGAUCGUGCUAAAGUUUGGUUUUCGUCUUUGCCUAAAAAUAGUAUUCAUUCUUGGAACAAGUGCAAAGAUGCUUUUAUCUCUAAGUAUUUUCCUCCCGCUAAGAUUAUCACUCUUAGGAACGAUAUUAUGAAUUUUAAACAACUUGAUCAUGAGCAUGUUUCCCAAUCUUGGGACAGAAUGAAAUUGAUGAUUCACAAUUGCCCUACUAAUGGUUUGAAUUUAUGGAUGAUCAUACAAAAAAUUUAUGCCGGUUUGAACUUUGCUUCUAGAAAUCUCUUAGAUUCGGCCGCGGGAGGCACGUUUAUGGAAAUCACUUUAGGAGAUGCUACAAAACUUCUUGAUAAUAUUAUGGCUAAUUAUUCUCAAUGGCAUUGUUGGUGACAAAACCGGCGGAUCUCGGGUAGGGGGUCCCGAACUGUGCGUCUAGGCGGAUGGCAACAGGAGACAAGGGACAUGAUGUUUUUACCCAGGUUCGGGCCCUCUCGAUGGAGGUAAAACCCUACUCCUGCUUGAUUAAUAUUGAUGAUAUGGGUAGUACAAGAGUUGAUCUACCACGAGAUCAGAGACGCUAAACCCUAGAAGCUAGCCUAUGGUAUGAUUGUUGUUCGUCCUACGGACUAAAACUCUCCAGUUUAUAUAGACACCGGAGAGGGCUAGGGUUACACAGAGUCGGUUACAAUGGGAGGAGAUCUACAUAUCGAAUCACCAAGCUUGCGUUCCACGCCAAGGAAAGUCCUAUCCGGACACGGGACGAAGUCUUCAAUCUUGUAUCUUCAUAGUCCGGGAGUCCGGCCAAAGGUCAUAGUCUGGUCGUCCGGACACCCCCUAAUCCAGGACUCCCUCAGUAUCCCCUGAACCAGGCUUCAAUGACGACGAGUCCGGCGCGCAAAUUGUCUUCGGCAUUGCAAGGCGGGUUCCUCCUCCGAAUACUUCAUAGAAGAUGUUGAACACAAGGAUAGUGUCCGGCUUUGCAAAACAAUUUCCACAUACCGCCGUAGAGAGAAUAAUAUUUACACAAAUCUAAUUUGCUGACGUAUUCCAUAGUGUGACAUCACGCCACAGCCAAGCCAUUAUUCGUUUUAAUGUCCCACCUCAGCGUGUUUAGCGAGGCAGUUUCCUUGGCACGUCUUGUCAAAGCAGAGAUCGUGUCCCCUUAUUCCGGGAUUCUCAUCAAUACAGGCAUGGGCAACCCAACCGCGCCAUUGGUAUGACUUCUUAAUUGAAAGUGAGUCCCAAACGGCGGGGAGGGCUCUUGGUAUUCAACCUCUUUAUAAAGAGACCAAGGCUCGACUCCUUUCUUUUAAUCCAAUCAAAUCCGCCCCUCGCCUCGAGUUCCAACCCCCAAAGCUCCAGAUUCAGGCGCUUCGGACCUUCGAUGAUGUCCGGCUCCGACCUCCAAGGCCGGUGGAUGCCUUCCUCCAUAUUACUCCUCACUUCGGAUUGUGGCUUAAAACCUUCAAGGUAGAACCGAAGACGAUCGAGGGGCAGCACGCUGAGUGCGGAGGUGCUAUUAUAAGCAAGAUUGCCGACGCCCCAUGGCCCGAGGGCUCUUUUUAAGAGGAGUUCGGCUUAUGGCAAUGAGAGUGGUUUUACAUCACAGCUCCCAGGGGCACCACUUGGGUGGCAUGACCUGGUUUUCGCUCAGGUCCCCCACCACGGCUAGCAUCAUGGGUCAAUAAAGGGCUUAACUGGGGGCCAUCCAAGGACGUGCCCUUGCUGCAGGGCCGCAUUCGAGAUCUCCUAUAAAGAGAUACCAAUUUGGCCGUGGUGGCGCAAGUUAUGCUGAUUCGCCGCAUACUGCCCUGCAAAUGUCGCCCCCUCCGCUUGUGGGAAUUUAAUCCGGAAGGACCGCGAUCCCUCCAACAUUUUAUGGGCACGACGCCCGUGGAGAUGUACAAAUUGUUCUUCGGAUCAUAAACAAUGUGUCCGGACUUGUUCGAGGACGCAUGUCUGAGCUGCAAUCGCUCGGACACUCAAGUAAGUAGCCCUGUACCCGGACACGCUAUCCGUAUGUUUACCAUAACACUUCCCUCAAAAGAGCUAUCCUUUAAACAGGAGUAGAUGGCGAAAGCAAAACUUCCCAGGUGUCCGGCCCCCGUCCCUGAGAUCACGCUGGAUCCCAUGUUGACAAGGAUGCUGGAGAUUGUGCCUUUGGAAGAAGGCGAAGAGGGGAACAAAGAUGUUACCGCCUCCGUGAAGGAGACUGUCAGGAAAGGAGGGAUCGAGAAUUCCUCUAUCCAGGGAAAGAAGAGGACCGCCUCUGAAGACCCGGAGGCGAUGGCCUCAAAGCGGGGGAAGAAAUCUUUUUUUGACACAUAAGACAGUAGGAGAGGCUCCUACUGUAUGUAUUAAAAUAAUAUCAAAAAGGUGUUACAAAGUUAUAACCUUACAUCCAUCGCCAUGGGGUAAAAUAAAAGUAAGGAGGGUGUGAAGGUUUAGAGUAAGGAAAAACUAAAGGAGAGCUACAGGGUUUGGAUGACAGAGGUGAGGAAGGGUUUGUAUUUUUCUCCCAUGGCGAUGGAUGUAAGGGGAAGAAAUCUUCGUCAGAUGGUCCGGCACCGGAGGUUGCCCCGGCCGCAUUACGCCCUCAAGGGGAUCAGCUCUCCACCGAGCCGUAAGUAGAGAGAGGGGUUUUUAAAAUGAGUGAUAUCCCUGUUUUAUUUCUGAGGAAGAUAACCGAAAUUUUACCUUGUAGUUCGGAUCUCAACCCUUCUCAGCAGAGCUCAUCUUCAGGGGAUCUUCAUUCAGAGAUGAUGGAGAGCGAAACGCCUCCCCCAGCUGUACCGUCUUGCGAGGCGGGCGACCCCGAGGUGUCAUCUCAGAGGGUUUUUCCAAAUCCGGACCUUGAAAAAGGUCGUCGGACAAGUCCGGCACCUUUUGGUGCAUGGUUGAAGGAGCUGAAGGAUCUGCUCGGGCGAGCGUCUAUCUCAGAAGAACACCGUGUGUUGAUGAACACGGUGAUUGGAAGGAUCUCAUCCGCGGAAAGCGGAUUGUACGAGGCCGCCAGGAGUUUACUGACAGGUUUUGAGGUACGUGAAAAAGAUGUACCGUUGGAUAGAGCCGCAUAAAAUGCGCCCUGUAUAGAUAGUAGCCCAUGAGAGUCUGUGUGUUGUCAAAAAUGACGGCGCGCAGAGGAUCAUAAUCCCAGGUAUAAUAUGUCGCCUAUCCUAUGUAGGUGGCAAGGUGUCGGUGGCUAGCCAGACUAAUGAAUUUGCCGAGCUAAAGCGGCAACUUGACAUGGCAGAUGCCGACAUCACGCUUGUAAAUGAGCGGCUAGACGAGGCACAAGGUAUGUAAUGUCUCCAAAGGCAUCUGGUAAGAGGAGCUUGAUGCUCGUACCUUAUAACAUAUGUGUUUAAUGCAGAUGGUGCCGCUGCCGUGGAGAACCUUCGGGCGGAACUUGCCCGAGCCAAGGAGCAAGCGAGGAAAAGCGAUGCGGCUGCCGUUAAAGCGGCUAAAGAGCUAAAAGCCGAACAGGCUGCUCACUGCCAGAGCAAGAAAGAAAUGCCGAGAUGGCUGUAAAAUUGAAGGAUGCUGCCGACCGUUGUAAGCUUCGUGAAAAAGAAGAUAGGGUGGCACAGAAGGACCUAGAAAAGGUCACUGCCGAGGCCAAGGACACUUGCUCUGCAAUGAGAGCUAUGAAGGAGGAGCUAUGUCAGGCCGGAGAUAUCGCGGCUGGAAAGCCCUAUAUGCUGCUAUGAAGUUCGGGGAUCCUAAGUAUGCUCCGUUAGACCGGAAGUGGAGUGCGGCGAACACUUAUCUGGAUUUGGCGGCGAGUGCCUCGUACGCGACCGAACACUUCUGGGGUCUAGGUGACCAUGAAUUGGAAGAACUUUUUUGGUCGCAGUUCCACAAUCCAGAACGCCCGCUUUCGGUGUCCGACCGUUUGGCCGCUUGGGCGGAGCUGAACAGGUUAUCCAGACUCGCCAUGAAGUAUGUCGCAAGUCGUCUGUGGCCGGAAGGGCCAGAGCCGAAGAGUUAUUUUGGCUUGGUGCAGCAGUUCCUUGGUACGGUGUCGCAUAUUGAUGCAAUGAAGAGGUUAGCGUGCAUAGAGGGUGCACAGAUGGCUCUUGCCCGUGUCAAGACAUACUGGGCGGAUAUGAAGGCCAGUGUUGUUGCAUCCCAGGAUUCGGACGAAAGCCGAGUACCUGCCAAGCACUACUUUGAGGAAGUUCUGCAGGGCGCUCGUUUAAUAGAGACGCAGUGCUCGAAGGAUGUUGUGUUCGAAUAACAUGUGCUAUUGUAAAACAAUGUUUUGAUGGAAUAUAAAAGCUUUUUAUACUUGUGCUUUCAAGAAUUAGAACACCUCCUGUGUGGCCAUUAAUGUAUAUGUGUAUAUAACCUAAAAGAUGGCAGUCGUUGGCUUCAGCCCCCACGCAUACAAUGCGGGGGUGUUCGCAGAAGGUGCAUUUUCACACUUGAUCCAAUGUAUUGGUCCUAUAAAGGAGGUGAUAGUGCAGCGAACUAGGCAACCGGACUAUAAUGCUUUAUCACUUUCACUUAGCCAUAUGAGUUUGACAGUGGGGCUACUGAAUAGCCCCUGGGGGCACCGCGCUCGCCCGAAUUCGGGGCGCGUGUGUGCCUGACCGGGAAACGGCCCUUCAUUAAUGCGGAGGAAUCCUAAAGAUUCCGGCAAGUCAUUGAGUGGUUGACCAGUCUCUCGCUAUAUCAUGACAGUCAGUUUUCGGCUUUCUCUACUGAGGUGCUCGCCUGGCCGAACCGGGGCACAAUCGCAGUAGUUCUCCCGGUGCCGCCUUAGCCGAUAGAGCGGAACGUAAGGCAGCAAAACACAGGAGCCGAGCAAACCCAACAUUUGACCAAAGACAUGAUUCGGAGCUGAUGCAUAUAAGGCCAAACUCGCGACGCCGAACACUCCCUAAGGUAUUCGGUCUUUAUGAAAACGGGCCGAACAAAAGCCCUUGGUAAGAAGCCCCUGGUGUCCAGGUACGCGCAAAAUUCUAGCGUGGCCACAUGCCAAGACGCCAGUCUCCUCCUCGGUUAUAGCAAAAAGAACCGGGGAUGUAAUCAACAAGAGAUAGUAAAAAAGGUUUACGCAGGGUCUUAAUCUGAAAAGAAUCCUUGAAACGGAUCCCUACUGCAUGUCUGCGUCUGUGUCUCCGUUGUGCCGUAUCCUGGACGGGUGUAGCACGGUGUUCGUCUGCAAAAGAGAUGAACUUAGUGGAAAACAAUCGUGUGAGGAAUUUAUGUUAAAAUAAACAAAGUAUAAUACAAAGAAUGGGUACAAUUGAGGUUUAUUGUCUCCUGGUGUAAACACGCGAAGCCCCUUGUACCGGGGUAUGCGGCUAUUAAGCCUUUGUAUGUUUACGCCGGACUCGUCGAGCCAUGUCCGGGGUCGUGGACGACCUGUUUAGUUGCUCUAACUAGUAAAGCUGGAUUAAUGUGCGGCUGUCAUGGCAGCCACACCAUCGUCCGCGCUCGAGGAACACUUGAUAUUUCCCUUUAGUGAGAUGAUGCCUCGUGGACCGGGCAUUUUGAGUGUAAGGGAUGCGUAAUGCGGUAUUGCGUUAAAGCGGGUGAAAGCUUCGCGUCCCAGUAGUGCUUGAUAGCUACUUAUGAAUGGGGCGAUGUGGAAGGUUAGCUUUUCGCUUCGGAAGUUGUCGGGGGAGCCGAACACAACUUCUAAGAAGAGGGAACCCAUACAAUGGGUAUUUGGGCCUGGCGUGACCCCUUGAAAGGAAGUGUUGCCAUGGCGAAUUAUUGCUGGGUUUAUCCCCAUUGUGCGGAUUGUGUCAUGAUAUAGCAGGUUUAGAUCACUGUCGCCGUCCAUUAGAACUUGUGUAAAGUGGAGUCCGUCAAUUAUCGGAUCUAAGACCAGGGCAGUCCAGCCUGCAUUCUGGAUACCUCUAGAGUAAUCCUGAUGAUCGAAGGUGAUUGGUUGUAACAACCAGUGGCGGGACUCCUCUGGGACAGGCCGUAUGGCGCGUAUCUCCGUAGGUGCCACUCUGUUUUUCCCUUUUGUCACAUGAAGUGAAUUUACUGUUUUUACUUCUUGCGAGAACUUCUUUUGUUCUCUAGUGCUCUGCUUGUGGGGUUCGUCGUCAUCUUCGCUUGGUAUGUCGAGCCCCUUGUGUUCGGCGUUGAGUUUGCCGGAUUGCUUGAAGACCCAACAGUCUCUGUGGGUGUGGUUUGCAGGCCUCCCGGGAGUACUAUGGCUUUGGCAUAUUUUGUCCAGGAUUUUGUUGAGGUUAGAUAGCUCGUCCCUAUUAUCUUUGGGGCGACUUUUUCUGAUUCUGCCGAGAGCUUUUGAAUCCGGCGUUGACUGUCGUGCUCUUCGGGCUGUUAUCCUUGAACCGGUGCCGUUCCUUGCUAUGGCACGGUUUCCCAUUUCCAUCUCUAACGUCGGAUGUACUUGGGUCGCUGGUGCUGCUUCUUUCCAACCAGCUAUCCUCUCCUGUGCAAAAGUGGGUCAUGAGGCUUGUCAAUGCGGCCACUGUUCUUGGCUUUUCUUGGCCGAGGUGUCUGGCCAGCCAUUCAUCUCGAACGCUAUGCUCGAAAGCUGCUAGGGCUUCAGCGUCCGGACAGUCGACUAUCUGAUUCUUUUUCGUAAUAAAUUUGUUCCAGAGUUUCCGGGCUGACUCUCCGGGUUGUUGGGUUAUAUGACUUAGAUCGUCUGCAUCUGGAGGUCGGACAUAGGUCCCUUGAAAAUUUGCCCGAAACGCAUCCUCGAGCUCCUCCCAACUUCCUAUGGUGUUUUCGGGAAGGCUUUUAAGCCAAUGCCGGGCUGGCCCUUUGAGCUUGAGGGGUAAGUAUUUUAUGGCGUGGAGGUCAUCUCCUCUAGCCAUGUGUAUGUGGAGGAUAUAAUCCUCAAUCCAGACUCCGGGGUCUGUUGUUCCGCCGUAUGCCUCUAUGUUUACGGGCUUGAAUCCCGCUAGAAAUUCAUGGUCCAGCACCUCAUCGGUGAAACAUAGGGGAUGUGCGGCGCCCCUGUAUUUGGGUGUGCCGCGAUGUUCGGAUAUUUGUUGCGUUGCAUUGCUUACUAGAGCUUGCUUUCUUGGCCCGUAGAUGGAUCUGGUUGGGCCGUCUUUUUGAUGCGAAUCCUUGCGCGGAUCGCAUGCCGGAUUGAAUGCGGCGCCCUUUGUGCUCUAUGUUGGUCAUGGGGUCGUCUAUCCGACCUGGUGGCUUCCUUGUUUUUUGACUGUGGGGGCUCUAAGGCCUCCUCAUCAAAUUCCGAUAGUAAUUUUCGCUUCGGAUAGCUCUUUGUGUGGUGACUGUCGUCGUACUUGUGUACGGUGUUGAGUACUCUGCUCCAUCUGAUUCUGAGUGCAUCUUCCGCUGUUUGGAGCUUCCGCUUCUGCUUUUUCAGGCUACGCGCAGUGGCGACGAGACUUUGGUGGAGGUUCGUGUGCUCUAGCAACUUGUCCGGCGUGAGUUCGUCCGCGCUAUUAUCUUCGCCGGGGACGGGUUGUUCGGUUUGUUUAUCCAAGUUGCCUUGUUCGGACGGUUGCUCGAUGGCAUGUUCGUCGUCCGCCGGUUCGUCCUGCUCUAUGGCUGGGUCUCUGUCGAGGUGGAGUUUGGCGCGGUGCUUCCGCCGCCGCUUUGAUUGCUUUUCGAGGGAACCAUCCCUCAUUGCGCCCUUGUGAUCCUCGUCGUUGUUUCUUUUAGGUGUGUCCACCAUGUAUACAUCAUGGGAUGAGGUGGUUGUCCAGUGCCCUAUAGGCGCUGGUUCUUGUUCGUCCUCUUCAUCGGCGUCUAUACCGUCAAUGUCUUCGGAGUUGAAGUUGAGCAUGUCAGUUAAAUCAUCGACAGUGGCUACGAAGUGGGUGGUGGGUGGGUUUCGAAUUUCUUCGUCGUCCGCAUCCCAACCUUGCUGACCAUAGUCCGGCCAGGGCUCUCCUGAUAAAGAGAGAGACUUUAGUGAAUUCAGGAUGUCGCCAAGGGGCGAGUGUUGAAAGAUGUCUGCGGUGAUGAACUCCAUGAUCGGAGUCCAAUUGGGUUCGAUCGGAAGGGGUGCGGAAGAUUCGGAGUCCGGAGAGGAGUCCGGCACCUUGGAGUCACGAGCUCCGCGAGGGACAAGAUUGGUGUUCGGCUCAAUCGCUGUAGAGAUCGUAGCCCCCAAGGCGGCGUCUAGCCACCCGUCCUCGACCGGCGCAGUCGGCUCCGAUCUAAGGGUCGGAGUGGACGCCUGAGCGAUGCUCUGGGCACUGUCCGAUGGUAGAGCUAGAUCAUGCCCAUCGUGACAGUGCGGCAUGCUCAGCUGUGGCUCAAAUCCGUCGAAGAUCAAGUCUCCGCGGAUGUCAGCAGUGUAGUUCAAACUUCCAAAUCUGACUUGAUGGCCAGGGGCGUAGCUUUCGAUCUGCUCCAGAUGGCCAAGCGAAUUGGCCCACAGUGCAAAGCCGCCGAAUACGAAGAUCUGUCCGGGGAGAAAAGUCUCACCCUGGACCGCGUCGUGGUUGAUGAUCGAAGAAGCCAUCGGGCCUAAAGGUGACGACACAGAGGAACUCUCAAUGAAAGCACCAAUGUCGGUGUGAAAACCGGCGGAUCUCGGGUAGGGGGUCCCGAACUAUGCGUCUAGGCGGAUGGUAAUAGGAGACAAGGGACAUGAUGUUUUUACCCAGGUUCGGGCCCUCUCGAUGGAGGUAAAACCCUACUCCUGCUUGAUUAAUAUUGAUGAUAUGGGUAGUACAAGAGUUGAUCUACCACGAGAUCAGAAAGGCUAAACCCUAGAAGCUAGCCUAUGGUAUGAUUGUUAUUCGUCCUACGGACUAAAACUCUCCGGUUUAUAUAGACACCUGAGAGGGCUAGGGUUACACAAAGUCGGUUACAAAUGGGAGGAGAUCUACAUAUCGAAUCGCCAAGCUUUCCUUCCACGCCAAGGAAAGUCCUAUUCGGACACGGGACGAAGUCUUCAAACUUGUAUCUUCAUAGUCCGGGAGUCCGGCCAAAGGUCACCCCCUAAUCCGGGACUCCCUCAGGCAUACCGAAAGAUCUUCUAGUAAAAAAGUGCAUGCUAUAGAAGAAAUCAAUGUUUUGAGUGGAAAGAUGGAUGAACUUAUGAAGUUGUUUGCUACUAAAAAUACUCCUCUUGAUCCCAAUGAUAUGUCAUUGUCUACUUUGAUUGAGAAUAAUAAUGAAUCUAUGGAUGUGAAUUUUGUUGGUAGGAAUAGUUUUGGAAACAAUGCUUAUAGAGGAAACUUUAAUUCUAGACCGUUCCCUAGUAAUUCCUCUAAUAAUUAUGGAAAUUCCUACAAUAAUUCUUAUUGUAAUUUUAAUAAGAUGCCCUCUGAUUUUGAGAAUAGUGUGAAAGAAUUUAUGAUUUCUCAAAAGAAUUUUAAUGCUUUGCUUGAAGAAAAAUUGCUCAAAGUUGAUGAUUUGGCUAGGAAAGUUGAUAGACUUUCGCUUGAUGUUGAUUCUCUCAAACUUAGAUCUUCACCUCCUAAGCAUGAUAUCAAUGAGUCUCUCAAAGCAAUGAGAAUUUCCAUUGAUGAGUGUAAGGAAAGAACCGCUAGAAUGCGUGCUAAGAAAGAAAGCUUUAUAAAACCGUGUUCUUCUAGUUUCCAUGAAAAUAAUGAUGAAGAUCUUAAAGUUAUUGAUGUGUCUCCUAUCAGAUCUAUGUUUUGCAAUAUGAAUUUUGAUGAUUAUGGGACUGAUGAUGAGUCAACUUUGCCUAGAAGGCGUCCUAAAAAUUUGGAGUUUUUAGAUCUUGAUGCUAAAUUUGGUAAAAGUGGGAUUGGAGAGGUCAUGACUUUAAAUAGUAUUGAACCCACUAUCUCGGAUUUCAAGGAAUUUGAUUAUGAUAAUUGUUCUUUAGAGAGUUGUAUUUCCUUGUUGCAAUCCGUUCUUAAUUCUCCACAUGCUUAUAGUCAAAAUAAAGCUUUUACCAAACAUAUUGUUGAUGCCUUGAUGCAAUCUUAUGAUGAAAAACUUAAUUUGAAAGUUUCUAUACCUAGAAAACUUAAUGAUGAGUGGGAACCUACUAUAAAGAUUAAAAUUAAAGAUCAUGAGUGUUUUUCUUUGUGUGAUUUGGGUGCUAGUGUUUCCACAAUUCCGAAAACUUUAUGUGAUAUUCUAGGUUUCCAUGAUCUUGAUGAUUGCUCUUUAAAUUUACACCUUGCGGAUUCCACCAUUAAAAAGCCAAUGGGAAGAAUCAAUGAUGUCCUUAUUGUUGCAAAUAGAAAUUUUGUGCCCGUUGAUUUCAUCGUUCUUGAUAUAGAUUGCAAUCUUUCUUGCCCUAUUAUUCUUGGUAGACCUUUCCUUAGAACGAUUGGUGCGAUUAUUGAUAUGAAGGAAGGGAAUAUUAGAUUCCAAUUUCCAUUAAAGAAAGGCAUGGAGCACUUUCCAAGAAAUAAAGUCAAAUUACCUUAUGAAUCUAUCAUGCGAGCUACUUAUGAAUCAAGUGCCAAAGAUGGCACUACUUAGACUUAUCUUCGCUUUUGUGCCUAGCUAGGGGCGUUAAACGAUAGCGCUAGUUGGGAGGCAACCCAAUUUUCUUUAUGUUCUUUGUUUUUGUUUCUGUUUAGUGUUAAAUUUUGUUUCUACUUUCGGUUUAGAUGUGUUUUUAUCUUUUAAUUGGUGUUUGUGCCAAGUAGAACCUAUAGGAUAACCUAUGAUAUGAGUUGAUUUGAUUCUGCUGAAAAACAGAAACUUUGCGCUCAUGAGAAAAAAUUCAAUAAAUCACAGAAACGAGCUUUUGCAUUGAUCCUUUUUGCUGCCGUUCAAUAAGCAAAUUUUUUAGGACUUACUAUUUGGUAGGAUUUUUGAGGUUCCAGAAGUUUGCGUUAGUUACAGAUUGCUAUAGACUGUUCUGUUUUUAACAGAUUCUGUUUUUCAUGUGUUGUUUUCUUAUUUUGAUGCAAUUAUGGCUAGUAAAAUAGUUUAUGAACCAUAGAGAACUUGGAAUACAGUAGGUUUAACACCAAUAUAAAUAAAGAAUGAGUUCAUUACAGUACCUUAUGUGGUGGUUUUGUUUUCUUUCACUAACGGAGCUUAUAAGAUUUCCUGUUGAGUUUUGUGUUGUGAAGUUUUCAAGUUUUGGGUAAAGCUUUUAUGGACUAUGGAAUAAAGAGUGGCAAGAGCCUAAGCUUGGGGAUGCCCAAGGCACCCCAAGAUAUUCAAGGAUAGCCAAAAGCCUAAGCUUGGGGAUGCCCCGGGAAGGCAUCCCCUCUUUUGUCUUCGUUCAUUGGUAACUUUACUUGGAGCUAUAUUUUUAUUCACCACAUGAUAUGUGUUUUGCUUGGAGCGUUGUGUAUUAUAUUGGUCUUUGCUUGUUAGUUCACCACAAUCAUCCUUGCUGUAGCACACCUUUUGGGAUAAGCCUAUUUGCUUAGGAUUUGAUAGAAUACUCUAUGUGCUUAACUUAUAUCUUUUGAGCUUGAUAGUUUUUGCUCUAGUGCUUCACUUAUAUCUUCUAGAGCACGGUGGUGGAUUAAUUCCGAAGAAAUUGUUGAUCUCUCAUGCUUCACUUAUAUUAUUUUGAUAGUCUCUUAGAACAGCAUGGUAUUUGCUAUGGUUAUAAAUUGGUCCUAGAAUGAUGAGCAUCCAAGUUGGGUAUAAUAAAAACUAUCAUAGAAAGUGAAUUGGAUGCUAUGAUCAAUUUGAUGCUUGAUAAUUGUUUUGAGAUAUGGAGGUAGUGAUAUUAAAGUCAUGCUAGUUGGGUGAUUAUGAAUUUAAAGAAUGCUUGUGUUGAAGGUUGUGAUUCCCGUAGCAUGCAUGUAUGGUGAACUGCUUUGUGAUGAAGUUGGAGCACAAUUUUAUUUAUUGAGUGUCUUCCUUAUGAGUGGCGGUCGGGGACAAGUGAUGGUCUUUUCCUACCAAUCUAUCCCCCUAGGAGAAUGCGCGUAGUGCUUUGGUUUUUGAUGACUUCUAAAUUUUUGCAAGAAGUAUAUGAGUUCUUUUGACUAAUGUUGAGUCCAUGGAUUAUACGCACCCUUUCACCCUUCCAUUAUUGCUAGCCUCUAUUGUACCGUGCAACUUUCGCCGGUACCAUACACCCACCAUAUACCUUCCUCAAAACAGCCACCAUACCUACCUACUAUGGCAUUUCCAUAGCCAUUCCGAGAUAUAUUGCCAUGCAACUUUCCACCGUUCCAUUCAUAUGACACGCAUUACUUUUUUCAUAGUGCUCUUUGCAUGAUCAUGUAGUUGACAUUGUAUUUGUGGCAAGGCCACCUUCAUAAUUUUCAUACAUGUCACUCUUGAUUCAUUGCAUAUCCCGGUACACCGCCGGAGGCAUUCGUAUAGAGUCAUACCUUGUUCUAGCUUUGAUUUGUAAAUCCAUAAAAGUGUGAUGAUCUUCAUUAUUAGAGCAUUGUCCUAGUGAGGAAAGGAUGAUGAAGACUAUGAUUCCCCCACAAGUCGGGAUGAGACUUCGGACUUUACAAAAAGAAAAAAAAGAAAAAAAUGGGAAGGCCAAAAAGAAAAGAAAAAAGGAAGGCCAAAAAAAGGCCAAAAAUAAAAAGAAAAAAGGGAAGGCCAAAGAAAAAAAAGAAGAAAAAAAUGAGAGAAAAAAAUGAGAGAAAAAGAGAGAAGGGACAAUGCUACUAUCUCUUUUUCCACACUUGUGCUUCAAAAUAGCACCAUGAUCUUCAUGAUAGAGAGUCUCAUAUGUUGUCACUUUCAUAUACUAGUGGGAAUUUUUCAUUAUAGAACAUUGCUUGUAUAUUCCAAUGAUGGGCUUCCUCAAAAUUCCCUAGGUCUUCGUGAGCAAGCAAGUUGGAUGCACACCCACUAGUUUUCUUUUCUUGAGCUUUCAUAUAUUUAUAGCUCUAGUGCAUCCGUUGCAUGGCAAUCCCUACUCACUCACAUUGAUAUCUAUUAAUGGGCAUCUUCAUAGCCCGUUGAUACACCUAGUUGAUGUGAUACUAUCUUCUCCCUUUUUGUCUUCUCCACAACCACCAUUCUAUUCCACAUAUAGUGCGAUGUCCAUUGCUCACGCUCAUGUAUUGCAUGAAAGUUGAAAGAGUUUGGGAUUAUUAAAGUAUGAAACAAUUGCUUGGCUUGUCAUCGGGGUUAUGCAUGAUUAAAUACUUUAUGUGAUGAAGAUAGAGAAACAGCCAGACUAUAUGAUUUUGUAGGGAUAACUUUCUUUGGCCAUGUUAUUAUGAGAAGACAUGAUUACUUUCCUUAGUAUGCUUGAAGUAUUACUAUUUCUUAUGUCAAUAUGAACUUUUAUUUUGUAUUAUUUGGAUCUGAACAUUCAUGCCACAAUAAAGAAAAUUACAUUGAGAAUUAUGCUAGGUAGCAUUCCACAUCAAAAAAUUCUUUUUUAUCAUUUACCUACUCGAGGACAAGCAGGAAUUAAGCUUGGGGAUGCUUGAUACGUCUCCAACAUAUCUAUAAUUUUUUAUUGUUCCAUGCUAUUAUAUUACCUAUUUUGGAUGUUUACGGGCUUUAUUUUAUACAUUAUUAUCAUUUUUGGGACUAACCUACUAACCGGAGGCCCAGCCCGUAUUGCUGUUUUUUUGCCUAUUUCAGUAUUUCGAAGAAAAGGAAUAUCAAACGGAGUCCAAACGGAAUGAAACCUUCGGGAGCGUGAUUUUUUGAACGAACAUGAUCCAGAGGAUGUGGAGUGCAAGUCAAGAAACAACCGGAGCCUCCACGAGAUAGGAGGACGCCCCUCCCCCCCUGUACGGCACGCCCCCCUGUCUCGUGGGCCCCUCGGGCGUCCACCGACGUACUUCUUCCUUCUAUAUAAGUCUACGUACCCCGAAAACAUCCAGGAGCCACCUGAAGAAAUAUUUCCGCCACCAUAACCUUCUGUAUCCACGAGAUGCCGUCUUGGAGCCGUCGCCGGCGUUCUGCCGGAGGGGGGGAUACACCAUGGAGGGCUUCUACAUCAACAUCCUUGCCCCUCCAAUGAGUUGUGAGUAGUUUACAUCAGACCUACGGGUCCAUAGUUAUUAGCUAGAUGGCUUCUUCUCUCUUUUUGGAUCUCAAUACAAUGUUCUUCCCCUCUCUUGUGAAGAACUAUUCGAUGUAAUCUCUUUUGCUGUGUGUUUGUCAAGAUCCGAUGAAUUGUGGGUUUAUGAUCAGAUUUAUCUAUGGAUAAUAAUUGAAUCUUCUUUGAAUUCUUUUAUAUGAUUGAGUUAUCUUUGCAAGUCUCUUCGAAUUAUCGGUUUGGUUUGGCCUACUAGAUUGAUCUUUCUUGCCAUGGGAGAAGAGCUUAGCGUUGUGUUCAAUCUUGUGGUGUUCUUACCCAGUGACAGAAAGGGUUGCAAGACACGUAUUGUAUUGUUGCCAUAGAGGAUAACAAGAUGGGAUUUAUAUCAUAUUGCUUGAGUUUAUCCCUCUACAUCAUGUCAUCUUGCUUAAUGUGUUACUCUGUUCUUAUGAACUUAAUACUCUAGAUGCAUGCUGGAUAGCGGUCGAUGUGUGGAGUAAUAGUAGUAGAUGCAGGCAGGAGUCGGUCUACUUGUUCUGGAUGUGAUGCCUAUAUACAUAACCAUGCCUAGAUAACGUCAAACAUAUUCACUUUUCUAUCAAUUGCUUGACAGUAAUUUGUUCACCCACCGUAAAACUUAUGCUCUCGAGAGAAGCCUCUAGUGAAAUCUAUGGCCCCCGGGUCUAUCUCUUAUCAUAUUUGCUUUCAAUCUACUUUUAUUUGCAUCUUUAUUUUCUGCAUCUAUAUUACAAAAUACCAAAAUAUAUUUAUCUUAUCAUAUUAUCUCUAUCAGAUCUCACUUUCGCAAGUGGCCGUGAAGGGAUUGACAACCCCUUUAUCGCGUUGGUUGCGAGUUCUUUGUUUGUUUGUGUAGGUUCGUGGGACUUGUAGAGGAGCCUCCUACUGGAUUGAUACCUUGGUUCUCAAAAACUGAGGAAAAUACUUACGCUACUGUGCUGCAUCACCCUCUCCUCUUCGAGGAAAACCAACGCAAGCUCAAGACGUAGCAAGAAGGAUUUCUGGCGCCGUUGCCGGGGAGGUCUUCGCUCAAGUCAAGACAAACCAAGUACCCAUCACAAACUCAUCACCCUCGCAUUUACAUUAUUUGCCAUUUGCCUCUCGUUUUCCUCUCCCCCACUUCACCCUUGCCGAUUUAUUCGCCCUCUCUUUCCCAACCUUCUCCUCUAUUCUCCGUUUGCCGUUUUCUGUUUGCUUGUGUGUUGGAUUACUUGUUGCCAUGGCACAAGAUAAUACCAAAUUGUGUGAUUUCUCGAAUACCAAUAAUAAUGAUUUCCUUAGUACUCCGAUUGCUCCUCUUAAUGAUGUUGAGUCUUGUGAAAUCAAUACUGCUUUGCUGAAUCUUGUUAUGAAAGAUCAAUUCGCGAGCCUUCCUAGUGAAGAUGCCGCUACUCAUCUAAACAAUUUUGUUGAUUUGUGUGAUAUGCAAAAGAAGAAAGAUACGGAUAAUGAUAUUGUUAAAUUGAAGUUUUUUCCGUUUUCACUUAGAGAUCGUGCUAAAGUUUGGUUUUCGUCUUUGCCUAAAAAUAGUAUUGAUUCUUGGAACAAGUGCAAAGAUGCUUUUAUCUCUAAGUAUUUUCCUCCCGCUAAGAUUAUCACUCUUAGGAACGAUAUUAUGAAUUUUAAACAACUUGAUCAUGAGCAUGUUUCCCAAUCUUGGGAAAGAAUGAAAUUGAUGGUUCACAAUUGCCCUACUCAUGGUUUGAAUUUAUGGAUGAUCAUACAAAAAAUUUAUGCCGGUUUGAACUUUGCUUCUAGAAAUCUCUUAGAUUCGGCCACGGGAGGCACGUUUAUGGAAAUCACUUUAGGAGAUGCUACAAAACUUCUUGAUAAUAUUAUGGCUAAUUAUUCUCAAUGGCAUACCGAAAGAUCUUCUAGUAAAAAAGUGCAUGCUAUAGAAGAAAUCAAUGUUUUGAGUGGAAAGAUGGAUGAACUUAUGAAGUUGUUUUCUACUAAAAAUACUCCUCUUGAUCCCAAUGAUAUGCCUUGGUCUACUUUGAUUGAGAAUAAUAAUGAAUCUAUGGAUGUGAAUUUUGUUGGUAGGAAUAGUUUUGGAAACAAUGCUUAUAGAGGAAACUUUAAUUCUAGACCGUUCCCUAGUAAUUCCUCUAAUAAUUAUGGAAAUUCCUACAAUAAUUCUUAUUGUAAUUUUAAUAAGAUGCCCUCUGAUUUUGAGAAUAGUGUGAAAGAAUUUAUGAUUUCUCAAAAGAACUUUAAUGCUUUGCUUGAAGAAAAAUUGCUCAAAGUUGAUGAUUUGGCUAGGAACGUUGAUAGACUUUCGCUUGAUGUUGAUUCUCUCAAACUUAGAUCUUCACCUCCUAAGCAUGAUAUCAAUGAGCCUCUCAAAGCAAUGAGAAUUUCCAUUGAUGAGUGUAAGGAAAGAACCGCUAGAUUGCGUCCUAAGAAAGAAAGCUUUAUAAAAGUGUGUUCUUCUAGUUUCCAUGAAAAUAAUGAUGAAGAUCUUAAAGUUAUUGAUGUGUCUCCUAUUAGAUCUAUGUUUUGCAAUAUGAAUUUUUAUGAUUAUGGGACUGAUGAUGAGUCAACUUUACAUAGAAGGCGUCCCAAAAAUUUGGAGUUUUUAGAUCUUGAUGCUAAAUUUGGUAAAAGUGGGAUUGGAGAGGUCAUGACUUUAAAUAGUAUUGAACCCACUAUCUCGGAUUUCAAGGAAUUUGAUUAUGAUAAUUGUUCUUUAGAAUGUUGUAUUUCCUUGUUGCAAUCCGUUGUUAAUUCUCCACAUGCUUAUAGUCAAAAUAAAGCUUUUACCAAACAUAUUGUUGAUGCCUUGAUGCAAUCUUAUGAUGAAAAACUUAAUUUGGAAGUUUCUAUACCUAGAAAACCUAAUGAUGAGUGGGAACCUACUAUAAAGAUUAAAAUUAAAUAACAUGAGUGUUUUGCUUUGUGUGAUUUGGGUGCUAGUGUUUCCACAAUUCCGAAAACUUUAUGUGAUAUUCUAGGUUUCCAUGAUCUUGAUGAUUGCUCUUUAAAUUUACACCUUGCGGAUUCCACCAUUAAAAAGCCAAUGGGAAGAAUUAAUGAUGUCCUUAUUGUUGCAAAUAGAAAUUUGGUUCCCGUUGAUUUUAUCGUUCUUGAUAUAGAUUGCAAUCUUUCUUGCCCUAUUAUUCUUGGUAGACCUUUCCUUAGAACGAUUGGUGCGAUUAUUGAUAUGAAGGAAGGGAAUAUUAGAUUCCAAUUUCGAUUAAAGAAAGGCAUGGAGCAUUUUCCAAGAAAGAAAGUCCAAUUACCUUAUGAAUCUAUCAUGCGAGCUACUUAUGAAUCAAGUGCCAAAGAUGGCACUACUUAGACCUAUCUUCGCUUUUAUGCCUAGCUAGGGGCGUUAAACGAUAGCGCUAGUUGGGAGGCAACCCAAUUUUCUUUAUGUUCUUUGUUUUUGUUCCUGUUUAGUGUUAAAUUUUGUUUCCCCUUUCUGUUUAGAUGUGUUUUUAUCUUUUAAUUAGUGUUUGUGCCAAGUAGAACCUACAGGAUAACCUAUGAUAUGAGUUGAUUUGAUUCUGCUGAAAAUCAGAAACUUUGCGCUCAUGAGAAAAAAUUCAGUAAAUCACAGAAACGAGAUUUUGCAUUGAUUAUUUUUGCUUCUGUUCAAUAAACAAAUUGUUUAGGACUUCCUAUUUUGGUAGGAUUUUUGAGGUUCCAUAAGUUUGCGUUAGUUACAGAUUUCUACAGUCUGUUCUGUUUUUGACAGAUUCUGUUUUUUCGUGUGUUGUUUGCUUACUUUGAUGCAUCUAUGGCUAGUAAAAUAGUUUAUGAACCAUAGAGAACUUGGAAUACAGUAGGUUUAGCACCAAUAUAAAUAAAUAAUGAGUUAAUUACAGUACCUUAUGUGGUGGUUUUGUUUUCUUUCACUAACGGAGCUUAUAAGAUUUCCUGUUGAGUUUUGUGUUGUGAAGUUUUCAAGUUUUGGGUAAAGCUUUUAUGGACUAUGGAAUAAAGAGUGGCAAGAGCCUAAGCUUGGCGACGCCCAAGGCACCCCAAGAUAUUCAAUGAUAGCCAAAAGCCUAAGCUUGGGGAUGCCCCGGGAAGGCAUCCCCUCUUUUGUAUUUGUUCAUUGUUAACUUUACUUGGAGCUAUAUUUUUAUUCACCACAUGAUAUAUGUUUUGCUUGGAGCGUCGUGUAUUAUAUUCGUAUUUGCUUGUUAGUUUACCACAAUCAUCCUUGCUGUAACACACCUUUUUGGAGAAGCCUAUUUGCUUAGGAUUUGAUAGAAUACUCUAUGUACUUCACUUAUAUCUUUUGAGCUUGAUAGUUUUUGCUCUAGUGCUUCACUUAUAUUUUCUAGAGCACGGUGGUGGAUUAGUUUUGAAGAAAUUGUUGAUCUCUCAUGCUUCACUUAUAUUAUUUUGAUAGUCUCUUAGAACAGCAUGGUAUUUGCUAUGGUUAUGAAUUGGUCCUAGAAUGAUGAGCAUCCAAGUUGGGUAUAAUAAAAACUAUCAUAGAAAGUGAAUUGGAUGCUAUGAUCAAUUUGAUGCUUGAUAAUUGUUUUGAGAUAUGGAGGUAGUGAUAUUAAAGUCAUGCUAGUUGGGUGAUUAUGAAUUUAAAGAAUGCUUGUGUUGAAGUUUGUGAUUCUCGUAGCAUGCACGUAUGGUGAACCGCUUUGUGAUGAAGUUAGAGCACAAUUUUAUUUAUUGAGUGUCUUCCUUAUGAGUGGCGGUCGGGGACGAGCGAUGGUCUUUUCCUACCAAUCUAUCCCCCUAGGAGCAUGCGCGUAGUGCUUUGGUUUUUGAUGACUUCUAAAUUUUUGCAAGAAGUAUAUGAGUUCUUUUGACUAAUGUUGAGUCCAUGGAUUAUACGCACCCUUUCACCCUUCCAUUAUUGCUAGCCUCUAUUGUACCGUGCAACUUUCACCGGUACCAUACACCCACCAUAUACCUUCCUCAAAACAGCCACCAUACCUACCUAAUAUGGCAUUUCCAUAGCCAUUCCGAGAUAUAUUGCCAUGCAACUUUCCACCGUUCCGUUCAUAUGACAUGCAUUACUUUUUUCAUAUUGCUCUUUGCAUGAUCAUGUAGUUGACAUUGUAUUUGUGGAAAGGCCACCUUCAUAAUUUUCAAACAUGUCACUCUUGAUUCAUUGCAUAUCCCGGUACACCUUCGGAGGCAUUCAUAUAGAGUCAUACCUUGUUCUAGCUUUGAGUUGUAAAUCCAUAGAAGUGUGAUGAUCUUCAUUAUUAGAGCAUUGUCCUAGGGAGGAAAGGAUGAUGAAGACUAUGAUUCCCCCACAAGUCGGGAUGAGACUUUGGACUUUACAAAAAGAAAAAAAAUGGGAAGGCCAAAAAAAGAAAAAAAAGAAAGGCCAAGGAAAAAAAAAGAAAAAAAAGAAAGGCCAAAAAUAAAAACGAAAAAAAGGGAAGGCCAAAGAAAAAAAAAGAAGAAAAAAAUGAGAGAAAAAAUGAGAGAAAAAGAGAGAAGGGACAAUGCUACUAUCUCUUUUUCCACACUUGUGCUACAAAAUAGCACCGUGAUCUUCAUGGUAGAGACUCUCAUAUGUUGUCACUUUCAUAUACUAGUGGGAAUUUUUCAUUAUAGAACAUGGCUUGUAUAUUCCAAUGAUGGGCUUCCUCAAAAUGCCCUAGGUCUUCGUGAGCAAGCAAGUUGGAUGCACACCCACUAGUUUUCUUUUGUUGAGCUUUCAUAUAUUUAUAGCUCUAGUGCAUCCGUUGCAUGGCAAUCCCUACUCACUCACAUUGAUAUCUAUUAAUGGGCAUCUCCAUAGCCCGUUGAUACGCCUAGUUGAUGUGAGACUAUCUUCUCCUUUUUUGUCUUCUCCACAACCACCAUUCUAUUCCACAUAUAGUGUGAUGUCCAUGGCUCACGCUCAUGUAUUGCGUGAAAGUUGAAAGAGUUUGAGAUUAUUAAAGUACGAAAAAAUUGCUUGGCUUGUCAUCGGGGUUGUGCAUGAUUAAAUACUUUGUGUGAUGAAGAUAGAGCAACAGCCAGACUAUAUGAUUUUGUAGGGAUAACUUUCUUUGGCCAUGUUAUUUUGAGAAGACAUGAUUACUUUGCUUAGUAUGCUUGAAGUAUUACUAUUUCUUAUGUCAAUAUGAACUUCUAUUUUGUAUUAUUUGGAUCUGAACAUUCAUGCCACAAUAAAUAAAAUUACAUUGAGAAUUAUGCUAGGUAGCAUUCCACAUCAAAAAUUUCUUUUUUAUCAUUUACCUACUCGAGGACGAGCAGGAAUUAAGCUUGGGGAUUCAUGAUACGUCUCCAACGUAUCUAUAAUUUUGGAUUGUUCCAUGCUAUUAUAUUACCUGUUUUGGAUGUUUAUGGGCUUUAUUUUAUAGAUUAUUAUCAUUUUUUGGACUAACCUACUAACCGGAGGCUCAGCCCGUAUUGCUUUUUUUUCUAUUUCAGUAUUUCGAAGAAAAGGAAUAUCAAACGGAGUCCAAACGGAAUGAAACCUUUGGGAGCGUGAUUUUUUGAACGAACGUGAUCCAGAGGACAUGGAGUGAAAGUCAAGAAACAACCGGAGCCUCCAUGAGAUAGGAAGGCACCCCCCCUCUAGGGCGCGCCCCCUGUCUCGUGGGCCCCUCGGGCGUCCACAGACGUACUUCUUCCUCCUAUAUAAGUCUACGUACCCCGAAAACAUCCAGGAGACACCUGAAGAAAUAUUUCCGCCACCGUAACCUUCUGUAUCCGCGAGAUCCCAUCUUGGAGCCAUCGCUGGUGUUCUGCCGGAGGGGGGAUCCACCAUGGAGGGCUUCUACAUCAACAUCCUUGCCCCUCCAAUGAGUUGUGAGUAGUUUACAUCAGACCUACGGGUCCAUAGUUAUUAGCUAGAUGGCUUCUUCUCUCUUUUUGGAUCUCAAUACAAUGUUCUUCCCCUCUCUUGUGAAGAACUAUUCGAUGUAAUCUCUUUUUGCGCUGUGUUUGUCAAGAUCCGAUGAAUUGUGGGUUUAUGAUCAGAUUUAUCUAUGGAUAAUAAUUGAAUCUUCUCUGAAUUCUUUUAUAUGAUUGAGUUAUCUUUGCAAGUCUCUUCGAAUUAUCGGUUUGGUUUGGCCUACUAGAUUGAUCUUUCUUGCCAUGGGAGAAGUGCUUAGCUUUGGGUUCAAUCUUGCGGUGUUCUUACCCAAUGACAGAAAGGGUUGGAAGACACGUAUUGUAUUGUUGCCAUCGAGGAUAACAAGAUGGGUUUUAUAUCAUAUUGCUUGAGUUUAUCCCUCUACAUCAUGUCAUCUUGCUUAAUGCGUUACUCUGUUCUUAUGAACUUAAUACUCUAGAUGCAUGCUGGAUAGCGGUCGAUGUGUGGAGUAAUAGUAGUAGAUGCAGGCAGGAGUCGGUCUACUUGUUAUGGAUGUGAUGCCUAUAUACAUGAUCAUGCCUAGAUAACGACAUAAUUAUUCACUUUUCUAUCAAUUGCUUGACAGUAAUUUGUUCACCCACCGUAAAACUUAUGCUCUCGAGAGAAGCCUCUAGUGAAAUCUAUGGCCCCCGGGUCUAUCUCUUAUCAUAUUUGCUUUCAAUCUACUUUUAUUUGCAUCUUUAUUUUCUGCAUCUAUAUUACAAAAUACCAAAAAUAUAUUUAUCUUAUCAUAUUAUCUCUAUCAGAUCUCACUUUCACAAGUGGCCAUGAAGGGAUUGACAACCCCUUUAUCGUGUUGGUUGCGAGUUCUUCAUUUGUUUGUGUAGGUUCGUGGGACUUGUUGAGGAGCCUCCUACUGGAUUGAUACCUUGGUUCUCAAAAACUGAGGGAAAUACUUACGCUACUGUGCUGCAUCACCCUCUCCUCUUCGAGCAAAACCAACGCAAGAUCAAGACGUAACAUGAAGAUGUUCGAUUACAUCAACCGCGUUAAUCUAACUCUUCCGCUUUCGGUCUACGAGGGUACCUGGACACACUCUCCCCCUCUAUUUGCUAUGCAUCUCCUAGAUAGAUCUUGCGUGAUCGUAGGAAUGUUUUUGAAAUUGCAUGCUAUGUUCCCCAACAGUGGCAUCAGAGCCAGGUCUAUGCAUAGAUGAUACGCACGAGUAGAACACAAAGAGUUGUGGGCGAUAAUAGUCAUACUGCUUACCACCAACGUCUUACUUUGACUCGGAGGUAUUGUUGGAUGAAGAGGCCUGGAGCAACAUUACAUGACCACGUUCAUGAGACUGGUUCUACUGACGUGCUUUGCACAUAGGUGGCUGGCGGGUGUCUGUUUCUCCAACUUUAGUUGAAUAGAGUUUGACUACGGCGGUCCUUGUUGAAGGUUAAAACAGCACACUUGACGAAAAAUCAUUGUGGUUUUGAUGCGUAGGUAAGAACGGUUCUCGCUAGAAGCCCGUAGCAGCCACGUAAAACUUGCAACAACAAAGUAGAGGGCAUCUAACUUGUUUUUGAAGUGCUUGAUGUGAUGUGAUAUGGUCAAGACAUGAUGUGAUAUAAAUUGUUGUAUGAGAUGAUCUUGUUUUGUAACAAAGUUAUCGGCAACUGGUAGGAGCCAUAUGGUUGUCGCUUUAUUGUAUGAAAUGCAAUCGCCAUGUAAUUGCUUUACUUUAUCACUAAGCGUUAGCGGUAGUUGUAGAAGCAAUAGUUGGCAAGACGACAAUGAUGCUAUGAUGGAGGUCAAGGUGUCAAGCCAGUGACAAUGGAGAUCAUGAUGGUGCUUUGGAGGUGGAGAUCAAAGGCAUAAGAUGAUGAUGGCCAUAUCAUGUCACAUAUUUUGAUUGCAGGUGAUGUUUAUCUUUUAUGCAUCUUAUUUUGCUUAGUACGGCGGUAGCAUUAUAAGAUGAUCCCUUAACUAAAUUUCAAGGUAUAAGUGUUCUCCUUGAGUAUGCACCGUUGCUACAGUUCGUCGUGCCGAGACACCACAUGAUGAUCGGAUGUGAUAAGCUCUACGUUCACAUACAAUGGGUGCAAGCCAGUUUUGCACAUGCAGAAUACUCAAGUUAAACUUGACAAGCCUAGCAUAUGCAGAUAUGGCUCGGAACACUGAGACCGAAAGGUCGAACGUGAGUCAUAUAGUAGAUAUGAUCAACAUAGAGAUGUUCACCAUUGAAAACUACUCCAUCUCACUUGAUGAUUGGACAUAGUUUAGUUGAUAUGGAUCACAUGAUCAUUUAGAUGACUAGAGGGAUGUCUAUCUAAGUGGGAGUUCUUUCGUAAUAUGAUUAAUUAAACUUUAAUUUAUCAUGAUCUUAGUCAUGAUAGUUUUUUGCAUAUCUACGUUGUUGUAGAUCAAUGGCCCGUGCUACCGUUCCCUUCAAUUUCAAUGCAUUCCUAGAGAAAGCUAAGUUGAAAGUUGAUGGUAGCAAUUACACGGACUGGGUCCAUAACUUGAGGAUUAUCCUCAUUGAUGCACAGAAGAAUUACGUCAUGGAAGCACCGCUAGGUGCAAGGCCUGCUGUAGGAGCAAAUGCUGAUGUUAUGAACGUCUGGCAAGCUCGAUCUAAUGACUACUCAAUAGUUCAGUGUGUCAUGCUUUACGGCUUAGAAUCGGGACUUCAAAGACAUUUUGAACGUCAUGUAGCAUAUGAGAUGUUCCAAGAGUUGAAGUUAAUAUUUCAAGCAAAUGCCCGAGUUGAGAGAUAUGAAGUCUCCAACAAGUUCUAUAGCUGCAAGAUGGAGGAGAAUAGUUCUAUCAGUGAACACAUACUCAGAAUGUCUGGGUACCAUAACCACUUGACUCAGCUGGGAGUUAAUCUUCCUGAUGAUAGUGUCAUUGGCAGAGUUCUUCAAUCACUUCCACCAAGCUAUAAAGGCUUUGUGAUGAACUAUAAUAUGCAAGGGGUGGAAAAGACAAUUCCCGAACUCUUCGCAAUGCUAAAGGCUAUGGAGGUAGAUAUCAAGAAGGAGCAUCAAGUGUUGAUGGUUAACAAGACCACUAGUUUCAAGAAAAAGGGCAAAGGAAAGGAGGGGAACUUCAAUAAGAAUAGGAAGCAAGUUGCUACUCCCGGGAAGAAACCCAAGUCUAGACCUAAGCCUGAAACUGAGUGCUUAUACUGCAAAGGGAAUGGUCACUGGAAGCGGAACUGCCCCAAGUAUUUGGCGGAUAAGAAGGAUGGCAAAGUGAAAGGUAUAUUUGAUAUACAUGUUAUUGAUGUGUACCUUACUAAUACUUGUAGUAGCGUCUAGGUAUUUGAUAUUGGUUCUGUUGCUAAUAUUUGCAACUCGAAACAGGGGCUACGGAUUAAAUGAAGAUUGGCUAAGGACAAGGUGAUGAUACGCGUGGGAAAUGGUUCCAAGGUCGAUAUGAUCGCCGUCGGCACGCUACCUCUACAUGUACCUUCGGGAUUAGUUUUGGACCUGAAUAAUUGUUAUUUGGUGCCACAGUUGAGCAUGAACAUUAUAUCUGGAUCUUGUUUGAUGCGAGAUAGUUAUUCAUUUAAACCAGAGAAUAAUGGUUGUUCUAUUUAUAUGAGUAAUAUCUUUUAUGGUCAGGCACCCUUGAUGAGUGGUCUAUUUUUUGUUGAAUCUCGAUCGUGAUGAUACACAUGUUCAUAAUAUUGAAGCCAAAAGAUGCAAAGUUGAUAAUGAUAUUGCAACUUAUUUGUGGCACUGCCGUUUGGGUCAUAUCGGUGUAAAGCGCAUGAAGAAACUCCAUGUUGAUGGACUUUUGGAAUCACUUGAGUAUGAAUCACUUGGUGCUUGCGGACCGUGUUACCGUUCCCUUGAAUUUUAAUGCGUUCCUAGAGAAAGCUAAGUUGAAAUUUGAUGGUAGCAAUUACACGGUGGGUCCAUAACUUGAGGAUUAUCCUCAUUGAUGCAUAGAAGAAUUAUGUCAUGGAAGCACUGCUAGGUGCAAGGCCUGCUGCAGGAGCAGAUGCUGAUGUUAUGGAUGUCUGGAAAGCUUGAUCUGAUGACUACUCGAUAGUUUAGUGUGCCAUGCUUUACGGCUUAGAAUCGGGACUUCAAAGACGUUUUGGACGUCAUGGAGCAUAUGAGAUGUUCCAAGAGUUGAAGUUAAUAUUUCAAGCAAAUGCCCGAGUUGAGAGAUAUGAAGUCUCCAACAAGUUCUAUAGCUGCAAGAUGGAGGAGAAUAGUUCUAUCAGUGAACACAUACUCAGAAUGUCUGGGUAACAUAACCACUUGACUCAGCUGGGAGUUAAUCUUCCUGAUGAUAGUGUCAUUGACAGAGUUCUUCAAUCACUGCCACCAAGCUAUAAAGGCUUCGUGAUGAACUAUAAUAUGCAAGGGAUGGAAAAGACAAUUCCCGAGCUCUUCUCAAUGCUAAAGGCUAUGUAGGUAGAUAUCAAGAAGGAGCAUCAAGUGUUGAUGGUUAACAAGACCACUAGUUUCAAGAAAAAGGGCAAAGGAAAGGAGGGGAACUUCAAUAAGAAUAGGAAGCAAGUUGCUACUCCCAGGUAGAAACCCAAGUCUAGACCUAAGCCUGAAACUAAGUGCUUCUAUUGCAAAGGAACUAGUCACUGGAAGCGGAACUGCCCCAAGUAUUUGGCGGAUAAGAAGGAUGGAAAAGUGAAAGGUAUAUUUGAUAUACAUGUUAUUGAUGUGUACCUUACUAAUGCUCGUAGUAGCGCAUGGGUAUUUGAUACUGGUUAUGUUGCUCAUAUUUGCAACUCGAUACAGUGGCUAAGGAUUAAACAAAGAUUGGCUAAGGACGAGGGACGAUGCACGUCCUAAAUGGUUCCAAGGUCAAUGUGAUCGCCGUCAGCACGCUACCUCUACAUGUACCUUCGAGAUUAGUUUAGACCUAAAUAAUUGUUAUUUGGUGCCAGUGUUGAGCAUGAACAUUAUAUCUGGAUCUUGUUUGAUGUGAGACGGGUAUUCAUUUAAAUCAGGGAAUAAAGGUUGUUCUAUUUAUCUGAGUAAUAUCUUUUAUGGUCAUGCACCCUUCAUGAUUGGUCUAUUUUUGUUGAAUCUCGAUCAUGGUGAUACACAGGUUCAUAAUAUUGAAGCCCAAAGAUGCAAAGUAAGUAAUGAUAGUGCAACUUAGUUGUGGCACUGCCAUUUAGGUAAUAUUAGUGUAAAGCGCAUGAAGAAACUCCAUCCUGAUGGGAUUUUGGAAUCACUGGAUUAUGAAUCACUUGAUGCUCGAGCCAUGCCUCAUGGGAAAGAUGACUAAGACUCCGUUCUCCGGAACAAUGGAGCGAGCCACUGACUUAUUAUAGAUAAUACAUACCGAUGUAUGCGGUCCAAUGAGUGUUGAGGCUCGCGGCGGGUGUCGUUAUUUUUGACCUUCAUUGAUGAUUUGAGCAGACAUGGGAAUAUCUACUUAAUGAAACAUAAGUCUGAAACAUUUGAAAAGUUCAAAGAAUUUCAGAGUGAAGUGGAAAAUCAUCGUAACAAGAAAAUAAAGUUUCUACCAUAUGAUCGCAGAGGUGAAUAUUUGAGUUACGAGUUUGGUCUUCAUUUGAUACAAUGUGGAAUAGUUUCGCAACUCAUGCCACCUAGAACACCACAGCGUAAUGGUGUGUCCGAACAUCAUAACCGUACUUUAUUAGAUAUGGUGGGAUCUAUGAUGUCUCUUACUGAUUUACCGCUAUCAUUUUGGGGUUAUGCUUUAGAGACGGUUGCAUUCACGUUAAAUAGGGCACCAUCUAAAUCCGUUGAGAUGAUACCAUAUGAAAUGUGGUUUGGCAAGACACCUAAGCUGACGUUUCUUAAAGUUUGGGGUUGCGAUGCUUAUGUGACAAAGCUUCAACCUGAUAAGCUCGAACCCAAAUCAGAGAAAUGUGUCUUCAUAGGAUACCCAAAACAAAUUUUUGGGUACAUGAGGGAGUCCUGGAUUAAGGGGUCCUCGGACGUCCGAACUAUUAAUAUGGGCCGAACUAUUGGACUAUGAAGACACAAGACCCAAGACUUCUUCCCGUGUCCAGAUGGGACUCUCCUUUGCGUGGAUUGCAAGAUUGAUGAUUCGGAUAUGUAGAUCCCUUUCUCUGUAACCGGCUUUGUGUAACUCUAGCCCCCUCUGGUAUCUAUAUAAACCGGAGGGUUUAGUCCAUAGAGAAAAAACAACAAUCUUAAUCAAGCAAGAAGUAGGGUAUUACCUCCAUAGAUCAACUCUUGUAAUACUCAUAUUCAUCAAGAUCAAUCAAGAAAGAAGCUAGAUUUCCAGGGUUUAGCCAUUAUGAUAUCGUGGUAGAUCAACUCUUGUAAUACUCAUAUUCAUCAAGAUCAAUCAAGCAAGAAGUAGGGUAUUACCUCCAUAGAGAGGCCCGAACCUGGGUAAACAUCAUGUCCCCUGUCUCCUGUUACCAUCAACCUUAGACACACAAUUUGGGACCCCCUACCCGAGAUUCGCCGGUUUUGACACCGACAUUGGUGCUUUCAUUGAGAGUUCCGCUGUGUCAUCACCAAAAGGUUUUUGAUGGAUCCUUCCAUCUACAAUAAUGAAGUCCAGGGGGAGGUCUUUCUCCCCGGACAGAUCUUUGUAUUCGGCGGCUUCGCACUGCGGGCCAACUUGCUUGGCAAUCUAGAGCUGAUCGAUAGCUAUGCCCCUGGCCAUCAGGUCAGGUUUGGAAGCUUGAAUUACGUGGCCGAUAUCCGCGGAGACUUGAUCCUUGACAGAUUCGAGCCCAUGAUAGCUGCUCCCUGCCACCAUGAUGAACAUGACAUAAAUCUGUCAUCGGACCAUGCUCAGGAGAUCGCGCAUGUAACUGCUAUGGCCCUAGAUCCGGAGCAGAUUGCGUUUUUCGAGGACAAGAGGCUUAACCCCACCACGGAAGCCGCAGACUCAGCGGCGUUGGAGCCGAACACAGAUCCGACCUCGAGCAGAGCCUAUGUCAUCGGAACCUCGGAGUCGUCUCCGGCUAUAGGUUCCAAUCCGCGUACGUCCGUGCCCGUCAGAACUGAUCGGGCGCCGAUCAUCGAGUUCACCUCCACGGACAUUUUCUGGCACUCGCCUUUAGGCGAUGUGCUAAACUCGUUAAAAGCCCUCUCCUUAUCAGGAGACUCUCAGCCGAACUAUGUCCGGCUUGAAGUGGAAGCAGAGGACGAAUUUUGCUUCCCACCCACCACCCACUUAAUAGCCACCGUCAAAGAUUUAACCGAUUUACUUGACUACGCCUCCGAAGACUUUGAAGGGAUGGACCUCGAAGCCGGAGAAAAUCUAGACCAAAACCCACCCGCAAUCGGGUGGUGGAUGGCUAUGUCCUCAUACGAUAUAUACAUGGUGGAUACACUUAAAGAGAAGGACGCCGACAACGAGAAAGAUAAACCCGUCGAUGAACCUCCAAAGCAUCAGCGUCAGAAGCGCUGACCUCGAUCCGGCAAGGGAUACAGUAGCAACAUUGUCACUAACAACGAUAACAAUCCGGACCAAGCCGAAGACCCCGCUGAUCCAGCAAUGGAGCAAGACAAGUGAGAGGACGGCGAGCACAGUCUGGGAUUGUUGUCCGACCACAACAAAGCCGAGGAUAGCAAUCAUCAACCUGUCUCCGAAGAGGAGAUCAGCUUGGGCGACGAUGAAUUCGUCAUCCCAGAAGAACCUUUAGAACAAGAGCGCCUCCAUCGGAGGCUUAUCACCACCGCAAGGAGCCUGAAGAAGCAGAAGCAGUGGCUUAAAGCCGCACAGGAUACGCUCAAUGAUAGACUGAGGAAAAAUAUGGUUGUAAUCGCCAAACAAAGGGCUAUCCUAAGCGCAAACUGCUGCCCGAAUUCAACGACGAGGCCAUUGCACCCACACCACUGAAGAACAAUAUCACCAAUCAGCCGGACCGACUGAGGGAGUCCUGGAUAAGGGGGUAACCGGACAGCCAGACUAUAUACUUUGGCCGAACUGUUGGACUAUGAAGAUACAAGAUUGAAGACUUCGUCCCGUGUCCGGAUGGGACUCUCCUUGGCGUGGAAGGCAAACUUGGCGAUUCGGAUGUAGAUAUCCUUCUCUGUAAGCGACUCUGUGUAAUCCUAGCCCUCUCCGGUGUCUAUAUAAACCGGAGGGUUUAGUCCGUAGGACACAACAACAAUAACUACAAUCAUACCAUAGGCUAGCUUCUAGGGUUUAGCCUUCCUGAUCUCGUGGUAGAUCAACUCUUGUAAUACUCAUAUCAUCAAGAUCAAUCAAGCAGGAAGUAGGGUAUUACCUCCAUCGAGAGGGCCCGAACCUGGGUAAACAUCGUGUCCCCAGUCUCCUGUUACCAUUAGCCUUAGAUGCACAGUUCGGGACCCCCUACCCAAGAUCCGCUGGUUUUGACACCGACAUUGGUGCUUUCAUUGAGAGUUCCUCUGUGUCGUCCCCUGUGAGGCUCGAUGGCUCCUCCAACCUUCAACAACUCCGUCCAGGGUGAGAUUUUUCUCCCCGGACAGAUCUUUGUGUUCGGCGGCUUCGCACUGCGGGCCAACUCGCUUGGCCAUCUAGAGCAGAUCGACAGCUACGCCCCUGGCCGUCAGGUCAGGUUCGGGAACCUAAACUACACUACCGAUAUCCGUGGAGACUUGAUCUUCGACGGAUUCAAGCCCAUGUCAGCAGCGCCGAACGAUCGCCACGCGCAUGACUUAGAUCUGACAUCGGACAGUAUUCGGAAUAUUGCACCUGCUACGACUCCGGACAUCGGUCCGGAGCAAAUUGUGCCUCACGAGGACGGGCGGAUGGACAUCGGCCCGGAAGCCGCACACCCAUCGGUGUUAGGGCCGAAUGCAGACGCCUCUCCCAGGUAAAUCUAUAUCUUCAGAUCCCCGGACCUGUGUCCGGGCCUGGGCUCCGAACCGCGUGCAUCCGGACCCAUCGAGUCCGACUGGGCUCCAAUAAUGGAAUUCACCGCCGCGGAUAUCUUUCAGCACUCCCCCUUCGGUGAUGUGCUAAAUUCGUUAAAAUCUCUCUCUUUAUCAGGAGAUUCUUGGUCAGACUAUACCUGGCCCGUGUGGGACACGGAUGACUAAGAAAAUUGCCACCCACCCACCACCCACUUUAUAGCCACUGUCGAUGACCUAACAGACAUGCUUGACUUCGACUCCUACAACAUCGACAAUAUGGACGUCGAUGCAGGGGACGAUCUGGAUCCACCGCCCAUGGGGCGCUGGACUGCCACUUCAUCAUAUGACGUCUAUACGGUGGACACGCCUAAAGAAGACAAUGGUGACAAAAAGGACACAACGGAGGAUAAACCCCCCAGACACAAGCAAAAACGAUGGCGCAGGCGCCGCUCUAAGUCCAGUCACAGUAAAAAUAGCGAUAACAACACAAAACAGGAUGACACUCCGGUUGAAUCCGAAGGCAACAAUGACCAUAGGGACCCAGCGAUGGAGCAGGAUAAGCCAGGCCAUGCCAAACACAGUCCGGAGCAGACACCCGAUCACAGCGAUCUAGAGGGCCGAACUCAUCACACUGCCUCCAAAGAGGAGGACAGUCCGGUCGAUGAUGCAUUCAUCAUCUCGGAAAAGCGUUUGGAACAAGAUAAACCUCCGCAGAAAGCUCCUGGCCACGACGAGGAGCCUGAAGAAGCAGAAGCAAAGGCUUAAAACCGCGCAGGAUACGCUCAACCGAAGAUGGAACAAGGUGCUAGACACCGAAGGAAAAUGUGGCGACGAUCGCCACACAAAGAGCUACCCAAAGCGCAAAUUGCUACCCGAAUUCGACGACUAAGCCGCAGCGCCCAUUCCGCCAAAAAACAAUACGGCCACUAGGCCGGACCAACCACCUCAUGGCCGCAAUAGAGCAGCCACUGAUACCGCACACAAUUUACGAGAGCUCCUGGACAAAAGGCCAGUGCGACCAGAUCCAUCUACGGGUCCAGAGGACAUGCUCCGACGCGGGAUAAUGGUCACCAAAAUGAUCAUACUGAUCGAAUACUAGUCCAGAAUCAACACCGGGAGCAACAACAGCCGACAGCAUGCCGUGGCAUGGCCAGAUACAGAGGGGUUGUGCACCCCCUGUGCUUCACCGAUGAGGUGCUGGAUCAUGAAUUCCCACAAGGAUUCAAAACCGUGAACACAGAGGCAUACAACGGAACGAUGGAUCCCGGGGUCUGGAUUGAAGAUUUUAUCCUUCACAUACACAUGGCUCGUGGGGAUGACCUCCACGCCAUUAAAUACCUUCCCCUCAAGUUGAAAGGACUAGCUCGGCACUGGCUGAAGAGCCUCCCAGAAAACUCAAUUGGAAGUUGGGAGGAACUUGAGGAUGCUUUCAGGGCCAACUUUCAAGGAACCUAUGUUCGACCUCCGGAUGCAGACGAUUUAAGUCACAUAAUACAGCAGCCCGGAGAGUCAGCCCGCAAGCUUUGGAACAGAUUCCUCACUAAGAAGAAUCAAAUUGUCGACUGUCCGGAUGCUGAAGCCUUAGCGGCCUUCAAACAUAUUAUCCGAGACGAGUGCCUCGCCAGACACCUCGGCCAAGAAAAGCCAAGGACGAUGGCAGCCUUAACAAGACUUAUGACCCGCUUUUGUGUGGGCGAAGACAGCUGGUUGGCCCGUAGAGGCACCAAUGACCCGGGCACAUCUGAAAUUUGAGAUGGCAACCGGAAGCCACGGCGCACUAAGCACAAACGGCGGAAUAACGAUAGUCCGGACAACACGACGGUUAACACCGGAUUCAGGGGCCCUCGACCUAGUCAAGGAAAGAAGCCAUUUAAGGGCAGCAAAGAGGGACCGUCCAGCCUGAAUAAAUUCCUGGAUAGAUUGUGCCAAAUCCAGGGCACUUCCGACAAACCUGCAAAUCAUACCCACGGAGAAUGUUGGGUCUUCAAGCAGGCCGGCAAGUUAAACGCCGAACACAAGGGAAGGGAAACACCAAGCAAAGACGAGGAUGAGCCUCGCCAGCCAAACACCGGGGGCCAGGAAAAAUUCCCACCAGAAGUCAAAACGGUAAACAUGGUACACGCAACUCAUGCAGAGUUCGUCGCCCCCAAAUUCAAUCCUUGGGUGGCCUGCCCGAUCACUUUUGAUCACAAGGACUACCCGGCCAGUAUCCGGCACGGAGGAUUGGUGCCUUGGUGCUCGACCCAAUAAUUGAUGGAUACCAUCUCACUCGAGUCCUAAUGGACGACGGCAGUGGUCUUAAUCUAAUAUAUCAAGACACCAUCCGAAAGAUGGGGAUAGACCCAUCCAGAAUAAGCCAAAAUAGUGCCACCUUCAAUGGAGUGAUUCUGGGCGUUGUGGCCCACUGCUAGGGCUCCCUCGUAUUAGAAGUGACAUUCGGUUCUCCCGACAACUUCAGAAGCAAGGAACUACUCUUCAACAUCGCCCCCUUCAGCAGCGAUUAUCAUGCAUUACUCGGAAGAACGGCCUUCGCUUGCUUUAACGCAAUACCGAACUACGCAUGCCUCAAACCUAAGAUGCCCAGUCCACGUGGCGUCAUAACGGUUAGUGGAAACACAGAGCAGUAUGCGGCAGCUCCUGCUGCCGAACUCUAGGCGGCCUCUCCAACCAGAACGCAUUAUUGGUCGUUCAGACCACGGACACGGCUAGACGAGUCCGAAGCACCACCAUCAACAACAGCCCGGAUAAACCCUGGCUGGGUGCUAUACAUAUAGCCCCAUAAAUGGUACUAGGGGCUAUCUACAUAUAACAAAGCCCACAAUUCGGCUUGCCUCAUUAAUAGGCAAAUAUCUCGUAUCUCGAACAUCCAUUGAGAAUAACUAACUUUUGGCACGUUUACUCUCUUUUUUUGAGAUUUCAUUUUUACAGACAUUUUUCGUGCGACACCCUUCCAGGAUACGGCACAACGGAGACAAAGGCGCAGACGUGCAGCAGGGCUCCGCUCAAAGGUUUCUCUUUAGAUUAAGCCCCUGUGUAAACCUUCUUUACUAUCUUUUGUUGCUUGACAUCCCAUGGGUAUUUCAUACACCCAUAAGGGACACUGGCGUUAUAGGCUUUUUGCCACGACAGAUCAAUGCACGUACCUGGAAUUACAGGGUCAAGGGCGUUAUUCAGCCCAGUAUAUGUUAUAAAGUCUGAAUACCUUCGGGAGUGUUCGGCGUCGCGAGUUUGGCCUUAUAUGCAUCAGCUCCGAAUCAUGUCUUUGGUCAAAUGUUGAGUUAGCCUGGCUCCUACGUUUGCUGCCUUACAUUCCAUUCUAUCAGCUAAGGCGGCCAAAGGAGAACUACUGCGAUUGUGCCCUGGUUAUUCCGGAUGAGCACCUCGGUAGAGAAAGCCGAAAACUAACUGUCAUGAUACAGCGAGAGACCGGUCAACCACUCGAGGACUCAUCGGAAUCUAUAGGAUUCCUUCGCAUUAACAAAGGACCGGUUUCCCGGUCAAGUACGCGCACUGUAUCCGGAUGCACGCGGAAGUACCAGGGGCUACAUAGUAGCCCCACCUUUCAAACUCCUAUGGCUAAGUGAAAGUGUUACAGCUAUAUAGUCCGGUUGCCUGGUUUGACGUGCGAUCACCUCCUUAAUGGACCUAGACGUUGGAUCAAAUGUGUUUACACAUAUUUUCUCGAACACCCCCGCAUUAUAUGCAUGGGGGAUGAAGCCAACGACUGCUAACUUUCACGUUGUAUGCACACAUAAACAGCCACACAAGAGACAUUAUAAUACUUUCAGGUAAAAGUAUAAAAAACAACCUCUCUAAUCAAAACACAUAAUUGUUUACAAUUAAUAGACUUGUCACUCGAACAUGACAUUCUUCGAGCACUGACCCUCUAUUCUACCGGCACCUUCUAUGACUUGCUCAAAAUAGUGCUUAGCUGGGUCAUGGCUUCCCGCCCGGACCCUGCGUUGCAAUGCUGGUGGCCUCCAUAUCCGCCCAAUAUGUCUUCACACGGGCAAGAGCCAUCCGCGCACCCUCUAUGCACGCCGACAUCUUCAUGGCAUCGAUUUGUGAUCUGGCGCCAAACAAUUGUUGCACCAAACCAAAGUAGAUGUCCGGCUUUGGUCCUCUCGGACAUAGAUGGUCUACAGACCUCAUUGCAAGGCCGGAUAGCCUAUGGAGCUCGGCUAUAGCGGUCAUCUUCUCACUCAAUGGCAAUGAGCGCACUGGAGCGCUAAAUUGCGACCAAAAUAGUCUUUCUAUUUCGUUAUCUUUAUGAUCCUUGAACAACUUGGUCGCAUCAGUCGCACUCUUCGCCAAGUCCGCAUACUCAUAUGCAGCACUCCAUAGCUUAUCCCACGGAGCAUACUUUGGAUCUAAAAACUUCAUCCGCAACAAAUAAGGAUUUCCAGCCGUGAUUUCUCUGGCUUGUCGAAGUUCCUCCCGCGCGUCUCUAAUUUCAGAGCGUGUCUCCUUAGCUGAAUCCAAUGCCUUCUUCAGGUCAGCCGCCUUUGCCUGAUUCUCCUUCUCGAGAAGCUCAUACCGACCGGCGGCAUCCCUUAGCUCCACAGCCAUCCCAGCUAUCUUUUCUUCGCUUCGGAGAUGAGCGGCCUGUUCGGCUUUCAAGUCUUCACCUACCUUUAGAGCAGCCGCAUUGCUAACCCGGGCUUGUUCCUUGGCUAGGGCAAGCUCCGCCCUCAGGGCCUCAACGGCAGCAGCUCCGCCUGCAGCCACAUCACAUCAUAUUAAUAUUACAACCUUCUUACAAUUUCCUAAAGCAAAUGUGGAUAUAAGAAUGCAUACUGUGUGACUCCUCGAAUUGCUUGUUUACAAGCGUGACGUCGGCCUCCACCACGUCAAUCUGCCGCCUCAAUUCGGCGCACUCAGCGGUCUGGUCUAUCGCCGGACCCUUAGCAACCUGCACAUCAAUAAAAGUGUGAUGAUUACCUGGGAGUGUGAUCCUCCAUUUGCCGCCAUGGGCUGGCAUCCACAGUCUCAGGGGCUACUAUCUAUACAGAGCGCAUGUAUCGUGUGCGGUGCAAUCAAAAACUGCGUAUUUCGUGGCUUACCUCAAAGCCUUUGAGCAAGCUCCUAAAAGCUUCAUUUAACCCGCUUGUGGCAGAGGAAAUUUUCUCCAACACCGUACCUGUUAGUGUACGGUGACCCUCCGAGAGAGCAGCUGACUCUAGGAGGCCCGUCAGUAUGUUCGGCUAGACACCGGACUCUCCCGGACCCUUCUGAUUGUCCGCCACAGGAGCCGAACGCGCUGGGCUCGAGGCGGCCGAAGUGUUAGCUUCCGGCCCCAUUGGAUUUGGACUCCUCCGUGACGAUACCUCAGGGUCGCCUGCCCCACGGGGCGGAGAGUUUGGUGGGGUUUCACUCUCCAUCAUCUCCGGAAGAAGAUCCCCCGAGGACGAGCCCUAUUGAGAUGAACUGCUGGCUGGACUGCAAAAAAAUAGGUCCUGGUUAUUACUAUCAGAGAAAAAUGCAAUAAGCUUCUUGUUUAUUAAACUUACAGCUCGGUGGAGGGCUGGCCCGUUAGCGGGCACUAUGCGGUAAGAACGCCCUUCGGGGCAGGGCCCUUUGGUGAAGUUUUCUUCCCUUGUUUAGGCGCCCCCGUUUCAAAGUCUUCGGAAGCGGCCCUCUUCCUCCCGCGGGGGUAGGAAACCUCAGAUUCACCUCCCCGAUUCUCCUCCUCCAUGGAGACAUUAAUUCCCCCGGUUCGCAUGCAUAAUGUGUGAGGCUCACACUUGGCUUCUCCAGUCUUCCCUUCAUCUUUCUCCAAUAGCACAUGUCUUAGCCCCGCUCAAGCAUCCUGGCUAUCGCCGGACCGGGCGGGCCUUCGGGAAGCGGGGUCGGACACCUGAUCCUCUCCGCCUUACUAAGCCAAUCCUGGUUGCGGACAGUAUUCAGAACAAUGCUAUGACAAAUAUAAGCAAAAUGUUCGGUUAUAGGGUACUUACUUGGGUAUCUGGGCGAUUGCAACUCAGGCCCGCAUCCUCGGUGGUGUCCGGACACUUUAUUCGUGGUCCGAAGAACAACUUAUACAUUCCUUCGGGCGUCAUGCCGAAGAAGUGCUGAAUGGUUCGCGGAUCUUCUGGAUUGAACUCCCACAUCCGGAGAGGACAACGUUCGCACGGCAGGGCCCACCGAACUAGCAUUACCUGGAUUAUUUUGACAAGACUAAUGUCCCUCUCGAGGAGCUCCCGAAUGCGGCUCUACAACGUCAGUACAUCGUUUGCAGGCCCCCAGUUCAGUCCCACGUUGGCCCACGAUGCCAGUUGAGGCGGAGGGCCCGAGCGGAAGGCGGGGGCGAACGCCCACUUUGAGCCUCGAGGAGCCGUGACAUAGAACCACCUCCGUUGCCAUAGAUCAGAUACCUCCGAGAAGGAGCCUUCGGGCCAUGGGGCAUCGGCGUUCCUGCUUAUUGCGGCGUCCCCGCACUCUGCGUGCCGCCCCUCGAUCACCCUUGGCUUCACAUUGAAAGUCUUGAGCCAUAAGCCGAAGUGCGGGGUGACAUGGAGGAAGGCUUCGCACACGACGAUAAACGACGACAUGCGAAGGAUGGAGUCCAGAGCUAGAUCGUGAAAGUCUAGCCCAUAAUAGAACAUGAGCCCUCUCACGAAGGGAUCAAGAGUCAAGCCCAAGCCCCGAAGGAAGUGGGAGACAAAUACGACGCUCUCGUUAGGCUCAGGAGCAGGGAUAACAUGUUCGGGGGUGGGAAGCCUGUGCUUAACAUCGGCGGUCAAAUACCCGACCUCCCUGAGCUUCGCAAUAUCCUCCUCUGUGACAGAGGAAGCCAUCCACCGGCCUUGAUGGUCGGAUCUGGACAUGAUCAAAGAUCCGAGGUGCUUAAGCUUAAGCUUUGGGUGUUGGAACUCGAGGUGCGGGAAGGCGCAAGCGUGGAGAUAAAGGGAUAGGCCUCGACCCCUCUAUAAAGAGGAAGAAUAUCAAGCGUCCCCGUUCGGGACUUGCCUAAAAAUACGGAGUCAUGCCAACAGGCACGGUUGGGUUACCCAUACCCAUAUUUAUGAGGAUCCCACGAUAAGGGGGCACGAUCUCUGGUUUGACAAGACGUGCCAAGGAAACCGCCUCGUAAUAUGUGCGGAAGCAGGUUGUAGAAGACGGUUCGAAUAAAAACCGGAGUGUGGCGUGAUGUCACUUUUCAAAGAGUGGUUAGUAGAUUAGAUUCAUUGAUUAUUUUUCUCUCUACGGUGGUAUAUGGAAUUUAUCUUGCAGAGCCGGACACAGUCCAUGUGUUCGGAAUUUAUCUUGGAGUAUUUGGAGAUGGAACCCGCCUCGCAAUGCCGAAGACAAUCUACGCGCCGGACUCGUCGUCAUUGAAGCCUAGUUCAGGGGCUACUGAGGGAGUCCUGGAUAAGGGGUAUCCGGACAGCCGGACUAUAUACUUUGGUCGGACUGUUGGACUAUGAAGAUACAAGAUUGAAGACUUCGUCCCGUGUCCAGAUGGGACUCUCCUUGGUGUGGAAGGCAAGCUUGGCGAUUCAGAUGUAGAUCUCCUUCUCUGUAACCGACUCUGUGUAACCCUAGCCCUCUCUGGUGUCUAUAUAAACCGGAGGGUUUAGUCCGUAGGACAGAACAACAAUAACUACAAUCAUACCAUAGGCUAGCUUCUAGGGUUUAGCCUCCCUGAUCUUGUGGUAGAUCAACUCUUGUAAUACUCAUAUCAUCAAGAUCAAUCAAGCAGUUACCUCCAUCGAGAGGGCCCGAACCUGGGUAAACAUUGUGUCCCCAGCCUCCUAUUACCAUUAGCCUUAGACGCACAGUCCGGGACCCCCUACCGAGAACCGCUGGUUUUGACACCGACACCAAUCACCUCAUGGACGGGAUAGAGCAGCUAGCAACGGUGCACACGAGCCCGCACCCCCUCACCGUAAAGGAAGAGAAGUCGAGGCUUAGGGCCAGAAACACAAUUUACGUGAGGACCUGGAAAAAAAGGCCAGCAAGACCAUGUCCAUCUACGGAUCUAGGGACCGUGCCCUCGCACGGGACUGUGGUUAUCAAGCCAAAUAUGCCGGUCAUAUACCAGUUCGGAGUCGACUCCAAACACCACAACCGUCAGACUCACGCCACGACACAGCCAAGUACAGGGGUGCAGCACACCCCUUGUGCUUCACCAAUGAUGUGUUGGAUCAUGAAUUUCCAGAAGGGUUUAAACCCGUAAAUAUCGAGGCAUAUGAUGGAACGACGAACCCUGCGGUCUGGAUAGAAGACUUUAUUCUUCACAUCCACAUGGCUCGCGGAGAUGAUCUCCAUGCCAUUAAAUACUUACCCCUCAAGCUGAAAGGACCAGCUCGGCACUGGCUGAAAAGCCUCCCUGAAAAUUCCAUUGGAAGCUAGGAAGAACUUGAGGACGCUUUUCGUGCCAAUUUUCAAGGGACCUAUGUCCGACCUCUGGAUGCAGACGAUCUAAGUCACAUAAUCCAACAACCCGGAGAAUCAGCCCGUAAGCUUUGGAAUCGGUUUCUCACUAAGAAGAACCAAAUCAUUGAUUGUCCGGACGCCGAAGCCUUAGCGGCCUUCAAGCAUAGUGUCCGGGACGAAUGGCUAGCCAGACACCUUGGACAGGAAAAACCUAGGACAAUGGCAGCCUUAACCACACUCAUGACCGAUUUUUGCGUGGGUGAGAACAGCUGGUUAACUCGUAGCAGCACCAGCGAUCCUAGCACAUCUGAAGUCAGGGAUGGCAAUGGAAAGCCACGACGCAACAAAAACAAGUGUCGACAUAACGAAGUAAGCCCAGACGAUAUAUCGGUCAAUGCCGGAUUCAGUGGCCCCAGACCCGAUCAACGGAAGAAGCCAUUUAAAGGCAAUAAAGAUGGCCCAUCCAGCCUGGACAAAAUUUUAGAUAGGCCCUGUCAGAUCCAUGGCACCCCCGCUAAACUUGCGAACCAUACCAACCAUAGUUGUUGGGUCUUCAAACAGGCCAGCAAACUCAACGCCAAACACAAGGGGAAGGGACAUCAGAGCGAAGACGAGGACAAACCUCGCAAGUCGAACACGGGGGGACAAAAGAAAUUUCCACUGGAGGUCAAGACAGUGAACAUGAUCUAUGUCACUCAUAUCCCAAAAAAGAGCACAAAUGCGCACUCCGGGAUGUAUACACCGUCGAGCCUGUUGCCCCCAAAUUUAACCCAUGGUCGGCCUGUCUGAUCACCUUUGAUCGCAGGGAUCAUCUGACUAGUAUCCAUCAUGGGGGUUCAGCUGCCCUCAAUCCAAUAAUCGACGGAUACCACCUCACUCGCGUCCUUAUGGAUGGCGGCAGCAGUCUCAACUUGAUAUACUAGGACAAUGUCCGCAAGAUGGGGAUAGACCCAUCAAGAAUCAAGCCAAGCAGCACAACCUUUAAAGGAGUUAUACCGGGCAUAGAGGCCCGCUACACUGGCUCUUUAACAUUGGAGGUCAUAUUCAGCUCUCCUGACAACUUUCGAAGCGAAGAGCUAAUCUUCGACAUAGCUCCGUUCCGAAGUGGCUAUCAUGCAUUACUCGGAAGAACGGCCUUCGCCCGCUUCAAUGUAGUCCUGCAUUAUGCCUAUCUAAGGCUCAAAAUGCUUGGACCGCGUGGUGUUAUCACGGUCAGUGGAAACAUGGAGCGCUCUAUUCGUACAGAAGAGUACACGGCGGCUCUAGCAUCCGAAGCCCAAAACGUCCUAUUCAAGCCGAAUAGCUCAUGGUCGUUACGACCGCGGACACGGCUAAACGUGUCCGGCGCACGCCCCAGUACAGCAGCUCAGAUAAAUCCGAGCUCAAUUAGCAGUCACGCCCCCAUCGACUACCCAACAAGGUAAUGGCAUACAUGCCUCGUAUACACAAGUACACUCUCAAAAUUCCUUGGGCGGCGACGGGGGCACACUGCAUACAAAAUAGUCCAUAGUUCGGCUCGACCCUAUUCGGACUCUAUAAAGUAUGUUUCCAUGCUCAUUAAACGAGCCAGUUGUGUCUAUGGCCACUCUGAAUUCCUUUUACAAGCUUUUUAUUUUUUUUCACAGCUGGCCAUCAGACCCCUCCCUUCAAGGACACAUCACAAAGGAGAAAAUGGCGCAGAUGUGUAGCAUGGCCCCGCACUAUGGUUUCUUUUUAGAUUAAGACCCUGUGUAAACCUUUUUUAUCUCUCUUUGUAUUUAUGCUCUCCUGGCAUGUAAAAUGUCCAGGGUAGCUACAGACACUAUCUGCAUGUAUACGGCUGGCCGUACUAAAAGUGGAUAUUAUAGAAACAGCUUGGUUCAUAAUGUGCUUGGAGUUUUAUUCUCUCAUCACCCACGCUCUUUCCCCAUGUCAGAUUGCCACACGUGCCUUGAUAUCAGGUUCCAUUACCAGGGGCUCUAUUCAGCCCGGUAUAUGUUGAAAAAAUCCAAACACCUAUCGGGAGUGUUCGGCGUCGCGAGUUUGGCCUUAUAUGCAUCAGCUCCGAAUCAUGUCUUUGGUCAAUAGUUGGGUUGCUUGGUCCUGUGCUUACUACCUUAUGUUCCGUUGUAUCGGCUAGGGUAGUAAAGGGAGAACUCCUGCCAUUGUCCCGGUUCAUCCGGAUGAGCACCUCAGUAGAGAAAGCCGAAAACUAACUGUCAUGAUACGGCGAGAGAUGGUCAACCACUCGAUGACUCAGCGGAAUCUUCGCGAUUCCUUCCACAUUAACAAAGGACUGUCUUUCCGGUCACAUACGAAAAUGCGCCGUAUUAGGAUAACAGCAUACGUACCAGGGGCUAUAUCGUAGACCCACCGUCAAACUCCUAUAUCAACAAACACUUCACUCGAAGAUAAUAUCUUUCGAGCACGGACCCUCUAUCAAGCGGGCACCCUCUAGGACAUCUUCAAAAUAAUGUUCUGGCGUAUGAUACUCCUUGCCCUUGGGUGGACUUCUAGCUGCAAUAUCGGUGGCCCUCAUCUUUGCCCAGUAUGUCUUGACACGGGCAAGGGCCAUCCGUGCACCUUCUAUGCACGUUGACCGCUUAACAGCGUCGAUACGCGGCACCGCAUCAACAAGUCGGUGCACCAAACCGAAAUAACUAUUCGGAAUUGGCUCAGUCGGCCAUAGCCGCACUAUUACGUCCCUCAUAGCAGAUACGGAUUGCUUGUGGAGCUCGACCCAUAUGGUCAUCUGUUCGUUCAGCAACAUUGGACGCCUCGACACGCUGAAUUGCGACCAGAAAAGCUUUUCCGUCGCAUAUCCUUCUUGCGCUUGGAAAAACUGGGUCGCAUCAGAGACACUCUCCGGCAAGUCCAAAAAUGCGUCUGGAGAACUCCACAUCUGGUUAAGCGAGGCAUACUUCGGAUCACCGAAUUUAGUUUGCAAUAAGAAGGGCUUACCAGCCGCGAUCUCCCCGGCUUGCCGGAUCUCCUCCCGAGUCGCUCUAGACUCAGACCGUGCUUCUCUCGCCUCUUGUAAGGCCUUGUCAAGAUCAGCCGUUUUGGUUUGGUUAUCUUUUUCAAGCAAUUUGCAUCGGCCAGCGGCAUCCUUUAGCUCAAACACCAGAGUAGAUAUUCUCUCCUCGCACUGGCACCGAGCAGCCUGUUCGGCCUUCAAAUCAGCAGCCGCCUUUUAGGCAGUCGCAUUACUCAGCCUGGCUUGCUCCUUGGCCCGGGCAAGCUCAGCCCGAAGGGUUUCAACCGCGGCGGCACUAUUUGCAGUUAUGCAUACUCAAUUCUCAGUGUCACGCUCAUGUUAUAAUAAUAGCAUGUACUAAGUGCCCCGAAGACAUACCUUGCGCCUCGUUGAGCCGCCUGUUAAUAAGCGUGAUGUCAUCAUCCGCUACAUCAACUUUCCACUUCAGACGUGCCACCUCCGUAGCUUGGGCAGUCGCCAUGAAUGAAACAACCUGUGUUUUAAUAAGUCAGGACAUUUCUUGGGUAUAUAUUUCUUGACCCUCUGAUCGCCUCCCUUUGGACGACAACCAGAGUCUCAGGGGCUACUAUCUGUACACAAGCGCAUUUUGUGUUUAUAGCAUUCAAAAAUACUACAUUACGUACCUCGAAGCCUCCUAGUAGGCUCAUGAAGGCUUCAGCCAAUCUGCUUUUUGCGAACCAAACCCUCUCAACCACCGUACCCAUCAAGGUACGGUGUUCCUCUGAGACGGACGCAUGUGGAAAUGUGUCCAUCAAUAUAUUUGGCGCCCUCGGAUCCGAAGCAGUAUAGCCGUCCCUCGGAAGCCGGAUAGUCCGAGGCCUUUGUUGUCAUUCCUUGUAGGGGGCACACACCCCGUACCUCGGGCAGCCGAAGUGUCAUCUUCGGGCCCGAUCCUCGCUCUUCCUCGCAUUGUCUGUUUAUCGGGAACAAUCCUCUCGGACGACACCCCGAUGUCAUCUGCCUCAUCGAGAAGGGAGAUUUGUGGAGGUGUCUCACUCUCCAUCAUCUCUGGGAGAAGAUCCCCCAAGGAGGAGGACUGUUGGGGAAGGAUGCAUGCCGAACUGCAAACAUAUGUUUCAAAAUGUUAUUCUGGCAACCAGGAAAGAACGGGAUAUGUUUGACACAUCCUUGUUCACUUACGAUUUGGCUAGGGGCCCACCUUUUUGGAGAGAUUGUGUGUCAACGUCGCCUCCCUGGCCAGAGCCCCCUUACACGGAUAUCUUCCCUCGCUUAGAAUCUCCUAUCUUCAGGUCUUCGGAGGCGGUCCUUUUCUUCCCACAAGGGGAAGGGACGUCAGUUUUUCCUUCCCUUCCGUCUUCGGAAGAGGGAGUUCCGAUCUCCCCGGACAGGAUGUCGGGCGAGCCUCUAGAAUUAGGGCCUCCUUGGGCCUCCUUGUCCUCCCUCACCGGCACUUGAUAGGGUGCCGGUGCCAGCAUCCUUGUUAACACUGGAUCAGCUGAGUCUUCAGGAAGAGGAGCUGAACACCUAAUUCACUCCGCCUUCUUUAUCCGGCCCUGGCUGAGUACAAUUUUCUCAGUACAUUGUUAUGAGGAACUUGACUAAACUAUGUUCGGGAGUUAAAGUGCUUACCGAGGUAUCCGGAUGAUUGCAGUCAGGGCUGAUGUCUCCUGUAGUAUCUAGCCACUAUUUUCGUGCACCGAAGAAUAAUUUCCACAUCUCUUUGAGCAUCGUGCCAGAGAGGUGUUGAAGGGUUCGUGGUCCUUCCGGAUUGAAUUCCCACAUGCGGAGGGGACGUCGCUGGAACGGAAGGACCCGGCAGACUAGCAUUACUUGGAUUAUACUGAUGAGACCGGUGUCCUUUUCAAUGAGGCUCCGAAUGCGGCUUUGCAGCGUCUACACUUCAUCAACGGAUCCCCAAUCCAGCCCCUUAUUAAUCCACGAUGCAAGUUGUACUGGAGGGCCAGAACGGAACGUAGCUGUAGUUACCCACUUUUUGCCGCGAGGUUCAGUGAUGUAAAACCACUCUCGUUGCCAUAGGUCGAAAGAUUCUGUGAAGGAGCCCUUUGGCCAAGGAUAAUUGGUAAGUUUGCUUAUUGCAGCACCUCCGCACUCCGCUUGUUUCUCAUCGACUACCUUUGGUUUCACAUUAAAGGUCUUGAGCCAUAAGCCGAAGUGUGGGGAAAUACGGAGGAAGGCCUCGCACGUGAUGAUAAAUGCCAAGAUAUGAAGGAAGGAGUCUGGGGCAAGAUCAUGAAAAUCUAGUUCGUAAUAAAACAUUAGCCCUCAAACAAAGGGGUGAAGAGAAAACCCUAUCCCUCGGAGGAAGUGAGAGACGAAUAUUACCCUCUCAUUGGAUCUGGGAGUAGGGAUAACCUGCUCUUGAGCAGGAAGCCUAUGGAGGAUUUCCACAGUCAAGUAUCUUGCCUCCCAGAGCUUCGCAAUAUCCUCCUCUGUAAUAGAGGAGACCAUCCAUCGGCCUUGAAGGCUAGAUUUGGACAUGGCAGGGAAGCAUGGAACAACUAGGUUGAACCUUGGGUGUUUGAACUCGAGGUGGGAGAAGUAAAGGAAAGGAUUAGUGUGGAGGAGAAAAGACAGGUCUUAACCCCUUUAUAAAGGCGNNNNNNNNNNNNNNNNNNNNNNNNNNNNNNNNNNNNNNNNNNNNNNNNNNNNNNNNNNNNNNNNNNNNNNNNNNNNNNNNNNNNNNNNNNNNNNNNNNNNNNNNNNNNNNNNNNNNNNNNNNNNNNNNNNNNNNNNNNNNNNNNNNNNNNNNNNNNNNNNNNNNNNNNNNNNNNNNNNNNNNNNNNNNNNNNNNNNNNNNNNNNNNNNNNNNNNNNNNNNNNNNNNNNNNNNNNNNNCCAAGGAAUCAUGCCAACAGAACGGUUGGGUUACCCACGCCCAUGUGAUGAGAAUCCCGUAAUAAGGGGACAUGAUCUCUGCUUUGACAAGACCUGCCAAUAAAACCGCCUCUCGAGACGUGGAGCGGCAGGAUAGAAAAUAAUGGUCGGGCAAUGAUGUAAUGUCACACUACGAAAAGUUGUCAGCAGAUUGGACUCAUGAAAAUAUUAUACUCUCUACGGUCGUGUGUGGAAUUUAUUUUGCAGAGCUGGACCUUAUUUUUGUUUGGAGACGAAUUUGGAGUAUUUGGAGGAGGAACCCGCCUUGCAAUGCCGAAGACAAUCUGCGCGCCGGACACCUAGUCAUUGAAGCCUGGUUCAGGGGCUAUUGAGGGAAUCCUGGUUUAAGGGGUCCUCGGACGUCCGGACUAUUAACAUGGGUUGGGUUGUUGGACUAUGAAGACACAAGACCCAAGACUUCUUCCCGUGUCCAGAUGGGACUCUCCUUUGCGUGGAUGGCAAGCUUGGUGAUUCGGAUAUGUAGAUCCCUUUCUCUGUAACCGACUUUGUGUAACCCUAGCCCCCUCCGGUAUCUAUAUAAACCGAAGGGUUUAGUCCAUAGAGAAAAAACAACAAUCAUAAUCAUAGGCUACACUCCAGGGUUUAGCCAUUACGAUCUCGUGGUAGAUCAACUCUUGUAAUACUCAUAUUUAUCAAGAUUAAUCAAGCAGGAAGUAGGGUAUUACCUCCAUAGAGAGGGCCCGAACCUGGGUAAACACCGUGUCCCCUGUCUCCUGUUACCAUCAACCUUAGACACACAGUUUGGGACCCCCUACCCAAGAUCCGCCGGUUUUGACACCGACAGUACACCUUCUAUCACAGAUCCGAAGGCAAGAUAUUCAUUGCUAAAAAUGGAUUCUUUCUAGAGAUGGAGUUUCUCUCAAAAGAAGUGAGUGGGAGGAAAGUAGAACUUGAUGAGGUAAUUGUACCUUCUCCUGAAUUGGAAAGUAGUUCAUCACAGAAAUCAGUUCCAGUGAUUCCUACACCAAUUAGUGAAGAAGCUAAUGAUGAUGAUCAUGAAACUUCAGAUCAAGUUACUACCGAACCUCAUAGGUCAACCAGAGUACGGUCCACACAAGAGUGGUACAAUAAUCCUAUUCUGGAAGUCAUGUUACUAGACCAUGAUGAACCUAUGAACUAUGAGGAGGCGAUGAUGAGCCCAGAUUCCGUGAAAUGGCUUGAGGCCAUGAAAUCUGAGAUGGGAUCCAUGUAUGAGAACAAUGUGUGGAGCUUGGCGGACUUGCCCGAUGAUCGGCAAGCCAUAGAAAAUAAAUGGAUCUUCAAGAAGAAGACUGACGCUAACGGUAAUGUUACUAUCUACAAAGCUCGACUUGUUGCGAAAGGUUUUUGACAAGUUCAAGGAGUUGACUACGAUGAGACCUUCUCACCCGUAGCGAUGCUUAAGUCUGUCUGAAUCAUGUUAGCAAUUGCCGCAUUUUAUGAUUAUGAAAUUUAGCAAAUGGAUGUCAAAAAUGCAUUCCUUAAUGGACUUCUUAAAGAAGAGUUGUAUAUGAUGCAACUAGAAGGUUUUGUUGAUCCAAAAGGUGCUAACAAAGUGUGCAAGCUCCAGCGAUCCAUUUAUGGACAGGUGCAAGCCUCUCGGAGUUGGAAUAUACGCUUUGAUAAUGUGAUCAAAGCAUAUGGUUUUAUACAGACUUUUGGAGAAGCCUGUAUUUACAAGAAAGUGAAUGGGAGCUCUAUAGCAUUUCUAAUAUUAUAUGUGGAUGACAUAUUGUUGAUUGGAAAUAAUACAUAAUUUCUGGAUAGCAUAAAGGGAUACUUGAAUAAGAAUUUUUCAAUGAAAAACCUCGGUGAAGCUGCUUAUAUAUUGGGCAUCAAGAUCUAUAGAGAUAGAUCAAGACGCUUAAUUGGACUUUCACAAAGCACAUACCUUGAUAAAUUUUGAAGAAGUUCAAAAUGGAUCAGUCAAAGAAAGGGUUCUUGCCUAUGUUACAAGGUGUGAAGUUGAGUCAGACUCAAUGCCCGACCACUGUAGAAGAUAGAGAGAAAAUGAAAGUCAUUCCCUUUGCCUCGGCCAUAGGUUCUAUCAUGUAUGCAAUGCUGUGUACCAGACCUGAUGUGUGCCUUUCUAUAAGUUUAGCAGGGAGGUACCAAAGUAAUCCAGGAGUGGAUCACUGGAUAGCAGUCAAGAACAUCCUGAAAUACCUGAAAAGGACUAUGGAUAUGUUUCUUGUUUAUGGAGGUGACAAAGAGCUUAUCAUAAAUGGUUACAUUUAUGCAAGCUUUGACAGUGAUCCGGAUGACUCUAAGUCACAAACCGGAUAUGUAUUAAUAUUGAAUGGUGGAGUUGUCAAUUGAUGCAGUUCCAAACAGAGCGUCGUGGCAGGAUCUACGUGUGAAGUGGAGUACAUAGCUGCUUCGGAAGCAGCAAAUGAAGGAGUCUAGAUGAAGGAGUUCAUAUCCGAUCUAGGUGUAAUACCUAGUGCAUCGGGUCGAAUGAAAAUCUUUUGUGACAAUACUGGAUAAAUUGCCUUAGCGAAGGAAUCCAGAUUUCACAAGAGAACCAAACACAUCAAGAGAUGCUUCAACUCCAUCCGCGAUCAAGUCAAGGAGGAAGACAUGGAGAUUUGCAAGAUACAUGCGGAUCUGAAUGUUGCACACCCCUUGACUAAGCCUCGUCCAUGAGCAAAACAUGAUCAGCACCAAGACUCCAUGGGUGUUAGAAUCAUUACUAUGUAAUCUAGAUUAUUGACUCUAGAGCAAGUGGGAGACUGAAGGAAAUAUGCCCUAGAGGCAAUAAUAAAUUGUUAUUUAUAUUUCCUUACAUCAUGAUAAAUGUUUAUUACUCAUGCUAGAAUUGUAUUAACCGGAAACUUAGUACAUGUGUGAAUACAUAGACAAAACAAAGUGUCCCUAGUAUGCCUCUACUUGACUAGCUCGUUAAUCAAAGAUGGUUAUGUUUCCUAACCAUAGACAUGUGUUGUCAUUUGAUGAAUGAGAUCACAUCAUUAGAGAAUGAUGUGAUGGACAAGAGCCAUCCGUUAGCUUAGCAUAAUAAUCAUUAAGUUUCAUUGCUAUUGCUUUCUUCAUGACUUAUACAUGUUCCUCUGACUAUGAGAUUAUGCAACUCCCGGAUACCGGAGGAACACCUUGUGUGCUAUCAAAUGUCACAACAUAACUAGGUGAUUAUAAAGAUGCUCUACAGGUGUCUCCGAAGGUGUUUGUUGGGUUGGCAUAGAUCAAGAUUAGGAUUUGUCACUCCGUGUAUCGGAGAGGUAUCUCUGGGCCCUCUCGGUAAUGCUCAUCACUAUAAUCCUUGCAAGCAAUGUGAUUAAUGAGUUAGUUGCGGGAUGAAGCAUUACAGAACGAGUAAAGAGACUUGCCGGUAACGAGAUUGAACUAGGUAUGAAGAUACUGACAAUCGAAUCUCGGGCAAGUAACAUACCGAUGACAAAGGGAACAGCGUAUGUUGUUGUGCGGUUUGACCGAUAAAGAUCUUCAUAGAAUAUGUAGGAACCAAUAUGAGCAUCCAGGUUCCGCUAUUGGUUAUUAAUCAGAUAUGUGUCUCGAUCAUGUCUACAUAGUUCUCGAACCUGUAGGGUCCGCAUGCUUAACGUUCGAUAACGAUUUGUAUUAUGAGUUAUGUGUUUUGGUGACCGAAGUUUGUUCCGAGUCCUGGAUGAGAUCACGGACAUGACAAGGAGUCUCGAAAUAGUUGAGUGGUAAAGUUUGAUAUAUUGGAAGAGUACAUUCAGACACCAGAAUAGUUUCGGGAAGUUUCGGAUAAGUUUCGGAGUACCGGGAGGUUACCGUAACCNNNNNNNNNNNNNNNNNNNNNNNNNNNNNNNNNNNNNNNNNNNNNNNNNNNNNNNNNNNNNNNNNNNNNNNNNNNNNNNNNNNNNNNNNNNNNNNNNNNNNNNNNNNNNNNNNNNNNNNNNNNNNNNNNNNNNNNNNNNNNNNNNNNNNNNNNNNNNNNNNNNNNNNNNNNNNNNNNNNNNNNNNNNNNNNNNNNNNNNNNNNNNNNNNNNNNNNNNNNNNNNNNNNNNNNNNNNNNNNNNNNNNNNNNNNNNNNNNNNNNNNNNNNNNNNNNNNNNNNNNNNNNNNNNNAAGGGGUGGGGGUGGCGCCCCCCUUUCCUUCUCCUACUCCCUCUCCUUUCCCCUUUGCUACUCCAGCAAAAAGGAAAAAAGUGGGGGAAAUCCUACUAGGUUUGGAGUCCUAGUAGGACUCUCCCCUCGAUGGCGCGGCCCCUGGCCGCCGGCCUCCUUCCCCCUCCUUUAUAUACGGGGGCAGGGGGCACCCCAAAGGCACAACAUUGUCUUAGCCGUGUGCGGUGCCCCCCUCCACCGUUUACUCCUCCAGUAUCAUCGUAGUGCGUAGGUGAAGCCCUGCACAGAUCACAUCACCAACACCAUCAUCAUGCCAUUGUGCUAACGAAACUCUCCCUCGACCCUCUGCUGGAUCAAGAGUUCAAGGGACGUCAUCGAGUUGAACGUGUGCUGAACUCGGAGGUGUUGUACGUUCGGUGCUAGAUCGGUUGGAUCGUGAAGACGUUCGACUACAUCAACCAUGUUAACCUCACUCUUCCGCUUUCGGUCUACGAGGGUACAUGGACAAACUCUCCCCCUCUCGUUGCUAUGCAUCUCCUAGAUAGAUCUUGCAUGAUCAUAGGAAUUUUUUUGAAAUUGCAUGCUACGUUUCUCAACAAAUGGUUUAUUGAAUCUCGAUCAUAGUGAUACACAUAUUCAUAAUAUUGAUGCCAAAAGAUGCAAAGUUUAUAAUGAUAGUGCAACAUACUUGUGGCACUGCUGUUUAAGUCAUAUUGGUGUAAAGCGCAUGAAGAAACUCCAUGCUGUUGGGAUUUUGGAAUCACUUCAUUAUGAAUCAUUUGAUACUUGCGAACCAUGCCUCAUGGGCAAGAUGACUAAAACUCCAUUCUCCGGAACAAUGGAGCGAGCUAAUGACUUAUUGGAAAUAAUACAUACCGAUGUAUGCGGUCCGAUGAGUGUUGACGCAUGCAGUCGGUAUUGUUAUUUUCUAACCUUCACAGAUGAUUUGAGAAGAUAUAGGUAUAUCUACUUAAUGAAACACAAGUCUGAAACAUUUGAAAGUUCAAAGAAUUUCAGAGAGAAGUGGAGAAUCAUCAUAACAAGAAAAUAAAGUUUCUACCACCUGAUCGCGGAGGCGAAUAUUUGAGCUAUGAGUUUGGCCUUCAUUUAAACAAUGUGGAAGUGUUUCCCAACUCACGCCACCUGGAACACCACAGCAUAAUGGUGUGUCCAAACAUCGUAAUCGCACUUUAUUAGAUAUGGUGCGAUAUAUGAUGUGUCUUAUCGAUUUGCCACUAUCGUUUUGGGGUUAUGCAUUAGAGACAGUUGCAUUCACGUUAAAUAGGGCACCGUCUAAUCCAUUGAGACGACGCCAUAUGAACUGUGGUUUAGCAAGAAACCUAAGCUGUUGUUUCUUAAAAUUUGGGGUUGCGACCCUUAUGUCAAAAGGCUUCAACCUGAUAAGAUCGAACCCAAAUCGGAGAAGUGCGUCUUCAUAGGAUACCUUAAGGAUACUAUUGGGUACACCUUCUACCACAUAUCCGAAGGCAAAAAUCUUUGUUGCUAAGAAUGGGUCCUUUCUAGUGAAGGAGUUCUCCAAAAGAAGUGAGUGGGAGGAAAGUAGAACUUUAUGAGGUAAUUGUACCUUAUCUCGAUUUGGAAAAUAGCUCAUCAAAUAAAUCCGUUCCCGUGAUGCCUACACCAACUAGAGAGGAAGCUAAUGAUGAUGACCAUGAAACUUCAGAUCAAGUUACUACCGAACCUCGUAGGUCAACCAAAACACGAUCGACACCGGAGUGGUAUGGUAAUCCUGUUCUGGAAGUCAUGUUACUAGACCAUGGUGAAUUUACGAACUAUGAAUAAGCUAUGAUGAGCCCAGAUUCUGAUAAAUGGCUUGAGGCCAUGAAAUCUGAGAUAGGAUCCAUGUAUGAGAACAAAGUGUGGACUUUGGUGGAUUUGCCCGAUGAUCAGCGACCCAUAGAGAAUAAAUGGAUCUUCAAGAAGAAGGCUGACGUUGAUGGUAAUGUUACUAUCUAUAAAGCUUGACUUGUCGCAAAAGGUUUUUGACAAGCUCAAGGAGUUGACUACGAUGAGACUUUCUCCCUCGUAGCAAUGCUUAAGUCUGUCCGAAUCAUGUUAGCAAUUGCCACACUUUAUGAUUAUGAAAUCUAGCAAAUUGACAUCCAAACUGCAUUCCUUAAUGGAUUUCUUAAAGAAUAGUUGUAAAUGAUGCAACCAGAAGGUUUUUUCAAUCCUAAAGGUGCUAACAAAGUGUGCAAGCUCCAGCGAUCCAUCUAUGGACUGGUGCGAGAAUCUCGAAGUUGGAAUAUACGCUUUGAUGAGGUGAUCAAAGCAUAUGGUUCUAUACAGACUUUUGGAGAAGCCUGCAUUUACAAGAAAGUGAAUGGGAGAUCUAUAGCAUUUCUAAUAUUAUAUGUGGAUAACAUAUUGUUGAUUGGAAAUAAUACAGAAUUUCUGGAUAGCAUAAAAGGAUACUUGAGUAAGAAUUUUUCAAUGAAAGACCUCGGUGAAGCUGCUUAUAUAUUGGGCAUCAAGAUCUAUAGAGAUAGAUCAAGACGCUUAAUUGGACUUUCACAAAGCACAUACCUUGAUAAAUUUUGAAGAAGUUCAAAAUGGAUCAGUCAAAGAAAGGGUUCUUGCCUAUGUUACAAGUUGUGAAGUUGAGUCAGACUCAAUGCCCGACCACUGCAGAAGAUAGAGAGAAAAUGAAAGUCAUUCCCUUUGCCUCAGCCAUAGGUAUAAUAGUGAUCCGGGAGUGGAUCACUGGACAACGGUCAAAAUUAUCCUUAUUUACCUAAGAGGACUAAGAAAAUGUUUCUCGGUUAUGAAGGUGAUAAAGAGUUCAUUGUAAAGUCUUACGUCGAUGCAAGCUUUGACACUGAUCUAGAUGACUCUAAGUCUCAGUCUAGAUACGUCACUACUGCAGGAUGCUGCUAACGCGACACUACGAUCAGAGACUCUUCAAAAAACUGUGUGCAAUGCAAUAAUCGCAAACGAUGGUGUAGGAAAAUCGUCAAAAAUGUGCAAAACGUUUGCAAUGAUGGAUGCAUCAAACACGGUUCAGAUUUUAGUUGUGUGUGCGAUGCAGGGCAUACGGUUCAGUUCAAUGAACUGUUUGCGAUGAGGAGGAACAAAAGAAACAGGCAACUAGAUGAAGGUGUGUGCGAUAUACAGCAUACGGUUCGCUCGGAUGAACUGUUUGUGAUUAGGCAACACAAAAGAAACGGUUAGGCAGAUCAAGGUGUGUGCGAUAUACAACAUGCGGUUCACUCGGAUGAACUAUUUGCGUUGAGAUAAAAGAACAGAAACGGUUCAAUAUAAUAAGAUGUGUGUGAUACACGGCAAACAGGCUGUAAUCAGAAAUGUGUGCGAAGACCGAUAAUAACACAGACGAUUGCUUCUAAUAAGACGUAUGUGAUAUGCUCUGUUUACACAACAUGUAUUGGCCAUUGGGGGACGGGCGGCCAUCCGGAUACGCCAUAAGGAUGUGAAGAGGCAUCCUAUAUCAGCAAGGACUAGUUGUUCCACCAGUAGCUCAUCUAAGAGAACUCUCAAGUUAAGUGUGAUCAGGCUGGAGCAGCCAUCAGAUGGGUGAUUGGAUGGGAAGUUGUGUUGAUGUUAAAUUAACUGAUAGGAUGGGCCAUUUCGGUCAAAUGACUGAAAUGACCCAUUCCCUCAACUAAUUUAACCUCGAGGUCCUUGUUUUUUGUUUUUAUUUUAUUUUUUAACAUAUGCUAAAGAAGGUCUACCGCAUUACUUUUUGACAAUGUGUAUACGUGGCAUACAAUUGAUCCAUCCGACAUGUUUGUGAUGGAAUAAGUCGUGUGUGUUGUGGGCAAACGCUUGAUAGUGUACAACCGUUUGCGAUUGAUGAAUUUAUCACCUACGGGUUCCCUAGUGUGGUCCGUGUUCAUCUAAUCAUCAUCUACUUCUUAUGCUAGCUCGAUGUUCCUUAUAUAUGCUAAGUUUCCAUUAAUUGAUGGUGUUUUAUAAACACGCCACCAUUUCCUGCCAUUUCCUCACCUUUUUCCCGCUACCCAGCAAUAUUGCACAUAUACCUAGGUGCGGCGCGACACAUGGAGGCAACAAGCGCAGCCUGUAGCACAUCCACCUUUUCCCAAUGCACCAAAGUGUCGCCUCUGCCAUCAACCUCAUCGAUGAGGAAAACCAGAAGGCACCACGGCCUGUCGAGGCCGUGAUGCUCCCUGGCAACCUGAUGGAUGACGUUGUUAUGCGCGUCAUCAUCAGGGUUGAGCAGACCCUUGGCGCAUGGCGCUUCAGCGCCGCGGAUCAAGAUAGGCAUGUCAACACCAAGAGGCUGCAAAUCGCUUCACAACAUGAUUGAUGGCGCGCCACAGAGCAAGCUAGGCGCAUCCGCACCAAUAGGUUGUGGCUCAACGCACGACGAGAGUGUUGGAGCGCCGCAGAGCGAGAGGCGCGGCGUGCCGCAUAGCAAGAGCGGAUCCAUCAGUGCUUGCCGGCUGUCGACAGGGCGUCGCAGCUAGGUAUGCGUCCCGUCAGUAACCCCAUUCCUCGCUAGGAGUGGGCAUAGUCCCUCUGCGCCGUACUUGCACCAGAGGCCAGCCGCGCCAUACUUGCACCAGACGUCCGCCGCGCCGUUCGCAUGGGUCGCGCCAUUCGCCUUGUCUGUGGACCGCUCGAUGCCAACACGCUGGUUGGUAGGCUCGACCGCCUCCUGGGCCCAGGUGUGCACCUGGGCGCAGUAGAGGAACAUGGCCGUCGCAUCCUCGAGGUGGUGAUCUCCGAUCAAAUAGCCAACUUGGAGCUCGAAAUCGCACUCCGGAUAUACUGCGAGCGUGUCGACCGCUUGGACGAAUGCAUGCACGAGUUUAGGCAGAGCCAAGAGCUACCAAAGGCAAGGGCUGCUGGUCAUGGUCUCAUGGACGCGUUUUAUUUUGUUGUGUCAUUUCAACGUGGAUAGCUAUGUAUUCACAGCAAUCAUACUAUUACUCUGUUUAUUGCUCUGUUUCAAUGUGUGUAUUCUGUUUUCCGUUCUUAUAUGUUAUGUUUCAAUGUGUGUUUAUAUGCUUUCCAUUCUGUAUAUGUGGAUGAUAAUAGAUAGAUUCAAAUUAGUAUACAAAAAUAGAUAGAAAAUGGAAUUCAUAAUAUAUAUAAUAUUAAUUGUUCAUUAGUUCAUCAUAGAAUAUAAAUAAUAUCAUCGCAUAUACGUAAUGAUACUUAACUACUAGGUACAAUGCAUAAAAUUGAAAACAAACAAUACUAAAACUAAUAAUCCCUCCUGGGGCCAUUAUUCCGGCAGACCCUCGCCAGCAGCUCCCUGGUGCGCGACGUCUUCCCAGAGCGGAGGCAGUACUCCGCCUUCUCCGCCUCGCAGCGCUUGAUGUGCCGAUCUGCCUCUUGCAGGCGAACGUGCGCGAACGAUCUUGCCAUUUUGUUGGGCGCCCACCGAAGCUCCUAAUUGGUGGCACGCUGGAGCUUAUCGGACCAGCUCCACGCAGCGACGGCGCCUAGAACCUCUGGCCUUUCUCGCAAAGUACCCGUCUUCGUACACCUCCUCCGCACGACGAUGCACCCUCCCACAAAGCUCUGCCGCCUCCUUUUUUAGGGCAGCAUCACGGGCUUCACAAGCCACCUGGUACCUGGCAUCCUCCUCCGCUAUCUCCUUCUUGAAAGCAACUUGCCUUGCUUUCUCAGCCGGCGGCAGCGACUUCCAAAGACAAAGAUCGUACUGGCCCCAAAAUCAAUCCAAAGUUGGGGGGUCCGGCGCAAACUCGUCCGACGGUGUGUAGGUAUCCUCGUCGCUGCUCUUCGAGUGAGCAUCCUCAGUGGGUUGCGACUCCUCGUCGGUGCAUGAGCAGACCGGCAGCACCAUGCCAGAGAUUUGAGAGAAAGAGAGAGAGGACAAGCAAGGGGAGGAUCUAGAUGAGAAUGCAGGCGGGACGACAUCAGCAAGGUAGUAUUUAUUGGCGGUCGGAAUCUAGAUCGAUGGGAAUAGUACACACGCCGGUCGCCAGAAUUUACGAGUACUAUAGUGUGAAUUACACAUGGUUCCCGCAGCAAAAUCCAUGUGUGAACAUAAUAGCUGACGGUUCCCAAUGCAAAACUGUGUCUGAUUAAUAGAGACCUCCACUCACCUUCCAAACCUCGAGGCGCGAAAUAGAGUGCCAAUCGUGUGCGGCCAGUUGUCUUGCCAGAUUUUACAUUUUCUUUUUUGAACACCGAUAUUUACAUCGUCCGAUGAUUUUUUAACUCGCACACAAGUACACAAAUAUGAUUUUUCAAACCGUUAUGGUUAGUCGUUGCAUGUAGAUGUAGUUCAAGUUUGAAUUACGGUCAUUAAAUGGCGACAAAAUCACUUAAAUGUCUUCAGAAGGUCAAAUGACUCCUGAAAUUUUCCAAAUUUUCACAUCACGGUUGUAUUAGUGCAUGUUACAUGUAGAAAAAAUUGAAGGCUGUAAGAGGAAGCUAUCUGUCGUUCGUCAUCAAACAUGCAUUGUUCCCUUCUCGGAAGCAUGAGCCUACUAGUGAGUUGCUCCGGUUUGUGAGGGGUGUGUGUCCAAACUUUCGUCAAACAUGCCAUUUUUUUUACCACAUCAUCUUGGUGGCAUGACAUUACAUCAAGCAAGGUUUCAUGUUUUUCUGAUCAUUUUUAAUUUUUUGGAAUUAAAUUGCCAUGGCACUCCAUGAAGUGUCCAUGUUGUGAGACCAACAUGUUUGAAAAUUCCUUCUAAUUUACUACACAUGGAUUUAACUCGCACAUAAGUACACAAAUAUGAUUUUUCAAACCGUUAUGGUUAGCCGUUGCAUGUACAUCUAGUUCAAAUUUAAAUUACGGUCAUUAAAUUGCUAGGAAAUCACUUAAAUGUCUUCAAAAGGUCAAAUGACCCGUGAAAUUUUCCAAAUUUUCACAUGACAGCUUGUAUCAGUGCACAUUACACAUAGAAAAAAUUUGAAAGCCGUAAGAGGAAGCUAUCUGCAGUUCUUCAUCAAACAUGCAUUGUUCCCUCGGAACCACGAGCCUUCUAGUGAGUUGCUUCGGUUUGUGAGGGUUGUGUAUCCAAACUUUCGUCAAACAGGCCAAUUUUUGUACCACAUCAUCUUGGUGGCAUGACAUUACAUCAAGCAAGGUUUCAUGUUUUCCUGAUCAUUUUUUACCUUUUUGGAAUUAAAAUGCCAUGGCACUCCAUGCAUGUGUCCAUGUCGUGAGACCAAUAUAUUUGAAAAUUCCUUCUAAUUUACUGCACAUGAAAUUAACUCGCACACAAGUACACAAAUGUGAUUUUUCAAACCGUUAUGGUUAGCCGUUGCAUGUACAUCUAGUUCAAAUUUGAAUUGCGGUCAUUAAAUGGCUAGGAAAUCACUUAAAUGUCUUCAAAAGGUCAAAUGACCCUUAAAAGUUUCCAAAUUUUCACAUGAUAGUUUGUAUCAGUGCACAUUACACGUAGAAAAAUUUUAAAGGCCGUAAGAAGAAACUAUCUGUCAUUCGUCAUCAAACAUGCAUUGUUCCCUUCUCGAAACCACGAGCCUUCUAGUGAGUUGCUCCGGUUUGUGAGGGCUGUGUGUCCAAACUUUUGUCAAACAGACCAAUUUUUGUACCACAUCAUCUUGGUGGCAUGACAUUACAUCAAGCAAAGUUUCAUGUUUUCCUGAUCAUUUUUUCAUGUUUUGGAAUUAAAAUGCCAGGGCACUCCAUGCAUGUGUCCAUGCCGUGAGACCAAUAUGCUUGAAAAUUCCUUCCAAUUUACUGCACAUGGAAUUAACUCGCACACAAGUACACAAACAUGAUUUUUCAAACCGUUAUGGUUAGCCGUUGCAGGUACAUCUAGUUCAAAUUUGAAUUAUGGUUAUUAAAUGGCUAAAAAAUCACUUAAAUGUCUUUAAAAGGUCAAAUGAAAACCCUGAAAUUUUCCAAAUUUUCACAUGACAGUUAGUAUCAGUGCACAUUACACAUAGAAAAUUUUUGAAGGCCGUAAGAGGAAGCUAUCUGUCGUUCGUCAUCAAACAUGCAUUGUUCUCUCUCGGAACAACGAGCCUUCUAGUGAGUUGCUUCGGUUUGUGAGGGGUGUGCCUCCAAACUUUCGUCAAACAGGCCAAUUUUUGUACCACAUCAUCUUGGUGGUAUGGCAUUACAUCAACCAAGGUUUCAUGUUUUUAAUUUUUUUGGAAUUUAAAUGGCAUGGCACUCCAUGCUUAAUUGUGUCAUAGCCGUUAGACCAAUAUGUUUGAAAAUUCCUUCCAAUUUACUGCACGUGGAAUUAAUCGCACACAAGUAUACAAAAUAUGACUUUUCAAACAGUUUUGGUUAGCUACUGCAUGUACAUGUAGUUCAAAUUUCAAUUACUGUCAUUAAAUAGCUGGAAAAUCACUUAAAUGUCUUAAAAGGUCAAAUGACCCCUGAAAUUUUCCAAAAUUUGACAUGACAGUUGUAUUAGUACUACAAAUUUUCUCGUACAUUUAAAACACCAUCUGUUGCCACUUUACUCCAAAUUCAUCUUUCACAGCUAAUAAAAAAUAUCUACAACAUCACACACAGUUGUUUUGUAGGAAUCGUUUGCGAUGAAAAAUUUUGGGUCUAUUUAAGUCUUCCUCCUUAAGCUUCGCCGGCUCAUCUGCUCCAGUGCCGGCAACCCCCGAAUCCACAAAUCCCGAUCGACAUUCCCGCUUCGUGAAGGCCCAUACGAUGGCUGNNNNNNNNNNNNNNNNNNNNNNNNNNNNNNNNNNNNNNNNNNNNNNNNNNNNNNNNNNNNNNNNNNNNNNNNNNNNNNNNNNNNNNNNNNNNNNNNNNNNNNNNNNNNNNNNNNNNNNNNNNNNNNNNNNNNNNNNNNNNNNNNNNNNNNNNNNNNNNNNNNNNNNNNNNNNNNNNNNNNNNNNNNNNNNNNNNNNNNNNNNNNNNNNNNNNNNNNNNNNNNNCAGCCGAGAGGGCGUCUGCGACAGCCGAUAGGGCAGUUGCUGCUGCGAUGGCGGCUGCAAGCGCUGAGAGCACUCGAGCUGCCAUCAGAGCCGUCGAUGUCGCCCUGGCCCGUGUCGAGGCCAUCCAGGCCAAGAUGUUCCAGGCCACCUCGGAAUCCAGCAUGCAACCAACGUCCGAAAAGGCGACAGUGGCCAUGGAGCACCUGCUUCAUCAUGAGGUCAUCGAGCGGGAGCUGGAGAUGCAGGAGGUGGCAGAGAUUGAGGAGCGCUGGGAGGAGGAGUUGCGCGUGGCCCAGUUCGAGGUAGAGAAGAGUUUGUCCGUCAAGGAAUCGGCGGUGGAGUACCAACAUGAGCUCUGGCGCAACCACUACAACGAGUACUACAACCUUGAGGGCGGCGCCGAGGACGAGGAUGAGGACGCUGUCGACUUCAACAGGGGGGACACGAAGUCCACCAACAGCGGCAUGUCGCCAGGACAAGUCAUCGACAUCUCAUCUCACACAUGUGAUGCAUAGGCUAGCGCGGCAGCCGAUUUGUUAAAAUUAUUCGUGCUUAGGCUUUGUUUUUAAUGCUGGUCUUUUGUUAGAGCAAUGUUUAGGUGAACUAUCUCUGUUUAAUUACUAAAAUUGCUCAAUUCAGUAAGUCUGGUCUGUGUGUUGUAUGCUCUUUUGUGUGCACGAAUUAGCAAGCGAUGCUAAAUUAUGCAAUGACGUACGCGGGGAAAUUUCCACCAAAAUUUCAAUUAUCAAACUCAUCCCAUGCGCUUUAAGGAGAAGAAUUGUUUGUGAUGCACACUAUCGUUCAACGUGAAUGGUGUCCGGCGGCACCGCGUGCAAAGUUUCCCUCCACAUUUCAAAAUUUUUGGCCUACCGUCGAAAUAUCUACCCUCCCCCCUCCCCAUCCCCUUUUCUCCCCGACCACAAGUCAUAUUUCCCCUGUUUCCCCCUUCCUUCCUUCCUAGCUAUAGCCGCUUCCUCGCACUCGCCGUCUCGCAUCCUACCGUUGGGGUCGCCAUGGUCUUCUUCAAAGACCUCUCAAGCGGUUCCUCCUCCGACGACGACUCCUUCACCACCCGGGUAUGCCUCUCUUCUCUCUCUCUCUCUCGGGCUAUGACUUGGAAUGAAGGAUUUUUACCCGGCGGUCGGUUUGAGUCAUUUAUUCCUCUUGUAGUUCCCUAGGAUCAUCACUUGUAACGAAUGGAGCGGGGUGGCUGAAGAUCUGUCUGCUUGUUGUCACCAUCAAUCUCCAUGCAUGAAGUUAGUUGCGUUUGAAUCUAUGGACAGUGGGAGGAAGUUUCUGGCAUGUGCAGAGAAGGUUAGACCCUCUUUCGUUGUUACAAAACAUUUGUAAGAUGUGAUUGAGACACUGUCAUGGUCCCAACCCAUUCAUACCACACAUUCAACCAAACUCAUCCUAAGACAGUGUUACAGUUUGUACCUAGUAUCUAAAAAUGUUGCUAUCUCAUCAGUGGUGCCAUUAGAAAAUUAUUUGGCACCGCUUCAGCAGUUUGUGGAGCCAACUUUGUCCACACAUCCGAGCAGCAAAGCAGUAAAAUACUAAAUCUUUAUGGCACGACGGAAUUGGGCGUCCGAGCAACUAGGUGCUCUGGAGUUCAAGUCCCUGAUUUCUUUUACGCUGCACCGGCUCGCCAGUGCAGGGCACCGGUGCGAGAUGUAGCAACAGUUGUCUUUACACCGGUUUUGGCAUACAUAGUGGACGCCUUAGUGCUAUUAGUUCUAUGUUACUAAAUUUUUGCAUGUACACACCUGUUAGUAUCAAUUUGUUGUCAUCCAAACAUUGUCGCUAUGUUGUUGCAGUUAUAUUUACCUUCCUCUUAAAAUGUUCAAUUUGUUAUUUAUAGUACAUGAGUAAGAACUUGUAGCGUUGUUAUAGUUAAUUAUAGCUUCUGAUGUUUCAGAAUUUGGUUGUUGUGUCAGUAGCAAUUAAUUCAUUUGCACAUUGAUCUUUUUGAGAAGAUAUGUCAUAAUUAACCUGUUUCUUCAGUUUUUCAAAAUAAGUAUUGGUGAUUUUCUAUGUUGCUAUAAACCCAUUUUCCCUACAAUUGUUACUGAUCUAGUUUUAAAUAUUAUAGGAUGAAUGGAAGUGUUCUUACUUGGAGUGGGUUGAUCAAGAGUGGCCACAGUCUUUGAAGAUGUGCCUAGCAAAUCUCUGGAGCAUGUAUCAGGAAGAGAACAGAGUUAGGCUUAGAGAUAGUGCUGUCAACGUUGAAGAAUAUUUGAAGAUGCGGGAUAAAAAGAGGAAGGUGGAGAAUGAUCUCAGAUUUUUUAAAUCAGACUUUGCUAAGAUGGUGUUGGCGAAGGAGGAGGCACUUUCCCAGUUGGCCAGUGCAAAACAGGUUCUUAUUGAACUGAAAGCAGAGAUGAUCUCGAUUAGGAAAAUGAAUAUAUUGUUCUUAUGAAGUUGAACUAUCUAUAUGUUUUAUUGUGUUGUUUUUCGAUAGCUAUCAUACUGUGAUGUUAAAAUCUAUCUAUGUGCCUGAUAUGAAAUUGGCAAACAGUUGUUCGAUAUGAAAUGUGAAUUUGCGUAAUACUGGAAUUAUUAAUUGUGAACUAAUAAAUCUGCAAAAUGGGUCAUGGAACUUUGCAAACGGUUCUAGAAGUAAAAGCGCUUGUGAUGGAUAGCCCAAUGCCACACAGUUUUCUUCAUCAAAUCGUGUGCGAUGUAGUUGAUAAAAGCAAACGGUUAACCAAGGCAGAGCGUGUGCGAUAGUUACACGUAUCACACACGAGCCUAUACAUAAACCUAUGUGGGAUGUACAUACGAAUGGAAACGUUUUCUCUGGAUUGACUGUGUGGGAUGUACAUACAAACGGAAACGUUUUCCCUGGAUUGACAGUGUGGGAAGUACAUACGAACGGAAAUAUUUUCCCUGGAUUCACUGUGUGGGAUGUACAUGAGAACGGAAAUGUUCUCCUUGGAUUGACUGUGUGUGAUAUACAUAUGAACGGAAAUGUUUUUCUGGGAUUCAUCGUGUGGGAUGUACAUACAAACGGAAACAAUUGGGUUUCGAUGCCACGCCCGAUCACACACGAGCGAGCUUGUGUGCCAGGAGGCCCUAUCCCCAACGGUUUCUGGGUCAUGUGGGAAGGACCUCCCUAUCACCGUCACUCACUUGGCGACGGUUCCAAAUGUCAUCACGGAAAGGGGUUAAAAACCGUUUGUAUAGCACCAACGCGUACUAGUGCGUAUUGAAUGUGGGAGCAAUUAGCUAGAGUAGCUCCAUGCAGAGCAUUUUAGACAUAGAAAUUUGCAAAAUACAUACGGAUCUGAAUGUGGUGGACCCGUUGACUAAACUUCUCUCACAAGCAAAACAUGAUCACACCUUAAUAUUCUUUGGGUGUUAAUCACAUAGCGAUGUGAACUAGAUUAUUGACUCUAGUAAACCCUUUGGGUGUUGGUCACAUGGAGAUGUGAACUAUGGGUGUUAAUCACAUAAAGAUGUGAUCUAUUGGUGUUAAAUCACAUGCCGAUGUGAACUAGAUUAUUGACUCUAAUGCAAGUGGGAGACUGGAGGAAAUAUUCCCUAGAGGCAAUAAUAAAGUUUUUUAUUUUAUAUUUCCUUAUUUCAUGAUAAAUGUUUAUUAUUCGUGCUAGAAUUGUAUUAACCGGAAACUUGAUACGUGUGUGGAUACAUAGACUAAAUACCGUGUCCCUAGUAAGCCUCUACUAGACUAUCUCGUUGAUCAAAGAUGGUUAAGUUUCCUAACCAUAGGCAUGUGUUGUCAUUUAAUAAACGGAUCACAUCAUUAGGAGAAUUAUGUGAUGGACAAGACCCAUUCGUUAGCUUAGCAUUAUGAUCGUUCAAUUUUAUUGCUAUUGCUUUCUUCAUGUCAGUACAUAUUCCUCCGACUAUGAGAUUAUGCAACUCCCGGAUACCGGAGGAAUGCCUUGUGUGCUAUCAAACGUCACAACGUACCUAGGUGAUUAUAAAUAUGCUCUACAGGUAUCUCCAAAGGUGUUUGUUGGGUUGGCAUAGAUCAAGAUUAGGAUUUGUCACUCCAAGUAUCGGAGAGGUAUCUCUAGACCCUCUCAGUAAUACACAUCAUAAGAAACCUUGAAAGCAAAGUGACUAAUGAGUUAGUUGUAGGAUGAUGUAUUAUAGAACGAUUAAAGAGACUUGCUAGUAACGAGAUUGAACUAGGUAUGAAGAUACCGACGAUCGAAUCUCGGGCAAGUAACAUACCGAUUACAGAAGGAAUAACGUAUGUUGUCAUAAUGGUUUGACCGAUAAAGAUCUUCGUAGAAUAUGUGGGAGCCAAUAUGAGCAUCCAGGUUCUGCUAUUGGUUAUUGACCGGAGAGGUGUAUCGGUCAUGUCUACAUAGCUCUCGAACCCGUAGGGUCCGCACACUUAACGUUUGAUGAUGAUAUUGUAUUAUAUGAGUUAUGUGAUUUGGUGACUGAAUGUUGUUCGGAGUCUCGGAUGAGAUCACGGACAUGACGAGGAGUCGCGAAAUGGUCGAGAGGUAAAGAUUAAUAUAUAGGACGAUGGUAUUCGGACACCGGAAGUGUUUCGGGAAACGUCGGGUACUUAUCGGGUCACCGGAUGGGGUACCGGGCACCCCCGGCAAAAGAUAUGGGCCUUAUGGGCCAAGAGGGGAACACGCCAGCCACAAAUGGGCUGNNNNNNNNNNNNNNNNNNNNNNNNNNNNNNNNNNNNNNNNNNNNNNNNNNNNNNNNNNNNNNNNNNNNNNNNNNNNNNNNNNNNNNNNNNNNNNNNNNNNNNNNNNNNNNNNNNNNNNNNNNNNNNNNNNNNNNNNNNNNNNNNNNNNNNNNNNNNNNNNNNNNNNNNNNNNNNNNNNNNNNNNNNNNNNNNNNNNNNNNNNNNNNNNNNNNNNNNNNNNNNNNNNNNNNNNNNNNNNNNNNNNNNNNNNNNNNNNNNNNNNNNNNNNNNNNNNNNNNNNNNNNNNNNNNNNNNNNNNNNNNNNNNNNNNNNNNNNNNUCAAAAUUGGAUAAGGAAAGGGGAAGGAGGAAAGGAAAAGGGGAAUAGGAUCCCCCCUUCCCCCUCUUCCCUUCCUACUCCGAAUAGGAAUAGGAGAGGGGGUUGGCCGAAUUGGGAGAAGACCCCAAGUAGGAUUCCUCCUACUUGGUGCGCCCGCUUGGCUGCCUCUCCUCCCCUCCAAUCUAUAUAUAUGUGGGGAAGGGGGUGCCUACAAUAUAGAACGACAACUGUUAGCCGUGUGCGGCGCCCCCCCUCCACAGUUUACACCCCCGGUCAUAUUGUCACAGUGCUUAGGUGAAGCCCUGUGCGAAUCACUUCACCAUCAUCGUCACCACGCCGUCGUGCUGACAGAACUGAUCUACUUCCUCGACACAUUGCUGGAUCAAGAGGGCGAGGAACGUCAUCGAGUUGAAUGUGUGCAGAACUCAGAGGUGACGUACGUUCGGUACUUGAUCAGUCAGAGCUAGAAGAAGUUCGACUACAUCAACCGCGUUUUCUAAUGCUUUCGCUUUUGGUCUACAAGGGUAUGUAGACACACUCUCCCCCUCUCAUUGCUAUGCAUCUCCUAGAUAGAUCUUGCAUGAGCAUAGGAAUUUAUUUUGAAAUUGCAUGCUAUGUUCCCCAACAUGAUCACCACCCAUUAUGCAUCUUCAUAUUGUUCCUGGGUGAUCGUAGGGCAACUUUUUUUGUUUUCUACUAUGUUUUCCAACAUCUAUGUGCCUGCAAUGACCUCCCAUAGGUCAUGGCCUUGCACGUAUGACUCGAUGUUGGUCUACCAAUAGCCAUAGUUGUGGCUAUUGACUCUUCAAGCCACUUCCCAUGCUCCAUGUUGGAGCAUGAUUUAUUUUUUGAUUGUAUUCCUUUGUGUGGAGGUCGGGAUCGCGCGAUGGUUAACUCCUACCAACCCUUCCCCUAGGAGCAUGCGUGUAGUACUUUGUUUCAAUAACUAAUAUACUUUUGCAAUAAGUAUGUGAGUUCUUUAUGACUAAUGUUGAGUCCAUGGAUUAUACGCACUCUCACCCUUCCACUAUUGCUAGCCUCCCUAGUACCGGGAAACUUUUGCCGAUGCAUUAAACCCACCAUAAAUCCUUCCUCAAAACAGCCAUCAUACCUACCUAUUAUGGCAUUUCCAUAGCCAUUCCGAGGUAUAUUGCCAUGCAACUUCCACCGUUCCGUUUAUUAUGACACACACCAUCAUUGUCAUAUUGUUCUCAUAUGCAUGAGGCAUUCAUAGAGUCAUAUUUUGUUCUAGCAUUGAGUUGUAAUUCUUGAGUUGUAAGUAAAUAAAAGUGUGAUGAUCAUCAUUAUUAGAGCAUCGUCCCAUGUGAGAAAAGGAUGAUGGAAGCUAUGAUUCCCUCACAAAUUGUGAUGACUCUCCGGACUUUAAAGAAAAUAAAACAGGCCAAAGAAGCCCAAAAAAAGAGGCCAAAGAAACCCAAACAAAAAAAGAAAAAAAGAGAGAAAAGAGAGAAGGGACAAUGUUACUAUCUUUUUCCACACUUGUGCUUCAAAGUAGCACCAUGAUCUUCAUGAUAGAGAGUCUCCUAUUUUGUCACUUUAAUAUACUAGUGGGAUUUUUUUAAUUAUAGAACUUGGCUUGUAUAUUCCAACAAUGGGCUUCCUCAAAUUGCCCUAGGUCUUCGUGAGCAAGCAAGUUGGAUGCACACCCACUUAGUUUCUUUUUGAGCUUUCAUACACUUAUAGCUCUAGUGCAUCUGUUGCAUGGAAAUCCCUACUCACUCACAUUGAUAUCUAUUGAUGGGCCAUAGACCAUUAAUACGCCUAGUUGAUGUGAGACUUUCUCCUUUUUUGUCUUCUCCACAACCACCAUAUUCUAUUCCACCUAUAGUUCUAUAUCCAUGGCUCAUGCUCAUGUAUUGCGUGAAAGUUGAAAAGGUUUGAGAACACAAAAGUAUGAAACAAUUGCUUGGCUAAUACCGGAGUUGUGCAUGAUGAAAUACUUUGUGUGAUGAACAGGGCCGGUCCUGAGAUUUUAGGGGUCCGCGGCGAACCUAAACCUCGGGGCCCUAUCAUAUAAAUAACAUAGUAUUAAUGAUUGAUAUACGUAUGAAAUGUUGCCAAUAAGCACCUAAUAAUUAUUUUCAUAUCAAAUAUUACUUUUUUUCUGCCAAACACAUACUAUGCUUUUAAAAUGUCACGAUAACACAAAGUGCUAAAAUUUUGCAUCAAAGCUUGAAAAGUGCAAGCUACAUAUGCAUGAUGCAUAUACGAAGAUAAAGUACAUAACUAGCAUAGAUCCAGGUUCCAAUAAUCCACAACAUACCCAUUGAACACCUAUAGCAUGACAAACAUCGCUACAUGCUGCGUGCGUGAUAGGGAAAACAUUAGUGUAGAAAUUAUGGGGCUCUUCUAGACCUAUGUUUGUGAAUCUUCCUAGAUGAAUUACGAUCAGUGACGGAGAAAAUCACGUCACAAAACACAACCGACCAGCGAACGUAAACCCAUUAUAUAGAUAUAUGCCCAUAGUACAUGGGGACUGAUAAGUUGAAGAUAUGAUACCUUGGAUCGGUCAGAACUCGAUAGGACAUGGGGGCGCUCGGCGUCGCGCAUGCGCGUCCAGCACCAGCGCCAGUGCCUGUAGGUAGAGAGUGUAGCCUAGUUUGUCGGCGUGUUGCACCCUGUCGGCGGUUCAUCUAGCAACAACAACUCUCGUCGCGGCCAGGGGCCAGGGAUAGGGAUCUUCACGACUCGUUCUCAUAAGGAAACUGACAAUUGUAGUGUGGACUGUUGCUUGGCUGGUAGGCCUUGCAGCCGCGUCAAUACUGAUUUGCAUGCAUCCUAAUCAAUCAGACCUAAUAAUACUAGAGCGUGAUUAGCGUCCAUGCUUACCAGGACCAUAGGUUUGACCUGGCGGGGCCCCUUGGACCAUGGGGGCCCGGGGCGGCCGCCCCCUGCCCCCCUCAGGGCCGGCCCUGGUGAUGAAGAUGGAGCAUAGCCAGACUAUAUGAUUUUGGAGGGAUAACUUUCUUUUGCCAUGUUAUUUUGAAAAGACACGAUUGCUUUAUUAGUAUGCUUGAAGUAUUAUUGUUUUAUGUCAAUAUUAAACUUUUGUUUUGAAUCUUAUGGAUCUGAAUAUUCAAGCCACAAUAAAGAAGAUUACAUGGAUAAAUAUGUUAGCUAGCAUUCCACAUCAAAAAUUCUGUUUUUAUCAUUUACCUACUCGAGGAUGAGUAGGAAUUAAGCUUGAGGAUGCUUGAUACGUAUCCAAUGUAUCUAUAAUUUUUUAUUGUUCCAUGCUAUUAUAUUAUCUGUUUUGGAUGUUUCAUAUGCAUUAAUAUGCUAUUUUAUAUUAUUUCUGGGACUAACCUAUUAGCCUAAUGCCCAGUGCCAGUUGUUGUUUUUUCCUUGUUUUUGGCUUUUUCGGAAAGGAAUAUCAAACGGAAUCCAAAAAGAAUAAAACUUUCGCGAUGAUUUUUCUUGGAACAUAAGACAUCCACGGAGCUAGGAGAGCGGUCCAGAAGAGUCCCGAGGGCUCCCCAAGUCCUCAGGGCGCGCCCCUGGCUUGUGGGCCCCACAAGAGUCCUCUAACCCUAAUCUUUGGCCUAUAAAUUCAGAAAUAUUCCCAAACCACUAGAAGCGUCCACCAAGAUAUUUUUCUGCCGCCGCAAGCCUCUGACCUCGUGAGAUCCCAUCUUGGGGCCUUUUCAGCACCCUUCCGGAGGGGGAUUCGAUCACGGGGGGCUUCUACAUCAACCCUAUUAUCCUUCCGAUGAAGCGUGAGUAGUUUACCACUGACCUACGGGUCCAUAGCUAGUAGCUAUAUGGCUUCUUCUCUCUCUUUGAUCUUCAAUACAGUGUUCUCCUCGAUGUUCUUGGAGAUCUAUCCGAUGUAAUAUUCUUUUGCGAUGUGUUUGUCGAGAUCCAAUGAAUUGUGGAUUUAUGAUCAGAUUAUCUAUGAAUAUUAUUUGAGUCUUUUCUGAACUCUUUUAUGCAUGAUUAAAUAUCUUCGUAUUCUCUUUGAAUUAUCAGUUUGGUUUGGCCAACUAGAUUGGUUUUGCUUGCAAUGGGAGAAGUCCUUAGUUUUGGGUUCAAUCUUGUGGUGUCCUCACCCAGUGACAAAAGGGGUAGCGAGGCACGUAUUGUAUUGUUGCCAUCAAGGAUAAAAAGAUGGGGUUUAUAUCAUAUUGCUUGAGUUUAUCCCUCUACAUCAUGUCAUCUUAUUUAAAGCGUUGCUCUGUUCUUAUGAACUUAAUACUCUAGAAGCAGGAAGGAGUCGGUCAAUGUGUGGAGUAAUAGUAGUAGAUGCAGAAUCAUUCGGUCUACUUGACACGGACGUGAUGGCUAUAUUCAUAAUCAUUGCCUUGGAUAUCGUCAUAACUUUGCGCUUUUCUCUCAAUUGCUCGACAGUAAUUUGUUCACCCACCAUAUGUUUUCUUUCAAGAGAGAAUCCUCUAGUGAAAUCUAUGGCCCCGGGAUCUAUUUUCCAUCAUAUAUUUUUAGAUCUAUAAACCAAAAAUCCAAAAAUACCUCGCUGAGUUUUAUUUACUUUUAUUUUGUUUUAUGUUUUAGUAAUCUUUUAUAUCUUUCUCUAUCAGAUCUCAUCCUUGCAAGUGACCGUAAAGGGAUUGACAACCCCUUUAUCGUGUUGGGUGCAAGUGUUUGAUUGUUUAUGCAGGUGCAUAGAUUGGAGACUUGCUUGUACCUCCUACUGGAUUGAUACCUUGGUUCUCAAACUCAGAGAGAUACUUAUCUCUACUUUGUUGCAUCACCCUUUUCUCUUCAAGGGAAAACCAACGUAAGCUCAAGAAGUAGCAGCAACUCAAGAAUGAUCUAGAGCAUUUACAGGCCCUUAGGGAAGAACUAAAAAAUAUUUCCGAAUAAGUUGAAUUCAAAUUUGAAUUGUUUUAUUAAAAUAAUCAUGUUUGAAUUGUAAUAUUUAUUUGAUUUAUUGUUGUUUGUAGAACAUGAUUAUGGACGAAGGUGCCAGUUAUAUUUAAUUAUUUUGAGUGCUUCGGAUUUAAGAAACUAAAUAGUGAUGUAUAUUUGAUGCAUCUGGUUGGAUUGCCGCCCCUUUUCCAUUGUCGUUUGAUGCUCUAUUUGAAUGCAUGAUGGUUGGAGUUUCCAUUAGUUUUUUGUCCUAAAUAAGACGACUAUGGAUUUAUUUUGCUGGCAUUAUUUUGUUCAUUUUAACCAUGAAGAGCAUAUACACCGGAAUACACCAAAUUCGACCCAUCAAACGCCCGCGGACGCGUCCGGCGCGUCCUCGGAUAGUGACUGGGCAGCCCAUAAAUUUCGGUCUCUGCAUUCGAGUACCUCAUACUUCAAUCCUUAAAACCAUGCAAGUAAACAUCUACUCCUACGUAGAUUAACUAAACCUACACUACACUGGUCAUUGUUGUCGGAGAUGUCCACUCUAUCCAUUUCGAGCUCCGAGUACAUGGGCGACAGACACAACUCCGGCUUCGAGGCGGCCUCCGCCUGACCACCUCCAUCUCCGCUUCCACCUCUUCAAAAAGUGUGUCGGCCACCGCCUGUUUUUGCCACAUGAAGUGCUGGUUGGAGUCCACAUACGCCUCAUCUUGGAUGGGCCCCGGGAUGGCGGCCUGCUCCGCCAUCUUUGCCGCUUGGGUGACCUCAUACUCGGCCAUGGCAUUCUACAUGGCAAAGCGCACAACCGGCGUCGGCUCUUCCUCUUCCUCCUCUGGAUCCACCCCCUUCAUGGGCUCCAGCUAUUGCUCCCCUCCUCUUCCUCCUCCUCCUCCUCCGGCUCCGGGGGCAGGCCAGAUGCGAUCCAGACGGCUCGCCUUGCUCAUAUGUCGGAUCUCCUCUGAAUUUGAAACCGGCGCUCUGGCGCUAGCAUAAUGUAUGUGGUCUUCUUUUUUCAAGCCAUGGCAGAGGCAGAUGGCGAGGGAAGAGGGAGACGGAGAGAUAUGGAUGGGCCCGGGCUUGCGGAGCAAAAAAGGAGGAAGAGGAUGUGGCUAGGGCUGGGGGACAUCGUCCGGCUCAAAUAACCGGACUUUGGUCUCGGACGGCGAGCCGGAACAGCGGCACGCGGCGUUCACACCCCCACCGGAGGAGAUGCCUGUCGGACUGUUUGGCUUUCGGACGAUAUCGUGUGGGUGGGUCGCUCACAACCCCACUGGAGGAGAUGCCUGUCGGACCGUUGGUCUACCGGACGAUUUCGUGUGGGAACCGACCAUCAGUCUGACCCGUCGGACGGGUGGGUUUCCGGGUGAUUUCGUGUGAGAACCGGCCGUCAGCCUGACAUGGCGGACCCGCGGCCGAAUAUGAGGGUGCCUCACCAUUUCGUGUGUCACCCUGGACAUUUGAAACUUGAAGCGUCCGGAUGGGUUGAGUUUUUUUUUGACCGAUCAGUGACCGGGCAUCUUUAAGACGGUUGUAGAUGCUCUAAGGUCCGUGUUUCUCUUCCAAAGUGAUCUUCAUUUUAGAAGGAACGUCCUCACUAAAGAUUAAAAUGGCCACUUAUGCUUCGAUACACCCUCAUAAACACAUUGACGACUAAGAUUACCCCAUAUUUCAUCAUAAUAAAAGGCAUAAUGGUAUUUUCUAAAAAUACAUCGCCGGCGCUAAGUGCGAUACGUGGCCUGUGUACGUACAGUCUGGUCGACAAGAAUUGAACACAGCACAACCAUGAUAACCAACUGGACUACUUUAUUAGUGAUUGUAAUUUUUUGUUGAUAGCUUACCAAGCUGACCACUUAGUAACUGGACUAUUUUAUGGUUGUGUCUAGUUACCUUUUUUUCUUCUUCUUCAAAUAUAACAUUAAACAACGUGAGUUUUUUUAGUUUCACAUUAAUUGUGUGGCACGUCACGCAUGAUCUUAGUGGCCAGCGAUUUCUUUUGUUCUCUGCGCACGACCGAGGGGUCUGUUGAUUAUCUCCCCUGCAUGGAUGGGAUUCAUAUUCAUCUCAAGCUAGCACUUUUUUGGGUGCAACUCCCUAAUAGUUCUCCGAAAACCUAGGAGUCUCCUGACAUGCGACUAGGGUUUCGAGGGGAAACGGCGGCGCGCGCCUGAUCUUGAUCGGCGAGGCGCACUCGGGCCGGCGUCGAGAUGAGUUCGUCUGGCGCAGGCAAGGGAAAGGACGGACCGCUCUCGCCAUGCUAGCAAGGGCAAGGUUGGAGGAGGCGAUGGGCAAGCUAGAUCUGACUGAGGAAGAAGCCACGCCAUUAGUGAUCAACGACGUCGUGGAGGGGGAACCGACGAAGUGGUCGCUGGCGGGCAAGGUACUGCACCGGCACACACUCCAUAUCCAGACGAUCUCUAAUGCCCUUCGACAUGCCUGGGGAAACCCUAAGGGCUUGAGUUUCAAUUCAGUUGGAGAAAACACGUUUGUGGUGGAUUUCUCGAACAAGCGCGAUCUUGAUUGCGUUUGGGAUGGCAGCCCGUGGCACAUCAGUAAACAUGCAGUCAUCCUCUCGGAAUUCUCCGAGUGUAUGCAACCUUCUAAGCUUCAGUUUAACAAUUUGCAGUUGUGGGCACGGGUUCUCAACCUGCCUUUCAAUCUGCGCAAUGAAAAACGGGGUCAGGCAGUGGCGAGGCAGAUACAUCCGAAUGCAUAACAUGUACAGUUUGAUCCUGUGGGGGUUUUUUUUAGAGCAAGAGUCACCAUUGAUGUCAGGAAGCCUCUACGGAGGUGGAUCCUCAUAGAUUCAGCGGCUCGCGGCAGUCGUGACUGGUAUGACAUUCAAUACAAACACGUUCCAAUUUUCUGUUUUUCGUGUGGCCGGUUGGGCGACUCGGAUCUGGUAUGCCCGACGCCGGGGGCGAGGGAUGAACACGGCGAUCUGCCUUUUUCAACCAGUCUCCGGGCAUCAGAGGAAAAGAAGAAGGCCUCGUCAAGUGAGAACUCCGGAUCGAAUCAGAACAAUGCUAAGUCAGGAAGGAAGGAAAAUCCAGAGUCUAGCUCGACUAAAGAUGCCACUCCGGAGGUCACCUCUCCAAUGAAAAAGAACUCUACUGGGAGGAACAAGAGGAAAGUUGGGUCUCCAAAGAAGGUUUAUAGACCUCUGGCAUUACCUGCGUUAACUGCACCAGAACACGCGGCUACUAACAACACUGCCAUCAUACCGGUCGGUUCAGUACAGCCAAACGGGGAUGAUGCCUCGGUCAAUGCGGUGGAGGAACGUGCACCGAAGAAGAAAAGAGAUACACCUACUACUUUAGAGAAUUCGGCAGGAGCUGCUAGCCAGCCCUGCCUGGAAUAAUGAGUUGCAUAAGUUGGAACUGUCGGGGGCUUGGGAACCCCGAGGCAGUUCCAGAGCUUCGCAAUGUGGGGAAGCAAGAAGGGCCCGUGCUGGUUUUUGUCAUGGAGACGAAGAUCAGAGCAAAGAAAGUGGAGGAUCUGCGGCACACAUUAGGGUUUGCCGGCAGUUUUGCAGUUGAUAGCGAUGGCCUCAGUGGAGGCAUCGGUCUACUCUGGUCCAAUGAUGUGCAUGUAGAGCUCAAAAACUAUAGCGCUAGUCAUAUUGAUGUGAUAGUGCGGGAAACAUCAGCGGACUCAGCAGGUUGGCGAUUCACAGGGUUCUACGGAGCACCAAGAGCAACAGAUCGUCACCAUAGUUGGAGAUUCCUUCGAGCCCUACAUGGCAUUCCUCAUGAUUUAUGGCUUUGUGUCGGGGACUUCAAUGAAACCCUAUAUCCCCAAGAACACUUUAGUCGCUCCCCUCGGGCCGAGUGGAAGAUGAGGGCGUUUCGUGAAGUUGCAGAUGACUGUGAGUUCCAAGACCUAGGUUGGUCCAGAGUUGCAUACACAUGGGACAACCAUCAGGCGGGGGACGCAAAUGUCAAAGCCAGGGUUGACAAAGCUUUUGCAAACGAGCAAUUCAGGCAAAGGUUCGAACACACACGAGUUCGACAUGUGUGUGUGGUGGAGUCGGAUCACUGCUUUGUUAUCACAGAGUUUAGGCAUCACGCGCAUACGCAUCGUUCGCCGGGAGCCAGACAAUUUCGUUAUGAAAACGUUUGGUAGUCUCAUCAAGAUUAUGAUCAGCUCAUCGCGGGCACGUGGAAGAAACAAGCAAGAGUUCCAGGUUUGCAAGGCAUUGCUGAUUCUCUGGUUGCCCUCCAGCGGCAACUAGAGCCAUGGGGAGCGCGCGAGUUCGGCAGCUUGUUGAGGUCUGUGCGCAAACUACAGUCACGCCUAGACAGAUUGCGGUAGCGUUCUGUUGGUCGAGGGCCUUCAGACGAAGAAAAGAGCAUCAUGAAACAACUCCGAGAAGCUCUUCGGUUGGAGGAGAUUUGGUUGCGGCAACGAUCUCGAGUGCCGUGGCUACGAGAAGGUGACCGCAACUCGGCUUACUUCCAAGCACAAGCUAGACAAAGAAAACGAAUAAACAGAAUUGCAAAUCUUGUAAGGACUAAUGGCUCGGUUUGUGCGAGUGAAGAGGAGGAUAAAGAAGAAAUUAAUGCAUUAUAUCAAGCUUUGUAUAUGGCACAGGGUGCCAAUAACAUGGAUGUGUUAUUAUCGCAUGUAUCUCCCCGGGUCACACCGGAGAUGAAUGAACUCCUGGGUAAACCGUUCGAACCAUCUGAGGUCCAGCAUGCUCUAUUCCAAAUGGCACCUUCCAAGGCGCCAGGGGUGGAUGGGUUUACGGCGGGCUUUUUCCAGCGCCACUAGAAGUUACUGCAACACGAAGUCACGGCGGCGGUGCUGGCUUUUCUCAAUGGAGGUGAAUUACCAGUGGGGUUCAACGAUACUUCCAUCACCUUGAUCCUUAAGGUACGUCAUCCCCGAAGCAUUUCACAAUAUCGUCUAAUUGUGCUCUGUCCAAUACUUUAUAAAGUGGCAGUCAAAGUGAUAGCCAACAGGUUGAGGGGCUGCAUGGAUGACAUUGUCAGUGAGGAACAAAGUGCUUUCAUUCCCGGGCGCUUGAUCACAGAUAACGUGUUGGUCGCAUUUGAAAGUGUCCACACCAUGAGGAGGCGAAAGAAAGGAAAGAACUACACCUGCGUCGUCAAGUUGGACAUGAUGAAAGCUUACAACAGGGUAGAGUGGCAUUUUCUGGAGGCUAUGCUACUGAAGUUGGGUUUCCAUGCAAAUCUGGUGAGGCUAAUUAUGAAGUGUGUAACUUCUGUUCGGUUCUCUGAGCGUGUGAAUGGGGAGCAACAACCAUACUUCAGCCCGUCCAGAGGGUUGCGGCAGGGGUGUCCAGCCUCACCUUAUUUAUUUCUCCUAUGCACGGAAGGGUUUUCAUCCUUACUGAAGAACUAUGGUCAGUACAUUGGUCGAGGAAUAAGAGUAAACUUCAGGGCGCCUUGGGUGAAUCAUCUAUUGUUUGCUGAUGACUGCCUCAUCUUCAUCAAGGCGAGUGCAGAAAGUGCAGCAAGACUGAACGAAAUUCUUGAGAUCUAUGGUGAGGCUUCUGGACAGUGUGUAAAUAGAAGCAAGAGCGCAAUCUACUUCAGUCCAAACACCCCAGCAAAUCUCAGGCAAAACUUGAAACAACUCCUUCGAGUAGAAGUUGAGGCGUUUUCUGAAAGGUAUCUUGGUCUACCCACGGCCGUAGGCAAGAUCACCAGCGGCACUUUUGAGCAUCUGGGCGACCGGGCACGAGGCAAGAUGAAUGGUUGGUCAGAGAGGCUGUUUGCUUGUGCCGGAAGGGAGACACUCCUUAAAUCUAUUGUGCAAGCGAUUCCGACUUUCGGCAUGAGCUGUUUUCUCUUGACCAAAAAAGUGUGCAAAAGCUUGACGUCGAGCAUGGCGAAGUACUGGUGGGGGAGUUCACUGGACCGCCGAUCUUUGCAUUGGAUUGCUUGGGACAAGCUGGCUACGCCCAAAACUAAUGGGGGAAUGGGCUUUAGUGACAUGCGGAUAUUUAACUUGGCUCUGUUGGGGAAACACGAAUGGAGAUUCAUGACUAAUCCUACUUCCCUUGCCACCAAGGUUAUGAAAGGUAGAUACUUCCCGACCUCUGAUUUCAUGCAAGCAACUGUUCCGAAAUCUUCUUCAGCUAUCUGGAGAGCGAUAGUGGCAGGAUGGAAAGCACUAAGCGCAGGGCUUGUGAAGCGAGUGGGCGAUGGUACAUCUAUUUGGGUGUGGGAGGACAAGUGGAUAUCUUCCACCAACACCAUGUCCCCCUUACUAUGGCCAGACAACACAACAUUUCACACUGUUACUGACUUGAUUGAUACUUCAAAUUGGUCAUGGCGUAGGGAUCUGGUUCGGGAAACCUUCAUUGCUCCUGAUGCCGAGGCUAUACUGAACAUACCCUUGCGGCGAGGUGGCGGCAAUGAUUUCCUAGCAUGGGCACAUGAGAAGUCAGGCAUCUACUCUGUUAAAUCGGCGUAUCGAGCUCUGGUGAAUCAGAAAGAGAGACUAGAUCUAGAAGAGGGGCAGAUAACCGGCACUUCAGUGAACCAACAACAGAUGUGGAAAGAUGUUUGGAAGCUCAAUGUAGUCCCAAAAGUUCGAGUUUUCUGGUGGCGCGUUUUGAGGGGGAUUUUGCCAGAUGAAAGCACCCUGAAGCAUCGCCACAUCUGGGAGAUCAGCACCUGCAAGGUAUGCCUUGCCAUGGAGGAAGACCUGGAGCAUGCACUCUUGCUAUGCUCCCACGCACGCCGCUUCUAGGAGGAAGCCCACCUGCUUUUUGACAUAAACGUUCCACGGCUGCACCCCCACACAUGGGCCAGGGACAUUUUAUGCGACCAAGGAUUCUCCAAGAAAGAGCGGGAGAUCAUUAUUACCAUAAUGUGGGCCAUCUGGACGUCUCAGAAUCGCCUGACACACGACAAAGAGGGGGCUGAUCUAGCUAGCUCCAUUCGGAAGAUCAGAGAAGACCUUGACAUUCUCGAUCUCCCGCGACAGCAAAAACCGGUGCUACCUGGUUAUGGCUGGCAACCACCAGAGAAUGACACCAUCAAGAUCAACACUGACGCAGCAACACACCUUGAUGAUGGUCACGCGGGAGCUGGUGGAGUUGCUCGAUCUUUAUCGGCUCUUAAAGGUGCAUGGUGCAAGCCAAUUCCCAGUGUUACGGAUCCUCUCAUCGCGGAGGCCAUAGCUCUCAAGGAAGGAGUGUUAUUUGCUACUUUACGCGGCUACAUGCAUGUCAUUAUGGAGACCGACUGUCUAGAGGUGGUUAACCUCUGGAACUUGCGUUUCACCGACCGGUCGGUGAUUGCACCUAUCCUAGCAGAAGUUGAAGAGCUAGCUCUUAGUUUUAAUUCUUUUACCAUUCAACAUGUAAUGAGAUCAGCAAACGGUCAUGCACAUCUUUGUGCUAAGCGCGGUUGUUCGCUUAAUGUGACUGAAAGCUGGUUGGACUCCACCCCUAGCUUCCUGAUCAGCAGCCUGCUGGCUGACUGCUCGGCGAAUGCGUUUGUUGAAUAAAGCUCUCAAAUUCCCUCGCAAAAAAACUCCCUAAUACAUACGAUCAUUUAUUUCCGGAUAUGCUGGCACGGUGAUUGCAUGCACGAAGAUUAGGGCCCUGUUUGGUUCAUAAGUUUUAGGACUUUUUCUAGUCCCAACUAAAAAGUCCCUAGUCCCUAAAAAGUCCCUACCUGUUUGUUUCCAGUGACUAAAAAGUCUCUAGUCCCUCCCUAGAGGUUAUUAAAUAACCAUAUUACCCCUAGUAUACAGAAAAAUAACAACCAAACAACACCAUGGGCCGGCGGGGCAAUGGAUGCAGGGAGGAGCAUUGUUGGAAAACUCUCAGAAAGUCCCGAAAAAGACUCUCCUUAAGAGUCUUCUUCAUUUAGUCCCAAAAAACAACUUUUAGUCCCUAAUAGUCCCUCAUGUUUGGUUAAAAAGUCUCUAAGAGAGACUUUUUCUAGUCCCUACAUCAAAAAGUCCCUGGAAACAAACACCCCUAGGAAGGAAAGAAAAUCAUCAAGGAGAUCGCUCCAUCUCUGGGGCCUUCUUUUAUCGUAGACUUCAAGAGGAAACAACGCACUAACAAAUUAGGCACACAAAGAGCUACUACCUCGAUUCCUAAAUAUUUGUCGUUUUAGAUAUUUCAAAUGGAUGACCACAUACAGAUGUAUAUAGACAUAUUUUAAAGUGUACAUUCACUCAUUUUGCUUCGUAUGUAGUCUCUAAAAAAUAUAUUUAGGAACGGAGGGAGGAUAAGCCAAAUACACUUCUAUUAUACCCUACAAAAAUAAUGUGCAGCCUUAAGUACUCCAGCGCGAUGUUAUUCACUCGAUUGGUUGCUUAGGAGCGCAUGCAAGCCCGAAUCAUAGAGUGAUAUCAUCUUAGAUGACACGCAAAUCGAUACUCGGUCGUAAGGAAAAAUCUUUUUUGUUUCGCGCCGGGGCCCCAAAUUCUUGAAGACGGCCAUGGAACACAAAGAAAGAAGAUAAUGUAGUGACCAGACCAGGUACUGCAGCAGGCCGGACUAGAUAUCAUAGCGAACCAGAAUGAUUAUUGUAUUAUUUUUCUAAAUUUUAAAUACAUUUUUCAAAUGCAAACAUUUUUAGAAAAGCAAGAACAAAUUUGAAAAACAAUUUUAUUUUGAUUUCUGGAACAUUUUUUAAAAAUGCGAACAAGUCUUGAAAAAUCUAACUUUUCUUGGAACAUGAACAAAAUUUGGAAAAUCAACACGAAUUUUUUUUCAAUUUGCAAAACAUAAUUUAGAAAUGCAAAUAUUUUCUGAAACUCCAGUAUUUUGUCAAUUUGUGAACAUUUUUUGUCGAGAAAAGAACAAUUUAAAAAAUCCCAUUUUCAAACUUUUUGUUCACAAAUUUAAGAAAUGUUUGUGUUUUCACAAAAGUUGAUUUUUAAAAAAAUACAUGGUUCGCUAGUUUGGUUCAACAUAAGUUGUUGGGAAUUUGUUAACAAUUUGAGAAAAAAUGUUCCAGUUUAGAAAAUUUUCAUACAUAAUUCAAAAUUUUAAAAUUGCUGAAAAUUUUCAAGAAACUAUUAUGAUAUAAGAAAAUGUUCAUGUUGAUUGAUAAUGACAUAUGCAUUCGCCUGGCCUAGUCUAUCACACUUCUCAACUCGUAGUUUUUUUGGAUCACUGGUAAAUGACCCCAACUUCUUGCAGCAGCCUGACACAGACAUAUGAGAUAUCCAUGCCAUGUUUGAACGACUUCCGAGUUUGCAUGUUGCGACACGUCUGGACAUCUAUCGGCCUUUUUCAUGAGAAAACUCCGAAAAUACAAAACUUGUCAAAAAUUAAAACAACUUCCAAUAAUGCCUUGCAUUGGUCAUAGAAACUGGUGAAAAAAAUGGGGUCAUUUGACAGAUGUUGCGAAACAACGUGUUUUUAAUCGGACCCUUCUGAUCUACCAAACACCCUCUGUUGAACUUGAUCUAGUUUUGGAAAUUCUUAAAAUGAUUCCAACUUUUGCAAGUAGGUGGGCAUGCCCACGAUAAACAUUUUCUGACACUGUAUGUAACUUGCGACACGUCCGACCAUUUAUCAAGUUUUUUUAUCAAGAGAACUCCAGAAAAAUACAAAAAUUGUCAAAAACAAAAAAUAGCUGGCGUGGUGUCUUAAAUUGCUCAUACAAUGCCAUGAUAGUUUCAAGGAUAUCGAGAAACAACAUGCUCCGUUGAAUAUGGUCUACUUUUGGGCAUCCUUCAAAUGACUCUAGCUUCUGUAGGCAGGUGUGCAAGCCCAUGUUAGGCAUCCAUCCCAGGUUUGAACGAUUUUCGACACCGUAUGCAAAUUGCGACAGGAAAAAGUCCAAAAUAAACCUUGAAGUUGUAGACGAAAGCUAAAUCAAACUCUGAACUUUGAAUCUCGGAAAUUGACAGUCUAAACUUGUAAUCCUGGUCUAUUUUGGACCCUAUACCUGUUUGGCACACUGGGAAUACUACAAUCCCGGCCGGGAUUACCAGCUACUCUCAUGGACAAGAAUUUGGGCCGGCCCACUAUAACACAACAAGAAUUCGUGAGGUUUAAAAAAUGUCUGCACAUUUCUAAAAUUGUUCAGAAGUUUAAAAUGUUCUUGUUUUCUAUUUUUCGCACAAAUUCAAUUCGUUUUGUGUUUUUUAUACUGUUUGGAAUUUUGAAACUCUAGCAUUUCUAAAAACAGUUCGUGAUUUUCACAUUUGUCAAAAAAUGUUCAGAAUUCCAAGAGUUUUUCACAUGCUUUGAAAAAUGUUUUGUAUUUUCAAAAUUGUGUCACAUUUUUAAAUAUUUUUCUGGAAUUUCGUAAAUUAUUUCAUUAAUAAUUUAUUUAAAAAUGUUUGGGAUUGUUUGCAGUGGACUCGAAUAGGCCAGCCCACCAGACAUGAAGCGAGUUUUUUUCCUUAACAUGCGACACAAAAAUUAUUUAUUUAUUUUUCUUAACGGGCGACGUAAUAAUUCCAGAACAAAAAAAACAUGUCGUGGAGUCGAACUUGGGACUUUGUAGCCACUACAGCAGACGACUAUGACUGACAUAGUCAGAGGCCCGGAAUAUUUAAUCAAAAACAAAAGCAUCGAACUUUGAAAGCAUUUUUUAGGGGCAAAGAAGUAUUGAAAUUUUAUUUAUUUAUGAAAUCUUUGAACAUUUUAUAAACAUUUUUGAAAAUUUAUGAAAUCUUAUAAACAUUUUAUAAAGUGUGAGUACUUUUUGAAAAUUUCGAAUACUUUUAAAAAACCAACAACUUUAGAAAGUGAACACCUUUAUAAAAUUUUUUGCAACCUAAACAAAAAAUUUAAGUGCAAACACUUUUUGAAACAUAAUUUUUUUCUGCAACCUGAACAAAAUUUUAAAGUGCAGACACUUUUUGAUACAUAAACAUUUUCUGAAACAUGAAAAUAUUUUGCGACAUCUAAAAAACAUCACAAGUUUUAUAAAAUGUAUGGGCCAAUCCAAAUGUUUAUACAAUGCAUAAUAAUAUUCCUGUGAUUCAAAAAAUGUUUGUACAUUCAAAAAAAUGUAACAUUUCAAGAAUGUUCACAAGUUUAAAAAAAAUGUGUUUGUGACAUUUUCAAAAAAAGGUGUGUAUAAUGUAAAAAUAUGUUUGCGUGAUGUAAAAAAAUGUGUCAUAAUCUUAACAAAAUAUAUGUGCCAUGUCCUUGAAAAAAGUGUAUGCAAAUUUUAAAAUGUUGAACCAUGUAAAAGAGUGUUCAUGUAGUUUUAUUAAAUGUUUAUUGUCAUUAAGAAAAUGUAAAACAUGUAUUUGGAAAAAUAUUACCAUGUAUUCAAAAAGUUUUGAAAACAUUUAGUUUAAAAAUGUACACAAUGUAUUUGAAAAUAUCAAAAGGUCAUCCAAAAAUAUUUAAUGUGUGUGUUAAAAAUGUACAUUGGGUACUGAGAAAUUUAGACAUGUGUAAAAAUGGAAAAAUAAAAUAAAACAAAAAAGAAAGAAAUUAAGAAAAAACAGAUUAGUGCGCAUGCGCGAGUAACUACGUUACUGGGCCGGGCCAAUUGAGCAAAUCCCGGCUACGUCCUGUUAAGGUUUAAAAUAGACCGGGAUUAAAGAGCUUGGUGUGUUCAUUUCAAGGAUUGAGAGUUCGGGGUUUGAUUUAGGUUUCACUUAUAGAUUGAAGGUUUGUUUUGGACUUUUUCCAAUUGCGACACGUCCAAUCAUUUAUCGACCUUUUUGACGGAGAAAAUGUCAAAAAAUGCAAAAGGAAAAAUCUAAAACUAAAACAACUUGGCAUUGUGUUGGGCCAUUUCAUGUAUGUGGAAACACAACAUGCAUCCUUCUAGCCUAUCCCAACACUCUCUGUUCAACAUGGUGCUUUUUUGGACAUUCGUGAAAUAAACGAGCAGGUGGGCUUGUCCUUGAUAGGCAUUCAUGCCAGGUUUAAAAUAAUAAUAAUUUAAAUAGGUAUUUAGAAGUGUUGUUUUAAAUUCCAUUCCAUUUCCAUGUGUAAUUUAAACAGGUACUUAAAAGCGAUAUUAUAAAUUUAUUUCCAUUUCCACACCUUACAGUGGACUGGCCCAGUCAGGCGGCCUCCUGCAAAAAAGUAUUUAAUUCAUGAUUUUUAAAUCGAUGACCUUUUUUACUUUCUCAAAAAAAAUUAUCAAAUUCAUGAACUAUUUUAAAUUGAUAAAAUUCGUUCAGUUUUGCUAUAUUUUUUUGUCCUCGGAGCUAGGAUGGGCAUAAAAACCAACAAACCUCACCGAAAAGCCAAUUUCUUGUUUGUUUGUUUUUUUGCUUUAGUUUGGAAAAUUUGUGACAGAUGUAGAGACCAGCGCGUCCUGGGACGUCAAUUUUAGGGCCAAGCCGGUUACUUGCAAAAAAAUCACGAAUUUGAAAAAACUAAAAAAAUCAUCGGUUUGAAAGAAGUUCAUGAAUGUAACCAAAAAGUUCAUGGAUUUGAUAAAAAUUUACAAAAUUGAAGACAUGCAUUCAUUUAAAAAUAGUUCACAUAUUCAAAAUCUAAGUUCACGAAUUUUAAAAAGUUCACAAAUUUAUGAAAAUGUUCGCGAAUUUAAGAAAAUGAAAUAGAAAUAGGAAAAUAAUAACAAAUAAAGAAAAAUAAAAAAUAAAACCGAAGAAAAGAAAUUAAACAAAAAAAUAACUAGACUGAGAUGAUGCACGGCAAGCAGAAUAAAAUAACUAGGCACAAGUGAAAAUAACUAGGCACAAGUGAGUUGUCCUAAUUGAUCCUUUGGCUAUGGAUGGAGAGGUGGGUGGGCCCGUUUUUCUUGAUGGGCGGCUACUACAGCUUGCACGUGCCAUAUACUUUCUCCGUUUUAAAUUAUUCGUCGUGGUUUUAAUUUAAACUUGAACUAAAAUCACGACGAGUAAUUUUGAACUAAAAUCACGACGUGUAAUUUGAAAUGAAAGGAGUACCUUAGCACGGCUUAUUGAGCUAAAACCACGACUAGUAAUUUAGAACGGAAGAAAUACCUUAGAGCAGCUAGAUAAGCGCGCUGGGAUGAAACGACUAUAUAGCGUGCGACCAAAACUUGCGGUCCAGCAGCUGUGCUAAAAUCCCGCGCGUGGCAGGUAAGGAUCAGAAAAUGGCAUCGCGUGCGACCAAAACUUGCGGUCCAGCAGCCGUGCUAAAAUCCCGCGCGUGGCAGGUAAGGAUCAGAAAAUGGCAUCGCGUGUUGCGUAACUGCUGCAGGUGGGGCCGUCAGAUUGGGCGCCGUAUUUUAUUUGCAUUGACAAACCUCGAAAAUUUUAGCGCUUGCGGCGUCUGUUGAACAUGCUCUUAGGAUGAAAUGACUAUACUGCAAGGCACAAAAAUGGCAUGGACUCCUUUUUUUUUAACAUCAACAAGGGCCCGAUUUCCUUGAUAGAAAAAAAAGUUCAGUUGUAUACUAAGUUUUUUUCAACAUGAAGACACAACAGACAAACGUAACAGACACAACGCACGCUGUAUACAGAAAAGUGUCCCUGACGCGGAUGCGAUCAGAGACAACUUUUCGUUCAGCUUCAUCUUAUUAUUAUUGAACAAAGAUCACGUGGAACUGGAAGGCUUUGACCCGUAGCUACAAGGAAGCAGCCAGCCGGAGCCGGUGGCUCAGUGCUGUCCCGGCAGCUUCUCCUUGAUCUUGUCCAUGAUCCCCUUCUUCUCGCCCGUGCCAGUGCCGGCGCCGGCCAUUCCUGUGUGGCCUUGCUGCCCGUAGGCUCCACCAGUCCCAGUUCCCGGCCCGUAGGCUCCUCCAGUCCCUGUCCC